CCUCCUGUGCUUUAUCUUGGUCUACAUUUAGAGAAACCCGGGCCAUGAUGUUUGGAAGAACAGGUGAGCCAGUGGGGGGUGGAUUUCAGAGGCCUGGGCCAAUGUCUUCCAAUCCUACUCCGAUCUAACCUUUGACAGAGUCUUUACCUCUCUCUGAGCUUGUGGCUUCUGGUUUCAGAGCCGCCCCCCGCCCCCACCCUAUGUUGCUGUCGCCAGAGGGGAAGGGUGAUGACAGUGCCUCGGCUUUCAGGGCCCAACCUGUACCUGGGUCCUGCCUUCCUGCUUCUCUUCCUCCGGGAGGCUACAUUCUAAUCCAUAAACCUUCUCCUCCGGGCUUAGGGUCGGGCUGUUCCUGAUGUUUAUCAGAGGCUGGAUCAAAGCUGUCCAGGUCAUAAAUCUCUCCCUGUGGCUGUCAGGCCCCAGGGCAGCUGAAGAGGGUUGGUUUGCUCCACUCCACCCACUCCCAUCUCUGCCAAGAAGCUGUCCUCUCAGGAGCCAUGGUAGGGCCAGUCCAGUCCUGGGAGCUGCUUCUGAGGCUCAGAGAGGAUUUUUGUGGUAGGGGAGAGAACAUGGAGCCUGUGCCCAGGAAGGUGAGGGCAGGCUAGGCUGUGCGGCCGUGGUCCCUCUGUGUGUGUGACAGGUAUUGGGAGCCUUCUCCUGUGUGGCUGUGAAAUGCCUCAUGGGUGGAUGGGAGCAGGCAGGGGAGACCAACCUGGAGCCUCAAGCACCCUCCGGAGUCCUUGAACCCCAUCCCUCAUUUCAUAGGAGAAACUGAGAGGUUAAAGGGCUUUGCUCACAGCCCCGAAAUGAGAGUCGACUAGGAAAAGUCUUCUAAACCUCAGUCCCCAGCACAGCAGCCAGGCCCUGGGAAUCAUCCAGUGGUCAUUGAAACUGGAGAAGGUCCCAAGCCUUAGAGGAUCCCCCUCAGCCUUCUCUAGUGUCCAUGCGACCAGUGGAUGUUUACAGCGGCCUCAGACUAUGUGACUGAUACCCACAAGAAAGUCAAGGCUGGUGGAGAAAAUGAGGUGCAACCAGAGGAUUUCCGAACAGCUGGCUGGGGAGCUGGUGCACUGUCUGUCCAGGCAGGACCAUGGGGAGGUGGCUGGAGGCAGCAGGCAGGAGACCUUGGAGCUCUACUGCCUCAGGACUCACGGACGCUUUGGGGCUGAGCUUUAAGGUUUCCAGGAUGGGGUGGAGCCAACAUUUAGGCAAAUUCUCACCAUCUUCUCUCUGCUUCAGGGCUUCCCUCAGAAUCAAAAGUGAAAGUGAAGGAAGGGGCUAUAGAAAAACCUCAGCUUAACCCUUUCACUGACAAGGAGGAAUCAAGCCCAGAGAGGGAAGGGACUGAGUAGGGAGUGGUAGAUCUUAGUUGGGAUCCGGGGUACUUGAGGUUGAGCUGGUUCUUAGAAGGAAUGCAUGCAAGCAUUAUCUACCAAUAGACUACACUUGUGCUUAAAUAAAACACAUAAAAAUAUAUGGCCACAAUUUGAGAACAAUGCCCCACAGAUAAAAGUAGCCUUAAUCCCCUCUAAAAUGAUCAACCCCUAUUCUUAACCCCCAGCAGCUCCCCAGGUUUUUUAAAGGCAGCUCAAAUUUUGUUCAUUUUGCAUCUAUGUGGGUAGAGAAGAGGCCGAAAAUAUAAGUGAGGAAGACAUGGGAUUUGGAGUCACUAGGACUUGGGCUCCAGGACUUAGGCCCUUACUAGCUGAUGACCUUGAACAGAUUACCUACCAGCUUUGUCAUUUAUAGACGUGCAGAUGUAAUGAUACCAGCUUUUUAGUGUAGUGCUGGGGACAUAGUAGGUGCUCAAUAAAUGUUCACUUUAGUGACACCUUCAGAUUCUUAGUUCAAGUCACAUUCAAAAUGACCUCAUUGCUAAAGGGAGGCAGAAUCAUGGAGGACCCUCCCAUCUUGGAUAGGAUAUGGGUGAGUAGGGUCUAUUUUAAAUCUGGAGACAAAUCAUCCCCCAGGUGAAGUGAGGAUUAGAGGACUGAGUUGGGUUUUCCAGAAUAACAUUUAUCUCAGUUUUCAGGAAAUGAGGGUUUCAGAUGUUGCCAGCAGGUUGGUGGCUUUUGGGGCCUUUGUUCCAUUAGGCUAGGGUUGAUCCUGGUUUGGGUUUUAAGGUUUAAUUAUGUGCUGAAUUGUAUUAUAUGUUAAAGUCCUAAUCCUACCCUCAGUACCUUAGACUGUGGAGAUAGGAUAUUGGAAAUAGGAUCCUUAUUUUAUAUUUUAAUGGUACAGGGUAUUAAACUCAAGGGUGCCUAACCACUGAGCAACACCCUCAGCACUUUAAAAAUUUUAAAUUUUGAAACAGGGUCUUACUAGGUUGCUUAUAGCUUUACUAAGCUGCUGAGGCUGACUUCAAAUCUGUAAUCCUCCUGCCUGGGCCUCCAGAGCUGCUGGGAUUAUAGGCGUAUGCCACCACACCCAACAGAUAGGGUCUUUAAAUAGAUCUUUAUGAUGCACUGAAGUCAUUAAGGUGGGUCCUGAUGCAAUAUAACAGGUAUCUUUGUAAGAAGAGGCACUUAGGACACAGACACACACAGAAGACACAGGGAAAAGGUGAACAUCUAACAAGUCAAAGAAAGGGGCUCAGAAGAAGCCAGCCAACCGGACUGUCAUUUAAGCCAUCUAACUUGUCAUAUUUGUUAUAGCAGCUAUAGCCAACUAAUACAAGCUCCAUUUAUUCUUCCUUCUGAGACCUUGGGUGAAGCAGCCUGUCUGCCUUUCCAGGGCUCCUGGGCUCCUGGCGCUCUGGAGGGAAAGGGACACUGGGUCAGUGUCCCUUUUCACGUUUGUGUACAUGAAAAGCAAUUUUUUGGGGAAGCCUGGUAAAGAUUUAGGUCCCAUGAGCACCUAGUUAUGUCUGCGCGAGGGGCUGGGGAGAUUCUGCUGGUGAGUGGGUUAAGGCCCACCUUUCUAUGCCUGGACACUCAGUUCCCCCAGGCUUUUGUUCUUGGGGGUUCAUGCCCAGGGGGAGUAGGAAGGUGUUCUUCUCGGUCAUGAGACACCGGCUUCUCCUAGCGCUCCUCAUUCGUUCCCACCUUCCAGCUCUGCGGUGGCAGAGCCUCCCAGCCGCUGGGCCUCUCCGAGCGAAGCCGACCUGGCUGGUCCAGGGGCGAGGGAGUGCGGGCCAGUGCGCAGGCGCCAGGUGGUUGCCUGUCAGGAUGGGCGUGAUGGGCGUGGGGAAGUUAUGAAGUCUUGGGUGUCUCGCUCCUGUCGGCUUCCAGGGUGACACAUGCACAAAAGUACCUUUUAUAGGUGGGAAAUUAUAGGUGCUGCUACUUCAAAGGCCUUGGCAGCCAGAGCGCUUCUUUGAAAGAUGACAGUAUUAUUAAUGGUGAUUUAUUGCUGGGGCCAUUUUGACAACAGAAAUAACCAGUUUCCCCACCUUCUUGGCUUUCUUCCCCCAUACCUGGCUCUUUUUUUUUUCCCCCCUUGUCCUCUACCUUAGUUUUUAGCUGCGGUGGGGGGUUAUCGGCCUCCCUGCAUAAGGAGGCUGAGGCGUCUGUUUAACACACACAGUGAGGUAUCUGGCUUAUUAACUUGUCAUCAUGUGUCAUAAAGUUUAGCGAAAUGCUGGUGGAUUAUAAUCCUAAACAGGGCAAUUACCCUGUUAUUAAAGCCGCUUUCUCUUUCUUUUCUUCCUCUCUUCCCCUUCCUUCACUCCACCUUCCUUUCCUUUCUUUUCUUUUCUCUCUUCCUUUUCCCUCCCUCUCCUCUUCCCUCCCUUCCUCUUUCACCUUCCUUUGUUUUUUUCUUCCUUCCCUCCCCCCCUCCCUCUCUCUCUAUCUCUUGCUCUCCACCCCUGACCUCUUUCCUGAUUGGCUUUGUUCUUAUCUCUGUCCACUUUCUUGCUUGCAUUGACCCCAGAAUAAACUUGGCCUUGAAAGGACAGAGCUCUAGGGGCAAGAGGCGGUCAGGAGCUGGCCACCUUGCUGCAGCCAGAGCCAUGGAGGAGGUGCACUGUCCCAGCCAAGGCAGUGCAGGGAGGAACAGUGAACAGCAGGGGGAAAGGAUGGCUUCUGCUGCCAGGCAGAGAGGCUGGAGCCCAGAGCCAAAGCUAACAGAGGUUUGUUUAGCCUGUCCGACUUUGCCGUGGGCUGAGGUUCUCCUCCAGGAUAUCUCCCUGUGCCUUUUACUUGGUCACUUAUGGGUCUGGAACUGGGGGUGGAAAGAGAGUGAGGUGGUGGGGGACGUGGAACAUGACAAAUUGCCUGAUAUGAGUUUGAAUCCUGGCUUCCACUGACUUCCUGCCAUUCCUCUGUCUGAGACUUGUUUUCUCAGUCUGUAAAAUUGGGAUGAUCACUCUUGUACGAUUGCACACAGUUUCAAGGAGGAUCCGAUUGGAUUUUGGGUAGGAAAGAGGAUGACCAGUGGUAAUUUGCUGUGCAAAUCUGAGGGUCCACUGUGAUUUUACUAUGCCACUGCAGGGAUUUGUUUCCUGUCAACUAACCCUCAACUCUUGCUGCUCCAAAAGAGCAUAAGUUAUUUGCUCGUAGUGACAUUUUGGCCAAUGAUGGACUAUGUGUAUGAAGAUGGUCCCCCAGAGCUAUACUGCCUGGUGACGUCGUAGCCAGCUUGGUUUGUAUAGGUACACCCCUGAUGUUCACACAAUGAUGAAAUCGUUGCUCAAAAUGGGUGCCCCCUUGCAGUAAGUGACUCAUGACUGUAAACAGGAAUUCAUUGUCUGUUUCUUUCUCUACUCCUGGGAGGUUGUAAUGACCUUGAUUAAUAAAUCUACCUGGGAGGUAGCGUUUGGCUCAGGUGCUGAACAAUGGCAAUUUUUAGGAGCAUUCAUGAUAAACACUUGUUAUGUGCACUGUGCUGGCUUAAGAAUACAAAACUGAAUAGGCUGAAAUUGAAAUAAUUGAAUCACAGCCUGCCAGAUCUUAAAAGGAUCUUAGAGACCAUCUAGUUGAAUUGUCCCAUUCUAUAGCUUUGUUAAUUAGUCUCAAAGAAAUAGAUUUAAUUUAUCUGAUAUCUUCCUAAAAGACACCAGAUAAAUUAUAGGCAGAGCUGGGACAAAAAUUCCCCAGCUCAGACUUCCUAGACCCUAGAUGCUCUUCUCUUCCUUGUAAGGAACGUCCUCAUCAGUUAGCUCUCAGGAGAGUACCUGCUGGCAGUCAUUUACACUUCAGUAUGAAGUAAACAUUUAGUUCUCCCAGGUGUUGUUUCUUUCCUCCCCCAAGUGCUGGGGAUUGAACCCAAGGCCUCGUUCUGGGCAAGCACUCUGCCACUGAGCUGCUUCCCCAGCCCUCAGGUGUAUUUGGUUUUGAAGCCUCAUCCCCAGUUAUAAGCAGCUGGACCUUGUUUCCUGUCAGUGAAAUUUCUCCCACUGGUUAGAAGAGAGGCAAUGCAGGGACUCAUGAUUUCCACCCCCUAAAUUUAUGCCACUUGCCUCCUCUGUUGGGCAAUAAGGGCUGGGCCCUGCUUCCUGAAUUAACUGACCUGGACCAAGACCGACAUGUCCACAGUUCAGAUGGUGUUUGUCAGGGAGCUGUCAGGGAGCAAGGUUGGGUGGAUGGAUGGAGUCAGAUUGGUUUAAAAAUGGAAAACCAGCCGACAGGUUUAAAAAUGGAAAGCAGUCAGACAGAGUGAAGGUGGUUCCUAAACAAAACGCUGCCCCUUCUGUUUGUUUUCUGGUUGCUUUCCUCAUAUUUGGGGAACACUGGAAAGCAGACUGGUAUUGAGAACUGUCAAUUCCAAGUGCUGGGAGCAGAGAGAGUUUGUGCGCCCCUACUGCACUCUGUGCAGGGUGGUGGGGAAAAGAGACACCAUUCCCACCUUGUGGUGCUCAAGUGUAGAGUCGGGGCAACAGACAAGGAGGGGAAGGGACUUUCUGGUCUCCCCUGCUUUUGCUCAUUGAGAGAACCACCAAGCUCUUUCUGUAGGUCACUUUGAACAUUGGUAGAACACACCGAGAUUUAACUACAAAUGUAUUGAUGGGACUUGUUGGCUGGACGUGCAGAGAGGGAACAGAAUUUAGUAACAAGGUUUUGAGGUUGGAGUGGAUGCAGAUGUGUGACCCUCAGAGGAACAGGACACUUCUGAGUCAAGGCUUGCUGGCUGUGAGGAGGUAAGGCACCCAUGUACAAAUGUCCUGCUGACUUUGGAGACUUAGAAGAAGGAGCUUGGAGCCUGAGAUAAGGUGAGGACAGAGAUGAACCUGUGGGGCCUUAGUCUAGAGGAGAGAGGUACUUCCUGAAGCCAAGAGAGAAUCCUUGACCACCUGGAUAGGAGAGUUGCAACACUGUUCCUCUCAGCUGGGCAAGCACAGCCUGGGCUGGGGUGGCGGGUGGCAUUCUACUCUCCAUUUGGUCCCUCUUCCAGUGAUCAUUUGAAACUUUGCUGAGGUGUCCGGCUGUUCCAUGGAUUCCGGAAGGCAGAGAGGAAUGGAGGAUAAGGAAGGUCUAAGGCAGGGCUGUUACCCUGCUCCUCCCCCAAUGCCACAAGGGACCUAUGAAUUUGUGGGCUGACUCCUCUGGUGGCUUUGCCAGGUCAAGGUACAGGUCAAGAUUUGCCUUUGUCUUCUGAAGUUCAAAGGAGAAGACCUUUGGCUUCCCAUCUUUACUGGCAAUUUCAGAUGGUGCCACAAUAUAUGUCAUUAACCAACUGUGUGAUUUGUUCAAGUCACUUCAUCUCAUUGUGAUGCAUCUGAAAAACAGAGCUGGACAUUUUGCCCUGCUGACCUUUUUUGGAUUGUUGUGGAAUAAUAACACAUGAGAUGAUGGAUCGCAGACAUUUGGUAAACUUUACAGUAAUAUGCAACAGUUCAUUCCCAGGAUAAUAACUCUGAAUCUGUCAUUUGGAACACUGACCCCCUUUCUCUAAGGAACCUCCAGGGGCAAACUGCUUCUGACCCCGGGCUUCCCAGGAAGGACCAGAUUCCUGGCUUAUGGGAGUGGGGUAGCCCCCUCUUCCAAGAAUAAGGAUGUGAAGGAGAAUCCUCUGCUCUAAGGGGGUGCUUCUGGGAGCCACCCACACCCGCUUCCAUCUGAGGAGGGUGCCCACUGCCAGUCUGUCUGGAGGUGCCUUGCCUUGCCCCAGGGCCCGCCCCAUCUCAGCAGGGCCUUUGAGAUAACAAACCCGAAAGGCAGCUGUCUGGCUGUAGUUCUGACAGGUGUCUCAACCAGAGCCUCAAGAUAAGGGAGAUGGUGAGCUUAUCCCUCCCUCCUUGGAUUGAUAAUUGAGCAAGAACAGCUCUGUAAUUGCUAAAUAAAACCUCUUGCCCCACCACUAUAGAUUUAUGGCUGAACCACCUUAUCUGGACUGAGGGUGUUCGUGAGUAUACAUGGGUGUGUAUAGGAUGGGAGGGGAGAGAAGGCAAUUUUGCAAAAUUUCCAGGGCUGUGUAGUAAAUUCCUGUCCUUCUUCCCUUCCCUGAAGUACAGUCAUGUGUCCCUCAAUGACCUGACAUGUUCUGAGAACUGAGUCAUUAGCGAUUUUGCUGUGUGAACAUCAGAGUGUGUGUACCCAGAUGUAGGUGAUAGAGGUGAGCCACUCUGCGGGGCCCCUCAAGAGACACUGUAAACGUGAGAUGCGUGAAGCUGCUGUGGGUGUAACAGGGCAUAGUCUUUUGCAGCAAACUUAAUAACAGUUAAAAAGUAGUUUAGUAAAUACAUAACUCAGAAACAGCUUUUUAUUAUGGUACAUAAUUUUAAGUGCUAUGCAUUUAUAUGACUGGCAGUGCAGUAGGUUUUUUUUUAUGCCAACUUCACCACAAACACAUGAGGGAUGUAUGUUGAGCUAGGAUGUCACAAUGGCUAUGAUGUCACUAAGCCAUAGAAAUUUUAUAUUUUUAUUAUAAGCACUGUCAUAUAUGCUAACCAUCAUUGACUGCAACAUUGUUAUGCGGUGCAUGGAUGUGUUAUAUUGAAGCUCUUUCUAGAUCUGCCAGAACUUAUACAUGCAUGGAUUUUUUUUCUAGAACCAACCAUGGUGGACUUGCCUCAUGAAAUAUAUGCCUAUUAUAAUGACAAUAAUGAUGAAAACUGUGACCUGAACAAGGGACUACGUGUGUGUGUAUGUGUGUGUAUGUAUGUAUAUGUGUGUAUGUGUGUGUGUGUGUGUGUGUGUGUGUAUAUAUAUAUAUAUAUAUAAACAUUUUAUUUAUCUAUCUAUUUAAUAUACCAGAGAUUGAACCCAGGGGCACUUUAUCACAGAGCCACAUCCCUAACCUCUUUUUUUAUUUUUAUUUUUUUUUUCAGUUUUUUAAAUUAAUUUUUUAUACAUGACAGUAGAAUGCAUUAUAAUUCAUAUUACACAUGUACAGCACACUUUUUCAUAUCUCUGGUUGUAUACAAAGUAUAUUCACACCAGUUUGUGUCUUUAUACAUGUACUUUGGAUAAUGAUGUCCUGGUUGAGUUGCUUAGGGAGGCCUCACUAAAUUGCUGAUGCUGGCUUUGAACUUGCAACCUUCCUGCCUCAGUCUCUCUAAGCCAGUGAGAUUAUAGGCAUGCAGUUUGAUUUAAUCCAGUUUGAUUUAAUCCAGUCAAUAUUUAACAAAGUGCCUAUUCUUUUUAAAAAUUCUUUUUGGAUAAACAUGACAGUACAGUGUAUUUUGACAUAUUAUACAUACAUGGAGUAUGACUUAUUCUAAUUAGGAUCCCAUUCUUGCAGGUGAACAUGAUGUGGAGGUUCACUGGUGGUGUAUUCAUAUAUAUAUGAACAUAGGAAAAUUACAUGCUUAUUCUUGCUUGGGGCUAGAAAAGCUAUGGUUAUUUUUUGUGGGGGGUGGAGGGGAGCAUGGAGAAUAUAUAAAUAGGGGGUAACAUAGGUUUUUUUUUUUUUUUCUUGUUUGAGGGGCCAGAUCGUGCCCAGCUGGCUGGAUGCGAGUGGGGUGGGUGCGAGGGGUUGGAUCAGUGGUGGUUCAUGGUCCACAUGUAGCUUCAUGACCUAGCUGGGUCCCUGCUCUGUUGCUCACCAUCUCUAAGGCCUUGGCUUGGGUUCUUGUGAAUAAGAUAUAUUCCAUGCUUGUAUAAUUUAUCAAAAUGGACUCUACUGUCAUGUAUAACUAAGAAGAACCAAUAAUAAAAAAAAAAUGCGGGAAUGAAUACUCCCUAGCUCCCAAGGUUGAUGUGAAGGUUAAAUGACUUGGUGGAUGGGGUUACUUGGCACCGUGCUGGGUCAGUUGCUCAGCUGAUAGCAUCGCCAACCUGGUGAUGGAGAGGAAGGACUGGGACCUACUGACAGGGCCAGGCUGGAGAGGACCAAGAGCCAAGCGGCUGUCACAGAAUCAGGACUGUGUGUAGGCUGGCUUAUCAUUCUUUUUCAAUUUUGUAAAUUUUAAUAUUGGUAGGUACUAUAUCCAAGUGAUUUAAAGGUAAAAAGGCAAAAAGGGAUAUUAUUUUUCUUUUCUUUAUGGAAAAGGAAGGAGAAAAAUUGCUCCCACACCUGUCCCCUGUCACAUUUCCUCUUCUCAGAAGCAACUGCUUGUCAUUGGUUUCCAAGGUAUUCUUUCUGGGGUGAUCUAGGCAUGUACCAGGACAUGGUGAUGAUGAUAGAAAUAGCCAAUACUCACUUAGACUUGACACGAGCCCAGCACUGUUUUAAGUACUUCACAUAUUAAUUCAUCCUAUCCUCAUAACAAUGGCUUCGAAGGUCAGUGCCAUUAUCCGUCAUAACUUCUUGAUUUUCGUUUUCCAUAUUUUUAUCCAUAUAUAAUAGUUGUACAUAACAGUGGGAUUUGUUGUUAUAUAUUUGUACAUGCACACAAUAUAACACUAUAAUUUGUCUAAUGUUAUAAUUUCUUAGAACAUAUAACAUGUAAUUCUAAGAUUUUUGCUCCAUGUUUUUUUUUUUUUUUUUAAAUUUAAACAUUUAUUUACAUCAUCGCAACCCUAACACAUGAGAAAAAAUAAACCCUUAAGCAAAAAUAGUAAUAAGGGAAAAAUUAUCUGUGGUCAUUUUGGGGGACCCAUAAAGGAAGAGGGCUGUGAAGGGUGGGAAAGAAUAUAGGUUUAGUAUCUGGCAUUUAUGGAUUGCACAAAGAUACAUCCAUAUUUUACUCCACUUCCUCUACAGUGUAGCAGGGCGAGGUAGGUAUUGCUGUUUCCAUUUUUUUAGAUGAGAAUAGUAGAUCAGAAGAACUAAAUCCCAAGCUGCUGUAAACCCUCUUGGGUCUGCUGACUCAGCCUGGCACUUUUGCUGUGCCCAGCCCAUGUGAACUGAGUGAAGGAGCCACUGUCUGAUAGUAGAGGCCAGCAUCUUUGCUCCUGGAGGCUGGUGGAGUAAAGGGAAACUUAUGCAGAGUGCUGGGGGUGGGGGUGACAGCACAGUUCUUCCUACCAUGACAAUUGUGGCCACCUGCUGCCUUCAGAAGAGCCUGGCCCAAGCUGAGGGGCAUCUUGACCACACCAGUGUGCUGGCAUACUUUUCUCUUUUGGAAAGGACCAAACAGAGGAAGGAAGCUGCGUUUGUUUGAGCACCUACUAUGUGCUAGUUCUAGAAAUUUCUUAUCAGUUCUAGUGGAUAGGAGAGUCAUUGUCUUAGAAUCUGAAAACUUGAGAGCAGGAAGGGACGUUAAUACUCAUCUGAUCUAACCUUUUACUUAUAAGAAAGUGACUUGCCCAUUAUCAAGAAUAUAAACAACAGUGAUUAUUGUCGAGGAUAUGGGGGAAAAGGCACACUCAUAUAUGCUGGUGGGACUGCAAUUGGUGCGACCACUAUGGAAAGCAGUAUGGAGAUUCUGCAGAAAACUUGGAAUGGAACCACAGUUUGGCCUAGCUAUCCCACUCCUCAGUUUAUCCCCCAAAGAGUUAAAAUCAGCAUAUUACAGUGAUGCAGCCACAUCAGUAUUUAUAGCAGGUCAAUUCACAAUAGCUAAACUAUGGCCCAACCUAGGUGCCUUUCAACAGAUGAAUGGAUAAAGAAAAUGUGGUACAUAUAUACAAUGGAAUAUUACUCAGCCUUAAAGAAGAAUGAAAUUACGGCAUUUGCAGGUAAAUGGAUGGAGCUAGAGGGAGAGCAAGGAGAAAGAUUACCUCUAGAAAGGGAGUAGGGGUGGGAGGGAAAAGGAGGGAGAAGGGGAAUAACAUGGAUGGUGAAAGGAGACCCUCAUCAUUAUACCAAAUACAUAUUGAAGAUGUAAAUUUGGUGUCAACAUAUCUUAUAUAUAAUCAGAGAUAUGAUAAAUUGUGAUAUAAAGGUGUAUUAAGAAUUGUAAUGCAAAAAUAAAUAAAUAAAAAAAAUGAAUGGGUGGAGUUAGAGAAUAUCAUGCUAAGUGAAACAAGCCAACCCCAAAGAACUAAAUGCUGAAUGUUUUUUCUGAUAAGCAGAUACUGAUCCAUAAUGGGGGUGGGGGAUGGGGAAGAAUGGAGGAACUUGGAUUGUGCAGAGAGAAGUGAGGAUAGAGGGGAGGGUGUGUGGAGGAGAGAAGUAUGAUGGAAUGAGUUGGACAUUAUUACCCUAUGUGCAUGUAUGAUUACACAACCAGUGUGACUCUGUAAGGUGUACAGCCAAAGGAAUGAGAAGUUAUGCUCCAUUUGUAUACAAUGUGUCAAAAUGCAUUCUGCUGUCAUGUAUAACUGAUUAGGACAGAAAAAGAAAGUGACUUGCCCAAAGUCCCAGAGUAUUCUAAUUUUCUUCCUUACUAUGUGCUUACUAAGAAAGAAAUUAUUGUAUAAUAAUCCUCCUUUGCUUCUACCAACAGCAGAAUGUCAGUGUGCACACACAGUUUCCACACAGAGGCCAUGGGUCCAGUCUCCCAAUUUUAUGCCCACCCUUGGGGAACUGGAGAGGGCAGCUUCUCCAGCACCCAUUUCCCCUUAGUUCUUUCUCAGGUGUAUAAUCUCCUGCAUCUUUUGGGAGCAGGUGAUGUUCAGAGAGGACCUGGGGUCAGACAGGCCAGGAGCCCGACUUUGGCUCUGCCAUUUACCAACUGCUAGUGGGAAAGGAAAGGCCGCAAGCCAACCCCUUACGUUUCCCAGCCUCCAUAAAGGAUUAAUAGUUUAUUGUCAGUAAAAGAGCUUUGCAGACUGGCGGCCAUUAUUCAUACGAGCUCAUGGAUGAACAAAGGAGAUCUUGUUGGUUGUGCAGGGGAAAAAUCCAACGUUUUGAGGGGUCACGAGGUGCCAUGAAUGAGCCAGACUCUGGCCUGAAGAAGGGAGUUUGGGAAAGAAACAGCCUAUUUUAAAUUAGAGACACAGUUUGGACUUUGAGAACAGACUGCUUGGUGAAUGAAGUGGAGAGCAAGCUGCUUGUGGAUGAAGAGAAGCAAAAGUUCAGCUUUUAGUGAGCCAGAGACAAGGGCUCCUAGUGAACAGUGACGAUGAAGUUGGCAGCUAAUGUACAAGAAUGCUAAAUUUUUUUUUCUUAUUUUUUAAAAUUUUUUUUUUUGUUGAUAGGCCUUUAUUUUAUUUAUUUAUAUGUGGUGCUGAGAAUGGAACCCAGUGCCUCACACAUGCCAGGCAAGUGUGCUACCGCUGAGCCCCAGCCCCAGCCCUAAGAACGCCAAUUUAUGAUGUGUUGCCCACUAUUCCUCCUGCUUCAGAGAUACCAGCUCCGCCAUUCCUGCAACAGGCCCACGGAGGAUUCCCACUUUGUAGAUGCAGACACUGAACCACAGAAUGGUUAAGGCACUUGCCCCAGGUCACAUGCUGGUUAGUGGAGGAGCCAGGAUCUGAGUCCAAGCCUUGUGUUACCCUGGACUGAACAUGCCUGGGACCAGGUCGGUAGUGCUGGAGACCAAGAGCUCCCUAGACAGAUGGAAUUCAAAGACACAAAUGUCAUAUCCGUUUGUCGUUGUCUAUUUAGAGGCAACUUGCAGGGAGUGAGUAUUUUGUCUUAUGCUCGAGGAGGCUGGCCAGAAAGCAUUUUGAUUUGUGACAACUGGGGGUGGGGGAGUGGAGGGGUAGGGAAGAAAGCGGGGAGGUGACUGUGUUCAGGCUGUUAUUUCUCCAGAGGCUCAGGGAGCUGGUCAGUGGGAGGGAGGUGCCUGCUUUUCAGCGAGGCUACUGACCCACAUCAUGAUGACCAUUGGCCUUGCCUGAGGAGCUGAGAUUGCUAAGUUUCCCCUCUGGGUUCAGAUGAGUCACGGGGCCAAAAUGAAGCCCUACUAUGGGUGUAAUUUGAGUUCACUUGGAAGUCAUAGCCAGCCUUUACCUUCUCCUUCCUUUCUCCUCUCCACCCUGUUUCCCACCAGACACAGCCUGAUAGGAGCAGUGAGAGAAGGGAAGGGUGGAAUGAAUCAAAUGGUACCUUUUUUUUUUUUUUUUUUUUUUUGGUACUGGGGAUGAACCCAAGGCCUCACACAUACUAACCAAGUGCUCUACCACUGACAUACAACCCCAGCCCCUUUUAUUUUUAUUUGAGAUAGGGUCUCAAAGACCCAGACUGGUCUUGAACUUGUGAUUUUCCUGCCUCAGCAUCCCAGUAGCUGGGAUUACAGGCAUGUACCACCAAGCUGGUACUUUCUUGUUGGUACCAAGUGACAGGGUACUUUCUUGAAAGCAUAAUCAGCUUUCCAUCACUAUAGUAAACACCUGAGAUAAUCACUUUAUGAAGAAAAAAGGUUUGUUUUGUCUCAGUUUUGGAGUUUUCGGCCCAUAAUUGGAUGAUUUCUUGCUUUGGGGCCUGUGAUCACGCAGUACAUCGUGGUGGUGUGGUUGGAGUGUGUGGUGGAGCAAAACCUCUCACCUCAUGACUGGGAAGUGGAAGAGAGAGGGAGAGACCAGGCUCUCACAGUCCCCUUUGAGGGCAAUCCCCCAAUCACUUAAAGACCACCCACUGGGCCUCACAUCUUAAAGGAUUCUUCCACCUCCCAAUAGCAACAAGCCGGGACCAAGUCUUUAACACUUGGGCCUUUGGAAACAUUCCAGGUUGAAACUAUAGCAAGAGGGAUGGUGGUUACCCUUGGGUCUCAGAGAAGUUUGUUUUCUUUUCUGACAGGGACGCACUAAGUUGCCCAGGCUGGCUUUGAACUUGUGAUCCUCCUGCCUCAGUCCAGAGGAGCUGGGAUUACAGGCAGGUACCACUGUACCUGGCUAACUGUGGAGACGUUGGGAAGGAAUUCUGUGUUCUUUCUGUUGCACUGUCAGGGUGGGGAGAAUAGAAUUGCCAGUAUCCUAGAGCCUGUGCUUCUUGCCUCCAUAGGAAUCUGCUCUGGAGGGGGCUGGCCAGCAGAUGAGUGGUCCUGAUGUUGGGGUCAGGCAGAGAUGCUCCAAGUGUGUAAGCCCAUGAGAAUUUCCUGGUAGGCACAGCAAAAUGGAGUCCUGAAAGCUUCCCCCGUCCUUCUGAUGAGUCUUAGUAAAGAUGGUGGUCUCCUCCAUCAACCUCCUCAGGCUGAUUGGGGGUAAUGUACCCAAGAGGCUGCACUACAGGGAAGGUAGCAGAGUGGAAGGUGCUGGAAGCAUCCUGGUUGACUGACUGGAGGGAUGCCCUAGCAUUGCAAAGCCAGUGGAGUGGGUGUGUGUUCUAGGAGUGGAUUAGCUGUUUAACCACAGUGUGUGCUAUGCCGGGUGCUAGGGACUGAGGUCACUGCUAUGCAUUCCCAUCCCUGCACUCCAAGGGCUCAAGGUGCUACUCAGGAGACAGCAGGUCAAUGGAUAAGUCACCUUCCUGUCGCCAAGGGCCGGGCUCCAGACCCAGGAAGGAUGGUGGGGGCUGGUGGAGGAACUGCAGAGGAACUGCCCCGGCCCUGCAUGGCAGAAACCUCCCAGACCCGUCCCUACACAAAGAGCUCUGCUUGUUCCUCACUCUAUGCUUGUGUGUGGGUAUGUCCACACACACCCACAAACACACCCACAUGCACACACACAUACUAGUAAGACUUAAGCACUUUAUGAGUUGAUGUACAUUAUUUAAAAAAUGUAUUUUGGAAAUUUUCAAAAACACAAAAUUAGAGGGGAGAGCACAGAGCCUAGUGGAUUCCCGUGUAUCCAUCUCCCAGCAUCUAUGAUUAUCAACAUUUUACCAAUUUUGUUUUAUCCAUUGCCUCAGUGCACUAUUACAACCACUCAUGAUUUUCUGUGUUUUGCCAGUGCUCUUAGAAUGCCUUGUCUCAUUCCCUCCUUACAGUAAUCCUGUUGAGCUACUGUGAAUGGUUAUGAUUAUCCUCAUUUUAUUAAGAGAAAACUUAAGUUUCAGAGAGAUUAAGGAACUUUUCCAAGGUCACACAGGAAGUGGAUGGCAGAGCUCAACAACCCAGGCCUUUCACUGCCUAAUCAGGUACCUUCUCACUGGAUCAUUCCAAUCGUGUUUUCAAAUACAGUCAGGGUGUAUGUGGGUCUGUCCCCUCCAGACCUUGAGCACAGAUGAUUUAGGGGUCUCUGGGACUCUUGGCUCAGGCUGGACCUUUCUUUAACCCCUUUGUGUGUCCUGCCCUGCUGCCCCACUGAUCAGAGGGGUGGGGGCAGAGCCCAGCAAGGGCAGCUCUCCCAGGCUUUUCCUCGGUGGCUUUCUUGGAUUGUGGCUGCAGGAUGUUUAUAAAACUCUGAAUCAAUUUGAGGCACAGAGAUUUUCAAUCAGGGAAGCAGAUUGCGCUGAUAGGGUCAAAAGGCCUGUCGCCAGCGAGGAUCGCAGCAUCUGACAUAUUAAUUUGAGCUGUCAGAACCAAUAUGUGUAACAGAGGUGUGGAGCCACAGGCCCUGUUUCUGGAAAAAAAAAAGGGGUGGGGUGGGGUGGGGGAAGCGUGGGAAAAGGAAAAAAUAAAGAGGGGGAGGAAUCCCACCUUAAAGGAACUAAGUUUCACAGAUUCCCAUAAACCAGCAUGUGGCCAGGGCACCCUCUGCAACUUGGGAGAGGAGAGGGAGCAGGUUGGGGAGGCAGGAGGGGUGGCAGGGCUGGAGCCUUCACAGGGAGGCUGGGUGGCCCUCAGGGAAGCUUUACCAGCUUUACUCACCCUCUGCCUGUUUCCUUCCUGGCACCCUUUGACUCCCAGAGCCUUCAUGCUGGCAAAGAAGGUGGCUCUGGGCUCUGGCAGGAAGUACAUGUUAUUGAGAACUUUGAUGCAUAGCACGUGAACGUCUGUGCUGCAGUCAGGCUUCUGGGAGGAAAUCAACGUGGAGCCAGCCUCCGCCGAGGGUCACAGACACACCAUGCUUAGUGCCCUUGGCACCUCUCUUCUGCCCUCCCCCUCCCAUCUCCCCAGUUCCUUUCAGAUGGCUUUGGACAACUCUGCCGUCCCCUCCCGACCUUGAGACCUCCUAAUUUCCUUUGCCGGAGGCAGAUGCUGAUGUUCUUUGCUGGCGAGAGGACAGGACAGGCCACAAUGGUAAGGGUGCUGGGUGUGCAGCCUGCCCUCGCUCAGCCUGCACUCUCCACCUUGUGAGGUUGCACAUGGGGUGCAGGGCGGGUCCAGGAAAGCUCCGUGGUACCCAUGCUUCUUAGGCGAAAUGAUCACGAAAAUGCACAGACACACAUCCCAUUGUGGCCAAGACAUAUCUGGGGCUCAGGGAAUGCUGGUUCUGCUCCUGGGAACCCCUGGCUGCUCGGGGGCCCAAUACUGAGUUUGUUCUCUCUGUCAUGUAAAGGAACACAGUCCCCAUCCAGUGGAACAAGACUCAUGCUUAUAAAAGUAGGCCAGCUUUGAGGGAGAUACGAUCCUGUUUAAAGGUGGCAAUGUCCUCAGAUGGACACAGCAAGUGGAGACACCAAAGCCUUGAAAGUUGCUGGGGUCCCUGGUGGGAAUGGGAGGCAUUCAGACUCCUUUUGGUGUGAAUCUGAGCCUGUGGCCUCCCAGACUAGCCUCUUCAGUGCCUGCCUGACCUUUUACCUGGAGGAUGGAGGUUUGUCUAGGCACUAGAGCUGGAGGGCUCCCUUGGGGACAUAGAAGUGAACCCCAUAGCUUGGUUCCUACACUGGUCUCCCCUCUCACAAUCUGUCCCCUUAUUUAUCAAUUUUUGGAGAUUUUUUUUUAACCAAUGAAAUCUGUCAAUCAUACCUCAGUUAAGCUAAAAAAAAAUUGAUAAUGAAGAAAGAGCUAAAGACAGGGAAUUGAUAGGUCACAGAGUGCUAGAGCCAAGAUUUGAACCUGAGCUUUCUGAUGGUCCAAGUGGUGGUCUUAACCACUACACUCCAUUGCCUUCCAGAAAGAUGGGAAAUCAUCAUGAUGUAAUGUGAAGUGAAUAAGGAAGAAUGUAAAAAUAUAUCUCUAUGAAUCUAUGGUGAUAUUUAUAGACGCAUAGAAAAAUAUGGAAGAAAGUAUACCACAAUGUGUAUUGGGGUUACCCCUGGAAUGUUUGAAACAAAAAUCAAUCAGAACCCUUGAGUCCCCUUAUUCCUGGUUCUCUUGAGGCCAUUGAGAACCUAUAGCAGGCAUUGUGUCUCUCUGUGUGACCAAGAAGGGCAUUUUCUAGUUUGUAAAAUCCCUGUAGUCUGAUUCUUGAGUGGGGGCAAAUGUCACUUGGGGAGCUUGGAAAUGUCCUUCUCUAAGGAGAAAGGGGAUGUGUCAUUGCUAUAGUUUGGAUCUUUAAUGUCCCCCAAAGCCCAUGUGUUCAAGGUUUGGUCUCCAGGGUGGUGCUGUGGGAGGUGGUAGAAUCUUAAGCUGAAGGACAUAGUGAGAGGCUUUUGGGUUAUCAGGGGGCAUGUUGUUGAAGGGGAACAGGCUAACCCAACCCCUUCCUCUUUUUUUUUUUUUCUUUUGUUUCCUGGCCAUGAGGGGAGUGGCUUUUGUCUGCAACCAGCUUGUACCCUGACAUGCUGCCUCACCACAGGUCUCACCCUCAUGGGGGCCAACCAGUCUUGGUUUGGCAUCUACAAAAUGGUGAGCCAAAAUAAACUUUUUUUGUUUAUAAGUUGACUGUCUCAGGUAUUUGUUACAGGGAUGGAAAGCUGACAAACACAGUUAUUCUGACUCAUUUCAUGGUUUCCUUAUCCUUUCCGUGAGUACAGUACAAGGAUGGCAUGGUGGGCAAGAGUGCCACUCUGAGCUGUGUGUGACCGUGGACAUGUUACUCAACCUUUUCGUGCCUUGAUUUAUUCAUCUCUGAAGUGGGAGAGAGUUAUAGCACUGACCUCACAGGGUUUCAUAAGGUAAAAUGAGUCAACACAAUUAAGACGCCAGGCAUACGAAGUACUCAACCCAUGUUAGUUAUUCUUCUGUGGGAAAGCCUGGAAGAGUCAUCGGCUCCGGGUAGUUGUGUAAGUUACGAGAAUUUAAGGGAGGGCCUCCUUCCCCAGGUGCAGUGAGGAUCGCAGCCAAGCACAGGCUUUGCCUCCUUCACAUGCGUUUCUUCCCCAUCCAAUUUACCUUGGCACAAAGGGAUAAUUCAUGGGAAUGUUCACAUCCUGGUCCUUGACAUAAAUCUUCCUUCCUAGGGCUCGUGGUGACAGCUCCCCAGGUCUCUUAGACUUUCUUCUCUGAGUUUCCCAUUCAUGUUGUCCUCGCAGAGAAAGACCUUGGUGUGCCUGCCUUUCUCUGAAGCCAUCCUUUUUGGGAUGAGGGUGGGCAGGGGCAAGGAGUGGGGUGCCUGAAGAAGGAGGAGGUAGGAGAAAGAUCAUCUGGGGUCAGAAUAUGACCUUGAGAUCCAGGCUUGCACAGUAGAAUUACAGAGUAGCUAUGCUCCGCCCGACAGGGCUGCCCCAUGCCUCUGGGGAAGGCAGGGAAGGCUGUCUCCUUCAUAGGUCUAGAAUGAAACUGGCCCUGGUCCCGGGGAGGAAGGGAGUGAUUAUGUGUGAAGCUCAUUUUUUGGUUUGAUUGUUUUUUUUCUCUCAAGUACCACCUUCUCUUCCUUUUACCAAAUAAGUCCACGCUGCUUAGCCAUUUGCAUCCAUUCCCAGCCCUCAUAAUCUAUCAGAUGAGCUUGUGCAAACAACUGUUUCUUUGGGAUUCUAUCCGAAGCUCAGGUUCUCAGUUGGGAUCCCCAGGAAUGGGACAAUGAUUCUAUUUCCUUCCCAAAUGUUUAGACUUUGGGUCACAAGACUCAGGGAAAAAGAAACAAGCCUCUAGGAAAUGUUCUUCAAUUCAGAAUGGAAGCGAAGUUUUCUCAUUCACUUAUUGCAUUCAUUUAGCUAUUCAUUCAUUUGAGAAAUUAUUAUUAUUGUACUGGGGAUUGAACCCAGUGCUUUAUCACGGAACUACAUCUCCAACCCUUUUUAAUUUUUGAGUCAGGUCUCAUUAAGUUGCCCUGGUUGGCUUUGAACUUGCAAUCUUCCUGCCUCAGCAUCCCAAGUAACUGGGAUCAGAGGCAUGAGCUACAGUGUCUGGCUUUAUUGAUUCUUUUAAAUGUUGCGCUUCAAACUUGUUUUUUAAACAGCAGAACUCCUGUGUAUGUAAUAGGUCUUAGUGAAACCCAAUAGAUAUGUGUUGGAACUGAUGUUCAUAGAGUUUCAGUGACUGGUCUACAGCACCCACUCUAGCAAUUGGGAUGCUGGCUAGUACCCAGAUAUUUUCAUUUCUAACCCUUGGGUCAAAUAUGUCCUAGUUAUUGGGUGCCUUUAUAGUGAAGUAGAGGAGGUUCUAAAUUUACAAAUCAGUUCUGUUCCAAAAGUGCAUUUCAAAGUCAGUUGUCUAGAACUUGGAAAAUAUUUUCUUAUAGAAACAGAGGUGCCGAUGGUGGCUAGCUUCGCAGACCAGCCUACCAAGGCCCAUUUAAUCCACAGCGUACUGGAAUUAUGGAACUAAUGGUUCUCUAUCAGCUUUGCUUUACUAACAGGACUGCAUAACGGGUGUCUUUAGUACUGACAAGAUGGUAACCUCACCUGCGGGGAAUUCAACUGCCUGCCAGCCCUACCCUUGGGAAACACAGGAACUGGAAAGUGAGCAAAAGUGGCCUUUGCACACGGAGAAGAGGUAUCUCCAAUUUUUCUUGAUCUCAAUACAGCGUAAACUUCACGAAGGAAGGGGCCUUCUUUUUUGUUUUUUGUUUCUUGCUGUAUCCCCAGCACAUAGUGGCACGUAGUAGGUGCUUGAUAAAUAGUUCUUACGUGGACCAAAGUGUGAACCUCUGCUGGCUUUGUCAAGGAAGGGACCCUCUGGCUUAGAAUGUAGUUACAAUUAUGUAGCAUGUAGUUCUAGCAGGUCUGCUUGUUUUGUUUCCAGGCCUGUUGUAUUUAGAAAUAACGCAUUAAGGCUGAGGUAGACAGAUGACACUGACAGCAGGGAGAGGUGACCAGCAUCGGGGAGGAGGCAGAAAAACUCUGAAGGGCUAGCACAGGAACUUCAACAGCACAGCAGCCUGGGACCGUCCAGCUCAGUAAUCCUGGGAGUCAUUACUGUAAAAUAAACAUUAGUUAGUGCACCAUAAUUCGUCACCCCUAUUUAAGGAUAUAGGAAAGUCUGGAUGGAAAUUGUAGGAAGCUUAAUAAAAAGUUAUGUUUCUUAAAGAAAUAAACUCUUUUGUUAUCUGGAAAACCAUUUUAGGUCUUGAAGCAAUGGCUCUUCAAGUUCCCAGUACCCAACUGCUCUGGUGUAUAAUAUUAGAAAUUCUGGCUGUGAUGUUUUAGUUAUUAAAGGCUUGUUUGGGCUUUUGUUGAGCUCUCAGACUUUUCUUAUGACAAAUAUAAUUGGGUAACAAGUGACAAAUCCUUCCUUUAAAAGCAGAGAAAAUACUGAAAGUGGCAGUUAUGGACAGCUGUGUAUCCAAGGUGGCUCAGUGUAGUCUUGUUGGAGCCCAGGUAGGGGGAGAAGAUGAGGCAGUAGUCAUCUGUGUGUAUGUUUGAGAGAAUUUUGCAUGAAGUUAGAUCUGCCUUGAAAUAUAGGCUCUUCUACUUUGUAACUGUGUGCCCUUGGCUAAGACUUUAACCACUCUGAGCCUUGGUUUUUCUCUCCCUCAAAGAAGUAAUGCCUUCCUAAUAGGGUUGUGGGGUUUGACUGAACUAGUCUGUUUAAUAGGCCUUGUCGAGAGAUUGUUGCAUAAAGUGUCUCCAAAUAUAAUCCUCUUUUCCUAUUUCCUGGACACACCCUUCUCCCACUUCUGUUGUUGAAUAUAGAUGUGUGUGUGUGUGUGUGUGUGUGUGUAUCUCUGGCACUCAACAAUUCUUUUCUCAAGCAACACUCCUCAUUCCCUGGACUGCUCCUUGUUGAUGGGCGAUUGGGUAGAAGAACCUAGUCUAAGGAUGCUUUGCAAAUUUCAGGUAAAUAUUUGGCUACUCUAUUUUAGGUGACGGUUUGAGGCUGAGCACCAGUGAUGGAGCAUUGUUUCUAUGGACAAACGUGUUUUUCACACAUCCUUGUCCAUUCAGGUUGCUAUAAUAAAAAUACCAUAGACCAGGUGGCAUAAACAAACAUCAGCAAUUCUGGGGGCUGGGGCAUCCAAGAUCAGGGUGUCUAUAGAAUUGCCAUUGGAUGAGGGUCUACUCCCUGUUUUUUUUUUUUUUUUUUUUUUGUGGUGCUGGGGAUUGAACCCAGGGCUUUGUGUAUACGAAGUAAGCACUCUGCCAACUGAGCUAUAUCCCUAGCCCCCUGGUCAUCCUUUUGCUGAGUCCUCAUAUGGCAGAAGGUGUGAGGAUUUCUUGGGUCUCUUUUUAUAAGGGCACUAAUCCCAUUCGCAAUGGCUCCACCUCAGUCUAUUCACCUCCCAGAGGCCCCUUGUCCAAAAACUAUCACAUUUGAGGAUUAGGUUUUAAGAUAUGAAUUCGAUGGUGGGCAAAUUUUUUUGUGGUGGCCUAGAAGAAGUAAAGUGGGGCAUACUCUCUGUCUCCCUACCCCUUUUCCUUGACCAGUGUAUCCAUGAAGCAGUGGCCCACAUGAGUCAGUUCUGUGAGCAGAGUUCUCUUUGUCAAGUCUGUUGCAUGCUGUUGCAGGGGGUGGGGGUGUCACUGACCAAAAGUUUCUUAACCUUCACAAUUGUACCAGUUUUGGGGGUUGUAGUGAAAUGUUAUUGUGAAUGACCCAGAUCCCCCUGGGGACAAAGGCACUUGUUCUCCUUGCUCCUGGAAGUGUUGCUACUGAUGAGACAUGACUUAGACCCUCUCCAGACAUUGCCUACAAUGGAAGGGCUCUGUCUCAUCCAAGGUUUGGCCCCUUCUCAGAGGCAGCUGAUUAUCCAAUGUCUGCACAAUGUGCUCUAGAAGGAUCUGGUCCCCUGUGUCAAUGUGGGACCUCUCCGAAGAUCAGUCUAGCUCUGGCACUCUCUGCAGAAUCGGCUAAGGCUUCUGUUGCAGCCACAUUGCUGUUGAUCAACUUCAGAUCAACCCUGAUUCCUUUAUUCUCAAAAUCACUUCCCAAUAAGUCACCUGUAAGCAAACCUCCUUUCCAAAGUCUGCUUCGGAGGCAAAUGGACCUAUAAUAUUGGAUAUGGGAAAGGGGGCCAGGAAAUAGAUAUUAAAAUGGGAUCUGGGAGCCGGAUCAUCUACCAGCCAACGUGCAGUGAGGAUCCUGACUCUGGUGGUAGGUGAAGCCCUACCAGAACCUGGUUCCAUUUGUUUAAACUGUCCCUGGUGGUGGGGCAGGGUGGGCUACUGAUGGAAAUAUUCUGGUAGGUAUAAUAUCUCAGGUACUUGAGGAGUUUGGGGGGGGGAGUAGUAAUUAUAAGGACUAAGGAAACAUAACUGUUGAUGUCUUAAAGAAGGAAAUAAAAGACUAAAAGUAAUUAGUCACCAACUUACCACAAAGGGCCUCCUUAGAAGCAUAAAAAGAGAAUUUUAUUGCUUAAAGUUGGAGGGCAGAAAGAGGUAAGGAUUAGGCUGUGACCUUAAUGUCAGGAUAGCAGAGUUACAGAGAAGCUGAGUUCUCAAUCCCACUAAGUCAUGCUAAAAUCAGGACUAAUCAGGCUAAUUGGAAAUGAAUGGGCCCUGAGAUUUGGAGUGGGGACAUUUAGGCUGAUACACUAAAAAUUGAAUCUCAGGUUUCUCAGAACCAUCUGGACCUGCAGAAACAACCCUUUCCUUCUUAAAGACUGACAUUCCUCCCUUGCUGGAAGAUGGUGCAGGUGCCUGUGUCUUGCCAGAGAAAGUGUAUACCCCUCAGGAUUUAACUGUCCUUUUCCUUCCUGGACACCAGCCUAGUAACUAGGGACAAGUCACAACUGGUCAUAGCCGCAUUGGGCCUGCCAAGGAGGCAAGGGACGCUAUUUCAAGUGAUUUGCAAGACUAUAUGCAUCUCCAGAGCUGGGAGAUAUGUGUGGGGCUGCAUUCUGAGGGUGAUAGAUCAAAGGUUGUAAAACAUAAAUGGAAUGAGAAUUUUGUUUUUCAAUUUUUCUUUGCUAUGGGAGCAUUCUUUUUUACCUUUUAAAAUUCUUUUUAGAUAUACAUGUCAGUAGAGUGUAUUUUAUAUAUACCUGGAGUGUAACUUACUCUAAUUAGGAUGUAGGAGCAUUCUUAUUUAGGAUUUACCCAUAUGACAAGGUAGACUAUCCUGGUACUGAGCUAGCUUGCUGCUAGAGUGAAUCUUGAAAGCUUAGAGAAAUGAAGGUCUAAAUACUAUGUGAAGUGGAAGUUCUAGAAACCCAUGGCAGUCAGUGUGAGAAGAGUUCAAAAGGCUUACAGAGGGGGCUACACUAUAUUGAAUCUAUGCAAACCUGAAUCCUGCUAUUGCCUACCUCCUAAGAGAGACCAAGGAGUCCCCCCACAUUUACCAAAGUGAUAAGAAACCAUAUUUUUGUCACCAGUGUCAUGAAGAAGCUCAGUGGUGACUGUCCUCUGUGGGCUAUGACUAACAAUAUAGGAUAUUCUGUUACAGAAUUUUACUCUCUUAUAGCAGUAGGGAUGGUAGGAUCCACGAAUAAGAGGGGCCAGGUGAUGUCACUUAAUAAACUGAAACAGAAUAGCCACAGUGAUCAUGAGGAGCAGGGUCAAAACUCAGAGGAGGCCCUGACUUGCAGAGAGCUGUGAACAAACUACAGCAUAUAGCUGGGAAGGUAAUUUGGGUAUUGCAGAAUCUCUAUAUCCCAAAGAAGUUAAGGAUGAAUACUCAGGAGACUGAGACAAGUCACCGUAAUGAAAGUUAUGAUUCCUUGCCUGGUUCCUAGACUUGAGCCAGUAAUUAGACCUGGGACCCAUCAACAGAAAGACAGGCCAGGUCUCCAGAGGAAAAGACCUUGCAAAACCAUAGCAAACAUAUAAUAGCAUAAUUUCUUCAAUUCUUCCUUAUGGGGGUAUAUGACCAUUUACUUGGGUCUCCAUAAUUUGGGGAGAACAGAAUACCUAAUGACUUUUGGACACAGGGUUUGAGUUGACCUUGACACCCAGGAAAUUAAAGGAUGAGUACAGUCUUACUAAGUUUGGUUUAUAAUGGAUCCACUGGGUCCUCCAAGUGCUCCACUACCCCAUCCAGUGAUACCCCAUCCUGUUCCUUGAAUGGGUAAUUGGAAUUGCCUUGCUAGUUGGCAGGAAUUGACUUGCUAGUUAGCAUGUUGGGUUAGAGCUAUUGGAAUGGGAGUUGACAAGUGGCCUCAGAAUCUUUCCCCACCAAUAUUGCAUCCUAAGGGGAGGUAAAUGGCAGAAACUAGUGCUAUUUUUAAAGACCUGAAAGAUGCAGGGGGUUAUUGUUUUUAUCAUAUCUUCAUUUAGCUCACCAGUCUGGUCCCUACAAAACCCAGAUGGGUCCUGGAGGAUGACUGUGAACUACUACUCAACCAAGUGGGACCCCAUUUGCAAUUGCUUCUCUAGAUGCAGUAUCAUUGCUUGACAGAUUAGCAUGGCCUUAGGCACAGGGUAUGUGGCCAUUGAUCUGGUGAAUGCAUUUUUUUCCCCCUUACCUAACAAGAAGGAGGCUCAAAGCAGUUCACAUUACAUGAGGUGAGCAACAGAAUACAUUUAUGACCUGGCCUAGGGCUCUAUGAGCUCUUUUACUCUCUGUUAUAAUAAUGGCUGAGGGGAUUGGGGCCAUCUAGACAUUUCAUAGAGUGUCAUAUUGGUCACUGUUUUUUUUUUUUUCUUUUGUACUAGGGAUUGAACCCAGGGGUGCUUAACUACUGAGCUAUAUCCACAGCCCUUUUUAAUUUUGAGAUAGGGUCUUACCAGAUUGCUUAGGGCCUCACUAAAGUGCUGAAGCUAGCCUUAAACUCACAAUCCUCCUGCCUCAGCCUCCUUAGGCACUGGGAUUACAGGUGUGUCCCACCAUGCCUGCCUUGGUUACUGAAAUGAUGCCACUUUGAUAAGCAUACUGGGGAUUAAUAGGAAAUGGCAAGUAUACAGGAAGAAUUGAUAAGAUGCAUAUAACAAUAGACCAUGGGAGAUACAUUCAACAAAUAUUCCAGUGCUCAUGAUAUUAAUGAAGUUUUAAGGGAUCCUGUGGUCUGGAUCAUGCUGGGCCAUCCCCAUCAAACUAAAAGACAGAUUAUUGUCUCUCCAUUCUCUACCACCAAGACAUAAGCACAACACCUCGUAGGUCUCUUGAGGCAGUAUGCCUCACACUUGGGAACACAGCUCUGAUCCAUUGACCUACUGAUGUGGAUGGCUUUCAGCUUGGAGGGGAACCCAGGGCAGAAAGUGGUCAUACAGAAAGUUCAAGGCACAAGAACCCCAGCUUCCUGGGCCAGAGACCUUACGGACUUCAUGAUAUUAGAGGAAUUUAAGGAGUGAAAAGUCACCAUUCUCAUAAUAGGACAUUCACAAUAGAGAUCCCUAGGGAUCUGGAGGAAACCAUGCUGUCUUCACCUCUUAAAAUAGCUCUUGAUAUGGGUCCAUGUAGAGGCAGAACCUGGCCAUCAGGAGCUGAGUUCUCUCAGACAUACCAAGGCCCAAGAGCAAUCCCAAGUAAGAUGGAAGUGGGUUACCUGUGUGCAGGCACUAGUGCCACAAGACACAAGUAAGAUGUUUGGACAGGUAGUUCAGACUCCUGUAUCAUCUGCUGUUGUUGCACAGGUGACCCUUUCUCCACCCUAAUACUACCAGUUUAUUCUUGGGAGGGAGCACCCACUUGCAAGACAUUGAGCAACGUCUUCUAUGAGAAAGGACAAUUGUCCAAAGGCUAGCAGAGGGUGAUUCACCAGUGUGAUAUUCUGUGUAACACUGCAUUGGGCCAAGGGACCCACUUUAUAGUGAAGGACAAUUGCAGUGGAUAUGUGACCAUGAUGUCAACUGGUCCUGUCACCUAUCACAUCACCCAGAAAAUGUUGGCUGGAUAAAGAGAUUGGAGUACCUUCUUCACAGGCAUAGCUCAGGUGCCAGUGGAGAGGAUAGUCUUUGAAGAUAUGGUAUAUCCUCCAGGAUGCAUCAUGGAUCCUCAGUUGGUAAGUUAUGUGUUUGUCUCCAACAGGUACAAUGUGCUGGACCAGGAGAAGCCAUCCUGAUUACUGUCACCAGCUGUGAUUCAGUUGGGGAAAGUGCUUCUUCCUAAAGGUUUUGUGAGGCCAAAGUUUGCUUCUUAGAGGGGAAUGCUUCUAACUGAAAACAAAGCAAGAAUUCCAUUUAGCUCUUGCCAUGACAACUGGUUGGUCACCUUAGGUUGACAGGUAGCUCAGACUCCUUGACCUUGCCAAGAGAAAGCCAGGACAGAAGUCACCAGUUGUUAGGUGUCAUUGAUUUCAUUCAUUGGGAGUGGUAAGGCUGCUGACAUGAAGUAAGAGGCGAGGAAGAAUGUGAUUGUCACUGAGGUAGCUUUUGAAAUUCCCAUGUCCAAAUUUAAAUUAUGAUUUUUUUUUUUUUUUUUAGGAAUUGAAUUCAGUGAUGCUCAAGCACUGAGCCACAUCCCUAGCCCCCCUUAUUUUCUAUUUUGAGACAAGAUCUCACUAAGUUGCUUAGGGCCUCACUAAGUUGCUGAGGGUAGUCUUGAACCUGAGAUCCUUCUGCCUCAGCCUCCCAAGUUGCUGGGAUUACCAGCAUGCACCACCAUGCCCUUAUGUCCAAUUUUGAUGGCCAGUGGACAAGUACAACAGCUAUAUUCUGGGGAGGCUUGGUGACCUGAUGAAGGAUGAGGAUCUGGACCAGCUCACCAAGUAAGCCACCUAUGCCAGUAAAAGUGGUAAUGGAGGGUGAAGAAAUCUAGAAUGGGCAGCUCCUAGGCCAGUUUGAGCAGUAGGGAUGGAGUUUCUCUCAGAAUGGAGACCAAUCAGAACCCGGAGGAGCUAUUCCAGGAUGGGGUGCUUUAUAGCAAGUAAAUGAAUCCUAAAAACAUAACCGGUGGUCUGUAGGUCUGAUAUGGUCUACCUUCCUAUGCCUCCUUCAGAACUCACAGCAUUUAGCACACUCUAGGAUAAAGAACUGUUGACAUGGGGGCUUCUUUCUGGAGGUGAAUGUGGCCCUUAAUUCAUAAGGAUGUAAAUGCCAUAAGAAUAUAGAUUCCAUGGGGCUAGGGAUUCUUGUUUCAUUCUUCUCUUGCUGGGAGCCUAAGAGGGUGCUUGGACCAGCGUAAGCAUUUGGUCAUCAUUUGUCGGAUGAACAAUUGUUUAUUAUCUUUAGCCCUGUCCAGCUUGUAGCCUGUGCCUACUUGUUGAAGGACAAGUUUGCCACCUUAGGUUUUUUUCAUGUGGAAUUUCAGGUACUGCAUUAGAGGGAUAGCUUUGAUGCUGGAAAGUCCUUGAGGUCAUGUUCAAAUUAUCAUACCUAUAUGCACAUGCACACACACACACACAGAGUGAUUCUGAAACAUCCUUCUAAAUUCUUUGUGAAUAUGGAGGCCCAAGGAAACCAGUUCUUGUCAAGCUGUUUCCAUAUUUCCCUACCCUAGGAGGAUAAGCCCCAUUGAGACUAGGUGUCAGAUCCUGUGCCUCUAUCUCUCCCACUUGGGCCCCAGGCCCUCACCUCCAGAGUUGGCACAUCAUCAGACCAAGUUAUUCCCAUAAAGGCGCAAAACUUGAGACUUAAAUUGGAUUUGCCUGUGGCUUUGUGCUCUUCAUGUCCCUCCCUCCUUUGGUUUUGAUUUAUCGUUUUAAUCAGUCAUAGUCAAUCAUUCCCUCUCCGUCUUGCUCACCAUAAACACAACCUCUUGCCAAAAAAAUUAUGACUGUAUUAAAUGAUUUUAUUACAGUAAACUGCAGAUUGUACAGUGUAAACACAGGUGCCGCUCAAACUCCACACCCUCCAGCUCUGUCCAGACCAGCACUGGUGCCGGGAGGGCGGGGAGGUGCCCAGGCCUGCGGGAGGGAGUGCCGCCGGCAGUCAGAGGAUCAGGAGGUCCUUCGGUUUAGCCCUUUGCCAUAGAGAUGAAGAAACUAAGUCUCUGGCUGGUGAAGCCACAGGUCUCAGAAGGCUGAAAGGUCACACAGAUGUCUAAUGUCACACAGCUGUCCAAUGACAGAGCUAGAGUUGGAUCUAGGGUCAUCUGAUGUUUGAGACCCUUUGCAUGACACCUUUCCUUUAUGCUUUAUCUUCUCCCUUUCCAGGGUCAUUUUUGGCUCAUAGAUAUUUAUUUAUUUAGUACCAGGGAUUGAACUCAGGGGCACUUUACCACUGAGCCACAUCCCAAGCUCUUUUUUAUAUUUUAUUUAGACACAGGAUUUUUCUGAGUUGUUUAGGGCCUUGCUAAGUUGCUGAGCCUGGCCUUGAACUUGAGAUCCUUCUGCCUCAGCCUCCUGAGCCACUGGGAUUAUACGUAUGGGCCACUGUGCCCAGCUGAGUUUGAUAUUAUAAUUCUCUUACACACAUACACACACACACACACACACACACACACACAUGAACCAUGGGUCUUAUGUUUGCUUUUUGUCUCAGCACUGGGGGAAAUGUAAAUUCAGUAUAAAGAACAAGUAGCUCUUCUUUCCCCUCAAUCAGGGAUGGCAGAGAUGGGGACUCCCUAUCCAAGCCAUUGUUCUGGAGACAGAGAUGGGGAAGUCCCAAAGUAGACACAACCAAAGAAGGCUCUUCUGGGAUGAGGCCUUGGGGAAGCAGCCCAGACCAGCGCCUUCUGGCUGGUGAGUAGGAGAGCUUUGUCCUGGGAUGGCCGCGCCACUCUUGAAGCUUGGAACCCUGUGUUGCCAAAGUAGCUUGCCCAGUAGUACUGGAGCCAUGGAGUUUAGUUUCUUUUGGUGUAGGUACAAGAGUAGAGAAGACCAAGACUCUUUGGGGGGUCAUUUCUCCCCGGCGGGGGGGGGGUGGUCUACUCUAAAUAUAUUGUUACUAAGUAAGCAUGAGAAAGGCAUUUUCUAAACAGGUGACUUAUCAGGUCGAGGGGGACUCUUAGAAAGGGUACUCCAAAGAUGGGACUAUUUGGACAAUCCAUUGAAGAUGUCACCUCCUCAUUGGGAGCUUUCUUAGCCUAAACUCUCCAGCCCUUUGGGAAUCAGUGCGCGUACACACACACACACACACACACACACACAACAUAUAUACAUAACAUAUAUACAUAUAUAGUUUAGUCUUCACAUCUGCUCUUUCCCCCCCUUCCUGUUUGUUUUUUGGUUUUGGCACAUCUGGGCCUCUGUAGUAAACAGAUCCAAUAUUUACCAAGCAGCUCCAAAGGUUACAUUUGCUUCCAAAGUUUUUAAUUCCUCCUCCUUUUGGAUAAGUUUCAGCUCCAGAGAGAAGCUGUUUUUGCUGAGCCUGGGCUGCAGGAGAGAGGCAGGAACACAGACCCAUCUGUUGAAGAUUGGAACAUAAAUAGCCCCCUUUAAAAAUAAAUCUCCGCUUUUAACUCUGUAGAUAAAAAUAUCUGAAUAAAGGACAAUUCUUAAUCUCCACCUUCUCCCCUGCUUGACUCAAGCGUUUCUAAGUGGAGUUUUUUUUUUUUUUCUCUUCUCCUUUUACAGGUUUCAUUUUGGCUUUGAUUCUAGUGAGUUUACUGACAGAUUACUUCAUUUUAACUAUAUGGCUUUUCUGUCUAGGGGGAGGUAUAUUUCUAAGUAUCAUAUUUAUCAAAAGAGCUCUGCAAAACAAGGGCCAGAAUUACUCUUUUGAUGGUUCCCCCUCUAACUACAACCACAAUAAAUUUUGUGAGAAAGAAUGCUCAACUGGGGACCUUUUAUGUUAAAGCCGAGAACCGGGGUUCAGACGUUGUCACUUUCAAACCUCCACCAGUUGGGCUGUUUUUUUUUUUUUUCCUUCUUCUCCUCUCCCCGGCCAGAAAUCUCACAUCUGGUCUCACUUGCAAGGCUGGUCCUGGGCUCCCAGGGGCUCCAUAUUUUUCCCCCUAUAACUUUAAAUCAGAGGAGCAUUUCAGUAAAUCACAGGGAACACUUAUUUAUUGGACAUAGUUUUGGGUCUCUUAAAGCAUGGAAAAUAAAUUUAAUGGAGCGUUCGGAGCAUUUCUCCAAUCUUUUGAGGGAUUACUUGGGGAAUUUGUCAACUGCGCCAAGCCCAGCAGCCUGAUCCAGAGAGAUGGGAAGGAAAUGAUGGGAGAAUCUUCUCAGAGGACCCAGGUGGAUCCUAAAUCACCCCAAGAAAGAUUAAUAUAGGAGGACCAGUUGCCAGCAAGGUUGAUCGGCAGCCUGGCCAUCUAUUUAAUAAACUAUCAUUUCAGCUGGAGGGUGACUUUAAUCUGAAUUACAUUUUGUUUUUGUCAUCCACUCUUGCCAAGUAAUUUAUGGCAUACCAGAGCAUGCUUUUUAACCUCAAACAGCAAAGGAGGGAGGUAAAAAAAGGGGGGGGGAUGGGGGCAGGAACAAAGACAGAUAAUAAAAUAAAAAGAGGGAAGAGAGAAGUUCUAGGAGGCUGUGAAAACCUGGAGGUCAAUAGAGGAGCAGGGUAGAGCAGACAAUUGGAGAGAGGGAUGGAUGGAGAGAGGGACUGCCCGAGAGGAGUAGGUGGAGGCUGCCUGUCUGGGCAGUCAGUUCUUGGUGACCUUGAACCAGAAAUGAAGGUGGGUGGGGUUGGUCUUUCUUCUUUGAGGGAAAUUAGUGAGGGUAAUUUUUUCCUGGCUUGUGGGAUCAGUGACCUUGCAGGUUAGGGUAGCAGGAGUGCUUGCUUAGCCUAGGAAGAUGGGAGGCUUCUGAGGUAACCCUCGGGAGGUGUGCUGCUCCUUCAGGUUGGAGCUGCUGGGAGAACAAAGGGCUGUUCAUGAGGGCGGACAGGCUUUGUUUUUGGAAGCAGAGCAACAGUGACAUUAUUGUGGUCAUUAUGAGCCUUAGUGCAGAACCACCAUGCCCCUUUUCUGAAAUUGUGGGUCUGGAGGUUCUGAUUUGUCUUUGUCCUAGUCUUGGUGAUUCUUCACCAAGAAGAGGACAGGGAUUUUUGUUUUUAGGUCCAAAUGGGUAAAGUGAGGCACAAGGUAAGCAGGAGCAAAAGCUAAGGGAUCUCCUUAAGCCAUAGGGGUGCUGCAGGGGGCCAGGGACAUAGAUGUGCUCAUUUCUCCAGCUUUCGUGUCCUGCAGAUGAGGGCUGAAGAGCUUCCUGCUCUUCAUUUCCGUUUUCUUGGAGCUUCUUUGAUGUCCUGGGGAGAGGACUUUCUGCUCUGAUUUCCUUGUUCUCCCACGUGAUUCCUACCAACCCUUCUCUGCUUCUUCACUCUGUCUUUUCAGCCUAGUCAAACCAGUCCUUGCCUGUCACCUCCCUGGAUGGCCAUGGACAAGGGCCUUGGAGUCGGGGAACUCAUAGGGACCACUGGGGUGGUAGCCUCGGGAAUGAGAGGAGGGUCAGAGGGGAGACAGGAUGACCAGAAAGUUCUGGGCCAGGUGAACUCUGAAGUGGUCGCUGCUCAAUCCAGACUCAAAACAGAGUGCAAGUGAAGACCUUGUCUGCCCACAGGCUUCUGUGGAGUGAAUUUAGAUGUGGUAGGUGUGGGUGUGGAGGAAAUGUUCUGGGGUUUGGGAAAUUACAGGAGCAGGGCUUCAUGGUGAGCACGUGCCAAAAUGCUGACCUUCAAGUGACCUCUCACUGGCUCUGCAUGGCUUUUCCUGUUUGCUUAGGGUCCUCCGUGAUCUGGCUUCAUCCAAGUUUUCAGCCUCCCCAUUCCUUAUAGUCCCACGAACACUCUGGACUGUAGUUUACCUUCUUACUUCUGCUUUGAUGGUCCUUCUCUUCUUGUCCAUCCUUCCUAGUUUUACCCACACUUCAAAGUUUGAGACCAAGUUUUAUUUUCCCCUAGAACAUGUCCCUGAACACUUUGUUCUUUGUGACCAACUGAUGGCCUCUACCACACUCUUUAGCAUGAAGGUGAAUAUGGUCUCUUAUUGCCCCUGUCGAGUUCCUAUUUCCCUCUCUGUCUUAUCUCCUCAUUGGUAAGUGAAGGGCUGUGAGGGAUGAUCUCUAAGGUCCUUUGCAGCUAUAGUGUUCUAAGAGUCUAUGUCUCACCCACCUCCUGUAUCUUUUUCUCUUAUGAAACCUCAUAAUAUUCUAGUCCAGGAUUGAGCUCUGAGAGGGUAUUCCAUAAGUACUUUGGUUUACUCAUCUGUACAUGUCUUUUUUCCUACUGGAGGUGGAAAGACUAGGAGUAGCUUAGGUGCCUUGGGAGCCUUGUCCUGUAGUUGAGCCCAAAGAAAGCAAUUUGUGGAUAUGGUAAAAAUUGCUCUGAUUUCUUUACUCCCAGUAUAUUCUGUUUUGGGGAAUUUACUUUGGGGAGUUCUCUCUAGCAUAGGGAGAGCGCUUACUAAAGGGGCUGGGGAGCUCCUUUGCAGAAAAUACAUUUUAUAGCACAAUAGAAAAAAGUUCCCAACUUGAUUCAGACCUGGGUUUGGCCACUUCUUGCCCCCAAGACUCAGGCAAGUCACUUGGCCUGCGAAUCUUACACGUUCAUCUCUAGAACAAUGGUUCCAGUACCUGCCUGUUUGAUCUCCAAGGACUGUUGUGGGAAUAAAAAGGUGAGUUGACUUGGGAGAACGUUCUGUGAAUUGUGAAGCUAAUCGUAGCAGGUGUGAAGUGGCCGAGGAGGUAUGAAGCGAGCACCUAACCUCUUAACACUAACAAAUAAAAGCCAAGACAACAGAAAAAGAGGACAUGGAAGGGCUCUCCCUCCCUCUCUCACUGUUGGACAAAGCACCACUUCUCUGGAUAAUAUGCUGUAGAAAUGCUCCCCCCUCACCCACAGGGAGGGAAUAAAAAAAGACAGAAAAGAAAGUCAAGCGAGAAGGAACAUACUGGUAUAUUCUGAAAGUUGACUCUGGGAGGAGAGGAAAACAUGAGCAAACAAAAGCUGUCACUCACUGGCAAGCUGCUUCCCCUGAGGAAUAAUCUCUGUGAAGAAAAAUUAAAGAUAUGAACGUAGCCUUGAGCAGGCGUACAGACCCUGGCUAUGGCUGGUAACUUGGGAACCUCUGGGGCGUGGCCUUCCCUCCCAGUCUUGGGGUUUUACGAGCUCUGAGGGGUUGAGAAAGGGGGCAGAGUUCGUCUUCUGUCCUCCAAGGGGGCAGCGUCUUCCUGUCCCCCACAGUCCCUGCAGUUUGCCUGAACAGGCGUGCCUGGCAGUGCCAUGGUCCAGGCCUGGACCCCAUGUGGCCGUGUCAUGGCCGCAACCUGGACCCUGUGUAGAGCCCUACCCACCCUUGGCCUUUCUUACGCACUCACACCUCACUUCUCUUCAUCCUGUUCCAACUUCCCUCUCUUCCCACAUCCAUCCGCCUUGCCUUGUCAAUUUUCACCCCAUGAAUCAGAAGUUGGAGGGCCCCUGGAAGCUGGCAACUGGGGCUCCAGCCUUCUAGAAACCUGUUUGUGUGCAAACAGACAAAGGGCUCCCCCCCUCCAUGCACACACCAUCCCGACUUUCCAAGACGAUGAUUGAGUUUUUCCCCUGUUCUGCUUGAUAUUUCUGCCAAAGCAAGAAAAAUCCUCGUUGAAGUCUAGCAGGAAAUCCAAUAAAAAUUCUUCAAAAGAUGGGCUUGACAUUGAAAAACAGCAAAAUUAUAAAAUAGGCCUUAGAAAAGAGAGAGGAGAGUUAUUAUAUCUGGCACCAAGCAAAAGCCCCGAGACCCCGUCCAAAUGAGCCAUCACAGAUUGAAAGUGUUUAGCUUCCCGUUGAUUAAAUAUGGAGAAGGACCCAGGGCCUGCCAAGCCUCGGGGAUCCAAAGUUUGUUUUCAGUCAGAAUGUGUUUUCAGUCAAUGGAAAAAAUGGUCGGCCUGCGCUGGGCUAUGUAACCGAGAAGCCCCAGGUUUGGAGUGAGUAAUGGCUGUGAAGCAGAAAACCAUGAGGGUUGUUAAUCAUCCCUCCCAGGCCCCUGUAAUUUAACUCAGCGACUCCUUCGGCUUGGAACGCUCUCCCCACCCCCUUGCCUCCUUCUCCCUGAGUUCAUUUUGCUCCAGGGAGGAGAGAGGAGUCCUUCUGAAGGUCCUCUGCAUUUCAGUUCUUAAAUCUACCCCCUCCCCAGCCCUCUCCCUAUCGUGUCCCCAUCAUCCGUGGCUCUGAACAUCCCAGGAUGUGGGAACAGAGAGCAGAGAUACACUCCCACCCAUGCGGUUCUUUCAGGAAAAUUUGCUUUGUCCCAUGAGCUUCCUGAAAGCAAGACCUGGAAAAAUCUCGACCUCCACCGAUUGCCUUUGUGGGUUGGGCUGUCUUACAGAGGUGUUUACUGACAUUUAAAAAACAGUUAUCUUUUUCCCACCUUAAAGUUUUCUUUUUUCUUAGGUCACAUUGACCGUACAUUAUUCCCUUGGGAUUAAGAGUAUAGGAAGUCUGGUUUCUGCUGUCUUUAAAGUCCCCAUAAAUGAGGCUUCUGAGAUAGAGUGAGUGACAGGGAGAAGAGAGAAAAGGGUGAGUUGGGUGGGGGGGGGGAGAGAGAGAGAGAGAGAGAGAGAGAGAGAGGGAGAGAGAGACUGGAGGGGAACAUGUGGCCUAUGAGGUAGGCCAAACCUCCUUUUCUGUCAAAUGCAAACUCUAUUCUACUCUUCUGCUUUCCCAGCCACCUAUGCUGCCACCUUCUUUUUUUUGGUGGGUUGGGGGGUGGUUUCCAAGGAUUGAACUUGGGGCACUUGACCACUGAGCCACAUCCCCAGCCCUAUUUCAUAUUUUAUUUAGAGACAGGGUCUCACUGAGUUGCUUAGCACCUCAAUGUUGCUGAGGCUGGUUUUGAACUUGCGAUCCUCCUGCCUCAGCCGAUGGCAUUACAGGCUGUCCCACUGCGCCUGGCCUCUCCAUGCUUACUUCUUGAGUCAAGUUUUGACCAGCAUUAGCAGCACCAGGGGAAUGAGGUUGCUGGUGUGAAUCUCCUCUUUCUUGUCCUGCCCUAAUGGGUAUAUGGUGGCUUCAUUGAAACUAUUGGUUUCAUUGGCUUCAGGCCUCUAUGCAAUCACCUCUCCAGAUAACUGCUAUUGAUGGGUCACAUUUCACUAAAGUCUAGUUAAAAUUGCAGGAGUAGGACCUAGUGAACAUUCUUUUGGUCUGCUGUUUGUUUCAGAAUGGUGGUCAGCCUGAGCCGCAGCUCAAUCUCCAAGUACAGAGAGGGCUUGAUACCUUUCAGCUGGGCACCAACAUUUGGUUGCAGGAAGUCACUUCAACCAAAUAGUUUUUUUUUUUUUUUUGAGGACUAGGCAAAUAAACGGAAGAAAAUGAGUAAAUAAGUGGCUUUAAAAUUAUGACAUGGGAAAUGCUCAGCGGUUGAGUGGAAACAGAUUCUUCUGUAAGGAGAGCAAGUCUCUGGCAGCUCAGCUGUAGGGACAUGAGCCCAAUCAGCAAAUACUCUGAGUGACCAAUGAUGCUGAGAAGUGAAAAGGAGAUAGCUCCACAGGCUAGAUUGUCCCAAAGAUCCAGCUAGAGGAAUUCUGGGAAGGGAGGAAGUCAAAGGAAAAAAGCUUGUGUGUGUGUGUGUGUGUGUGUGUGUAUGUGUGUAUGAGGGGGGUGGGGGGAGUGGGAGAUAUGCUUUGGAUAUCACUAUUCUAGGAGAAGGAAGAUCAAGGAUGUCACAAGGAGAAGGAGAAGAGGAGGAGGAGGAGGAGGAGAAGAGGAGUCCAAGUUGGUCCUCAUGUACCACCCUCUGCCUUCACAUCAUUAGAAUCCUUCCUCAUACCUGUCAUUUUUUGGAGUAAUUACAGGGUGCUAGCAUGUGCCAGAAGCUGUCUGUAUUAUGUAACCCUUUCAGUGGUUCUCUGUGGUAUGCCUUAGGUCCCUUCUUCACCGUAAAGAAUCUGGAAUUUGGAAAGGAGAAGAGCUUAUAAAUGGAGGAGUCAGGAUUUGAACCUGGAUCUGUCCAGCCUCUUGCCCUGACCCACACAGAGAGUCUGGUGAGUUUUUGUAGGCAGUGAUUCCAGGACUCAGAUAUUUGGAGACAACCCAGGAGGAUACACAUCAAAGAUUCCACUUCACAGUGGAGGAAAACCAGCAGCCCCAUGGGGCGGAGAGUCGGCAUUUCAAACAGCAGUGAAGGCUGCUGUGCUGGGGGGCUCAUGGCAGCAGCGGGACCCAGGUUGGGAGGGUCAGUGGCAGGUCACUGUCAUCAUCAAUCACCCCAAAGCCUUUUGUCUGCAGCAGGGAGGGAGAGGGAGCUGGCUGGGGCACCAAAGCAAAGCAGGUGGACCAAUAGAAUUUAAGGGAUUCUGCUGGUGGGAGAUGGGAAGGAGUAUUUAGAAGUUUAAGGGGAAUCUUCAUGGCUUGGGGAAUGCCCCGGUGGGAGAAAAUGUGCCGUUCCGAGAUCCUGUACAGCAUUCCCAUCACAAGCUGGUCCUUCCCAAUGCUGCGUUGCUCCUGGCACUGGGGGUUCUUAUAGACCUAUCUAUCCAUUGCUAAAUGCUUCAUUGGACCACACCAGCCACUGUUCUAGAAGGUACCAAGAAAUGCAUCAAAAAUUUUAUAACAAGUUUUUUAAAUCUGGUAUAUUAGACACUUACAAAUCUCAAAUUCUUUUCCCCAAAAAUAUGUUAUUUUAUUUGCACUCUGAGAAACCUAUAGUCCAAUAAGGGAGGAUAUGGUCAUGGAGAACAACGUAGGCACCUGCCAGGCACUGUUUCAAAUAGUUGUACGUCUUCAUAAUGGCAAUGCUAACAAUGGCUGAGGUAGAAACUCCUGUUAUCCCUCCUUUUCACAAGAAUGAACCGAAGUACAGGGGGGUUAAGUCGUUUGUCUGAAGCUAUAUGACCAGUGAGUGGUAGGGUCAGGAUUCAAUGCCAGGCUGUCAAGGUCUGUGCCCAACUAUGAACUGGUGCACCCCACUGUCCUUGGUGUUUGUAGAGAAGGCAGCGGUGGAGUGGGAUAUGUUCAAGAGUAGGGAGAAGCUGAAGUGAGCAAGCUGGACUCAGACAAGUGGUCAGGGAGCUGGGCAUAAGGACAGGAGGCCUCUGGAGAGGAGGCUUUGGAGAGAGUGGAGGACUUGAGGUGAGUUGUUCAGGGACCUUCUUGAGGCCGGGCUGAGGGUCAGACCGAUCCUGGGACCUUUUGGAGAGAGAGAAUGAAUCUGACGAGAGUGAGGUGGUCUUCAGUGGGCAGUAAGGACACAGGUCUGUGGGCAGGCAGAUCCUGAAAGCCAGGGAAGAUUUAGUUUGUACCCUGGGAGAGGGUAGGGUUCUCCGGGCAUUCUGAGCCAUAGCUGGCACAGCAUAAAUCACCAGGAGACUAGCAUGCCAGGCCUGGCUCUGCCUUGAGGCAUCUCUCUCAAGGUCACUCAGCUAAUUCAUGUCUUUGGAUUCCAGCUAUCUUAUUUUUUUUUUAAAUAAAGGAAUUAGGCUGGAUGCUGUCCCCUGCCUAUAGAGUUCUGUGGUAAGAGCCGAAGAGGAGAAUCAGGCAGGGUUUUAAAAAGAGGUUGGGGAUGGAAGAAACUAAAGAUAAUGAAACCUUGGAAUCAGAAUUAAGGUGAUCUUAGAUACCUUCUCCCUACUCUGUUUUGUAAGUGGGGAAACUGAGGCCCAGAAAGGGCAAAUGAUUUCUCUAAGCCACACAGCUUAUUAUUGGGAGAGCCGAGGCCUUAAUCCAGGCUUAGGCCCCUGGGCCUGCUCCCCUGCAGGUAGGAGCCAUUGAAAGAACUUUGCUCAAGAGUAGGCUGAAAGCAGAAAGGGCUGGGAGGCUCACAGGACAGUGCUACCAGUAUUCAUUCUUACUGCAUUUUGCCAGCAUUGGCCCGGUAACCGUCUCCAGAGGAGCAUAGCUAGGCAUUGGCAUCUCAGAACCACCAAUCCGUGGGUUCCAGUCCUAAUUCUGCCCUGGUGAGGAAUAUGCUGCUAUGCUCAUCUGUAAAAUGGCAGACCUGUCCCUGCUCAUGGCUGUGAGCUGAGGCUAUAAUGUCCUGGGAGCCAUCUGCAGGGAAAAUUGAAGUCUGAGGUGGGACCGAAGCCAAUGGCCAGUGUGGUGGCAGAUCCCCAGGACCUGGGCUCCUCUUUUGCUUUUCUGGGCCCAGAGCCAUGCUCCUCACACCUCCUGUGGCCUGGAGUGAAGGAGCAGGGUGUGCUGGCCUGGGGCUCCAGGGCUGGGUGGAGGGGGUGAGGCUGCAAGUAUUGCCUGAGCCCUGACACUUGUAUGAACCUCCCUCCCAGGUUCCUAUUUGCACUCCAUGUCAAAGGAGGCUGGUAAAAGUUAACAGGCCUCCCUGCCUCUAGGAGAUCAGAAAGACAACUGGAGCUUCCUGGGGUCAGGAAGAGGUCACUGAGACCUGCCUGACCAGGCAGUCCUGAGCUGACCCUGAUUUAGAAUCCUGCUCUCUACCUGAAUCCAGAACCCAGAGCACCUUCCAAGGCAGCUGACCUGAGUCCCCAUUUCUCUAAAGGCACCUGAGAAGGUGUCCUGGGCCUUUCUUACAGGGCCCCUUCUCCGUUGGGCCCAACAUUUCCCCCUGGCCCUGGGCCCAGGGGUGUGUGGAGGGGAAGAAGUCCAAGAGGGAGUGAGUGGGAUCCAGAGUGGGAUGACUCUGAAUGACAUGUAGGGCAGAAUCUGUGUCUGGGCUGGGCCUGGCCAGGUGUGACCCUAGUCCCUGACCCCUGGUGGCCCAGAGCGGGAGGAGGUGAGGGAUGGGGAUUGGGAGGAGGCUGUUGGCUAACAUUUACCAGGACCUUUGAAGAUGUAAAUGCUUCCCCAGCCCCUGCUGGGAUUGAUGGGGUCAGAGUUCACAGGCAUGGUUGCCUGGUUCUCCAAGUGGGCUGGAAAUCUUUCAGACAGAUGGGUAAGGGUCCCCUGUGAUGGCACAUUCCCUAGAGGCAAAGGGCUCAUGGGAAAUGCUAUUUCUGUUGCUCUUUUGGGAUCAGGCCCAGUGUCCUGGAGGCUGUAGGACCGGCUGAUGGAAGUUGUUUUUGUCAACUACUCACAUGUUGCUUGGGUGUGUUUUCCAGGUUGUAUUUGGUCCCAUGAAAAUCAAUCAGUGGAUGAUCUGGGAGAGCUUCCAUCUCCUGACUCUGCCUGACUUGAAGCUUUUUGCCUACCCAUAUUAGAUUGUCUGCGGUCUCCUGUCACACCAUGCUCUUUCUUGCCUGGCAUCCCUCCUGAGCUGUUUUCUCUGCGGGCUUGUCCUUUUCACCUCCUUAACAUUAAAAACUCCUAUUCACCUUUCUGCAUCACCUCUUCCAGGAAGCCUUCUUGGAAUGGCACCUGCCCCUCUCCUACAACAGUCAACAGCUCAUGCACUCAACUAAUAUUUAUGAACUGUGUGCCAGGCCCGGUUCUAUUGGAAACGUAUCAGGGCAUACAGCAGAUCAAAAUCCUUUCCUCAAGGAAUUUAUGUUCUAGAAGGUAAUGAUAACUAACAUUUAUAUAAUCCUUUUUGAAAAGCUUUAUAUGCAUUAACAAAUUUAAUCUUUAGAACUUCCCUAUAAGGUAGGUCAAUUUAUUUUCCACAUUUCGAUAAAUGAAGUUACACACCUGAUAAGGGUCAUAUUUAAUUUAAUUUAAUUUAAUCCUUACCACAGGAUUAUGAGAUUGAUGCCAUUUUCCUCAUUUUACAGAUUAGGAGCCAAGACUGAAGGGGCUAAGUAUUGGUCAAGGUCAUCUAGCCAGUAAGAGCAGUACCAAGUAGAUAGAUAACUGCAAGCCUGGGAAGGCCUAGAUUGCCUCCCUGUAAUACUAUUACUCUGUUUCUGUGUUGAAGCAUUUUCAUUUCCUAUUUAGGUGAUCUUCUCAUCUUCCUCAUUAUCCUAGGAGUUCUCCCCAGGCAGUAAUCUGGCUUAUUUAUCUGUGUCUCUUGAACUCCCAUUGUGUUGAACACUCAAUUUGCAUCCAACAAAUACUUGCCUAUUGAUUGAUUGACAGCUGUAUGUGGGUGGAGAUGAGGAGGAGGCAGCUAGUAUCUGUUGCAUAUACUCUAUGCUAGGUUGCGCACUGGUCCUUGCUAACCACCAUCUCUUUUAGUCCUCGGGAUAGUCAUAAUGAACUAGCUUUCUCUGGGCUGGCAGCUAGUGUUUGCAAAAGAUGGGAUUUCAUCACAGGUUUCUCUGACUCCAAAAAUCCAUGUCCUUUCUACACCACAGGAGGCUGCUGAUGGAUGGCAAGGUGGCCACUCCGGAAAGUGUUGGAGCCAAAGCCUCCUGAGCUCUUGCUGUUCCAGUCCCCACCUGGCUAGGAGAAAUGGAGAGGGGGUGGACCUUCCAUUUCGAGGCUACCUCCACAAUAGAUUAAAAGGCAUCUGGGAAAUUGAGGCUUUGGUUCCAAGCUCAUUCCCACCUAUCCAGAUGUUUGAAGUAGUUAAAGGGCAGCAAUUUGGUCCAUUACAGGUGUUUAAUGGAUUUUUAUCAAUUGUUGCGAAUUGCUACUGAUUUGUUCCAGGGAAGUUGCUGGAAUCAGACAUAACUGGCAAAUAUUGCACAUGUUUUCCAAUGAAGGAGGAGGAUUAUGGCAGACUAGCCUUUAGUUUUCAGGUCUGGAGCGGAUAUGCAAGGGUUCUCUGUGUAUAUUUAGUUCUUUUGUUCAAACAUCUGUUUAUCCUCCUCCUCCUCCUCCUCCCCCUCCCCCCCCUCCUCCUCCUCCUCUCUCCCAAUUAGGAAAGGAGAACAGAAUCUUCUGAUUGAUCUACCCAUAGAGCCUUGUAGACUAGCUGGCUGGAUCUAUGAGUGGAAGGAAUACAAGAGACCCACCCAGGGUUCCCAGCCAAGCAGAGCACUGGAACUCGUGUCUCAGGCCUCCAUGUCCCCACUGUCACCAGCUGGUCACGUCAGCUUCCAUGGCCCCCCAUCUCCCACAGCAGACAGCCAUGUCAGGUUUCCCCUCCUACUUUGGCUAAUCCCCUAUUUUGCUUGACUUAGAAUCAAAAUGCAGGAGGACUGCACCCAAACGGACUAAGCUUGCUUUAAUCACUGGCAGGUAAUUUGAUAGAUGGCUUGGCCAGCACCCACUGUAGGAAUUAAGCAAAGCCUGAGUUGUGGAGACAGUGGGAAAUAACCUUGAGUGACUGUGGUAAGCAGGCGGCCUCAUUUCACCCGGGGGACAGCACCUGCCCCAGCUCUACAACUCAAAUUGGAAGCCUGCAUGCAGUGUCUGCCAGGUGGAUGGGUGACAUUUCUCUCCCAGCCUCUUCCUCCAAAGACAGGACAAAUGUGUCAGCAGCGGGGCCUCAGGAAGAACCAGCAGACCCUCAGCUUCUCUUCUGACUUACCUGGGGAUAGGACAUCUAACAGUUGAGGAAGGAGUGACUGAAACUGUGCCCCAGUGUCCCCUCCUACCAGUUCAGGUCACAUUUCCCCCAGGCCAGCCAGGUAAGCAUUCCAGCAAAUGAGCUCAUUUGUUGGUUCCCUCAUUUGUUGGGGGAACACAAGAGAAGCCAGGGCCUUUCAGCAGAUGAGAGUGGCAUUAUAAAAUUAGUGUUUUAUGGGCCACAUGCAGAAACUGACCAGUUACCCAAGACUCUGCUGCUUCUGCACAGGGGCCAGUUGCAGAGGAGAAACUUCUAGAUUCUUUCAUCCUGAUGAGGAUUGUUAGCUCUGACUUCAGAUAAGCAGAACAAACAAGCCUCAGCCCAAGUGGGAACUGGUUCUGCGCCCUCGCUUUGCUUUUCUAAGUCAUCAAAGCCAAGUUCCUAGGGCCUGACUGUCUCACGGUACUUUCUGAUGGUUUCAUUGUUUUGUUUAUUGUGCUUAUGACAAGUGCUAACAGACCGCUUUCAAAGUGUGUUGAUAUUUCAGUUGUUUUUGAAUGGCCCUUCUGUUUUUCUGCAUCUGGACAGCAUUACAGUCUGGCCCCAGGGAACCACUGGGUUCCUAUAAAAGUGUACCAGGUCCCCUUAUGCGGAAAACACUGGCCAUGACAAGAUCAGACACCCUUCUGGGCAGGAACACACACCAGAAAUGAGAGCAGAAUCAUGAGCAGCCUUCAGGAGCCAGGAAGGACAGGCCUGGGCUGGGAAGAGGCCAGUGAGCAUUGCCAAGAGGACUGUGGGUGUUCUUUUUCUAUGCAUGGACAUAUUGUGACCUUCCCAAGGGACAAACUCUACCUAGCAGGGUGCCUAGCACUGGGCCAUGUUACUAAGUGUUUGUUGUCAGUCGAUCCCCGCCCCCCCCCCCCUUCCCGCUACCUUCUCUGUCUUCUUAUUUCAGGUUGCUCAUCAACCACUAGCAUAGAAGGGUUCCUGAGGACGGACCAAGGAACAAGAGCUGAACAGGCAGGACAAUUUGGAGUUCAGGAGAGAACUGGGAGAGGCAAGCAGCCCCAGGACACUCAAUCUUCAGCUCCCAAUCUGCUCCCCUCCUAAGCUUUCUUGGGGGGAAUCUUUUGCUAUAUUGCCUGAAGGACUGUAGUGGGGGAAAAGGUAGGAUGGGUUUGUCCUCUUGAGAGUCUGUCUUUGGUUUUCAUGGCUUUUUUUCCUUUUUACUUCUGCUCUGUCCCCACCCUCCCUCACUAGCCCUGACGCAUACUGCAUUGGGACAAUUUAGGCUAAUGCAAAACUAGGCUCAAAUCAGCUUCCUCCAGUAAGAGAGAAUCUGUGGAUAUGGAUCAGGCUCAGAUAUAAUCUGAGCAAACAACAAACCACUGGUUUUGUUGUUUAUAGCUCUCAUAAUCUAAUUGUUUCACCUCUGAACAUUCUUGCAUUGCCUAACACAAUAAAGAUCCAAACCAUAACAACAUCAUGGAGACCGUUGUAGAGCAAUCCAUUCACCUCUUGGCCAGGAAGCAACAGAGAAAAAGAAGAAGAGAUUGAGGUCCAAAAUCUAUGUCCCCUUUGAUCAGAAGACCUCUAACUGGGCCCUAUAUUUAAAAUUUCCACCACCUCCCAAUAGUGCUAAUCUGGGGACUAAGGCUUUAACCCAUAGGCUUUUGGGGGAACAUUUCAGAUUCAAACCAAAGUAACUAUCAUUUUGAAAACUCUAGUAUAAGCUACCUGUCCUUCUUAAGUUUUAGUAUCUGCAAACUUGUAUAUGUGACUGCAUUCACUUUAGCUCACUUGUGAGACCUGAGAAAGCACUCAGCAGUGCUAUUUUGUUUCAUUAGAACAGGAAUUUCACUGGUUCUUGGUGCUAGAAGGAGAUAGAAGGGGACUCUGGACCUAGGGUCAGGCUCUUUCCUACAGGCUGGGCUGCUUGACCUCAGAGAAUCUGAGCAUGCCCUUCACAUUCAACUUGAAGGCAUGAGUGUUCCAUCCAGAGGCCGUUUCUUGUUUGCCAAUAUGAUUCUCUGUUGGGGCAGAGAACAUGGUGUGCCUGUGUGUGUGUGUGUGUGUGUGUGUGUGUGCCUGUGUGUGAGCACUUGUCGUUUUGAAAAAUUUUAAACUUUAUGUAGCAAUUUCUUUCCCACCAGGAUCUCUCCUUGUAUGAAACUUGAAUUUUAUAGAUUUGGCUGUUAAUUCAUCAUGGAUACCACCAUCAAUAAAUAUUUAUUGAGCUUUCACUGGGCAUAGCAUGUUGAAAUAAGAACUAUAUAUUUGACUAAAGAGGAGUUCAUAGCAGAUGGGGGGUAGCAGAAGGGGCUGAAGAAAUCUCUUGGAUGUCUCUUCCAAAACUGAAAUUUGAUGACUUUGUAGCUUCAGUGACAGGGUCCACUUUGACACACGUCGGGCAGUUAGCUCAGACAAGGGAAUGGGCUUUGAGAGAUGCAUGGGUCAUGGCCAAGGUAGUCACCUUCAGGAAAAACUACCCAGAGCCUCAACAUAGUUGCCACCAGUGGUGUGAGCCUUGCGUCCAUUUUGGGAUUCAGGGGUGCAAAGGGAUGAAGUGAAUCCCUUUGGCCUUUCCCCCAUGUUGGCCUGGAGAAGUAAAUAUUUGCUGAUUGAGUGAUGGUCUGCCAUUUGAUUCUUGGGAAAGUUUGAAGCAUGCUGAUGCUUUGGCAGGAGGCAACCAAACCUCCUUUUUUUGCUGCUUCUCAGUGGAGGCCUGAUGGGAGGCCUCACAUGGCGGGAGCCCUGGGAGUGGUGUGGGCUGGUGGGAGGGCUGCUGGAGGGAGUGCUGCAUGCCUCUCCGGGAGCCCUAGUUAAUCAGACCAGAAACAGCCCGCCCGCCUCAGCAGUGACUCAGGCCUCCUGAGGGGUUUUCUUCAACAUUAUGAAGAUGAACAUGGCUCUGAGAAUUCCCUUUGGACCUGGGCUUCGUGCUAAUUGCCUCCAUAUUUAUGGGAAGACGGGCAGGCCACAGUGAGAGCCUCGGGAGCAGCAUGUGUGUCUGCCUCACAAAAGAGGACUGGACUCUAGAGGGAGUUGUGAAAAGAGGAUCCUAGCCUCCAGGGGUCAAGACCCUCAGCUCCCUGUGGUGACAAGGUGGUAUUAUUAUUAUUCCCUUUGUCCAGAAGAGAAGUUGACACAUAGACCUACAGAAGUUAAGUGCCCCAGUUAAUGCUAUCAGAACAGGAUCCACAGUGUCAAGGUGAAGAUGAAGUCCAGAUCUCCUGCCUUUCUGGUUUUCCCAUUGCAUGGUGGAUGGGGCAGGGAAUUAAGAAUUGCUAAGGAUGUCUUCCUCAUAGCUUCCUCUAGAAGGUGGUGCUCAGUACCUCACAGGGGGAUCUCCCCUGAGGUUGGACUGGUGGUCUUAGAGGGCUGGUAGAAGAGCAAGGAGCUAGAGAAUCCUGCCUGUCAAUCCUAGAUUGACUGUGGGCUAGUUACUUCCCUGUCCAAGCCUCACUCUCCCUAUCUGUAAAGUGAAGAUAGUGGCCAUAACUAUCUCAGAAGAUUUUGGGGAGCAGUAAAUGAAAUAAUAUAUAUAUAUAAAAGGAUUUGUAUUAUGCCUGGAGCACAAUUUAGUGAUUGCUAAAUAUUAGGUGCCAUUAAAGGGAGGCAUUCUGGUGGUUAAGGAUGUAGGAGCAGAGCUUGGCUGUCUGAAUCCAGAAAGGUUAUAGAACUUGCUAGGUCACACAGCUAAGUGAGGAGUGGAGUCAGGAAGAGUGUCCUGGUCCAGCAUUCUUUCUAGAUCUCUCCACACUGAUCUUUUGAGGAAGGGAAUGGGAUGGGGCUCUUCAGGCACGAGCGUUAGUCAUAGGAAAUGCCUGUCUUGGGGGUUGGGGUGGUGCCACUUCCUAGUCCGCUGGGAUAGCUGCCACUCAGUGAAGGGCACAGCCCUGGGAGCCAGCUCUGGGUACAGCUGAGUUGCUGCUUUGUCUGACACAAUCUGGGGAGUCGCCUCCAGGCGGAGCGGAAGCCACACAGGCUGGGCAGGGUGGGGGUGCCCUUGGCGCCCUGGGAUCUCUGUGUGGCUUUCCAUCAAGGCUCUGUUGGUGCCUGGUUCCUCCAUAAAGCCAUUAUGUACUGGGAGAAUUAAUCAUGCCGUUAGGUAAGCAUUAUGGCACUUUUAUGGCAGCUUUGAAGCUAAUCUGUCACUAAUGCCUACUGGAUUAUCAUGAUUUCUUGCAGUUGUGAUUCAUUAACUCGAAGCCUAAGAGUAAUUCUAUUAAACAUCUCCCAUCCCUGUUCGCCUCAACACGUCCGUCCCUACUCUCUGCUCCAUUGUGCUGCUGCAAUGGCGCGACUGGCAACCUGUGUGGUCUCUGAAAAAGAAACCCCAAUGAGAUGGACAGGUCCCCGGGCCAGCUUGAAACUGCCCAACUGCAUGUCCCUCCCCUGCGGAGUCCCUGAGCACUUGUCCUCCCUACUGCAGCUCAUGCUGCCAGCAAAGAUUUCUGGUCUUUUCAGUCAAGUUUUAGCUUUUCUCAGCAGGAGGCUACAGAGCCUCUCCUGAAACUCUGUCAUUACUUUUAAGAGGCGAAGAGGGAACCUUAUAGACCCAUGAAUCUCAGAGAGGCAAGCACCCACAACUCUACAGGUGACUGCGAGACCCUGCAGGGCCUACCUGGGGCAGAAGUGGGUUUGGCGCUGAGCAAGAAAACCAGGAACUCUGCUUAAGCAAUCUGGCCCCACACUCUUCCUUCUUGCUUAAGGCUGAAAAAAACUCGCGGGUGAGGAGGCAGGCACAGGAGACUGUGAGGUAGCCAUGCCACACCAUUUACUGCUGGGCCUGCCAGCAUUAAUAAAACUCCUUGGUGAGGUGUUUCAGCAAGAAAUGGUUCUCUCAGGCUGGCUGUUCUCUGCAAAAGGUCAGCUUCGGGGCAUAGUUUGACGGAUGGGCUGUGAGCAGGCAGCAAAAAGAAAGCCGGGGCGAAGGGGGUGGGUGGGGGUGGACUGGGAGGAAGUCAGUGGAGACCAGGAGCUCAGGCUGUGUCCUGGUGCCAGAGCAGGCUUGGGGGGACGGCAUCUUGCCCCUCAUUCUGUACCAUCCAUCAAGCCCAGCACUGAAAUCUCAACAAUUUGUAGCCCCCCCUCACCCCCUGCACCAUGCUCAAGUGUGCACCAUGCCUGACCCUUCCCGCCCUCAUUCAGGCCUCUGCCGCUGGAGUUGAUGGAUGGCUUCUCCUCCCACCAGCUCGCCUCUCCACAGCUGGGGAAACACGCGCAGGUAGAGGUGGGGUCAAACCCGGGGCAGCCCAGUGACCCAGCCACCGGGGCCAAGGGACUCUGUGUUCCCAGCAGCAGCAGGUGAUGCCAGAGGCAUAGAAAUAGAACGGAGAGGGGAAAGGAAAGGAGGAGAUACUUCCAACUCUGUAAAGGAGAAAAGGGGGGUUAAAAAAAAAAAAACCCAAACUGAAACCAAAAAAAAAAAAACCCCAUUCUGCAUCCUGAGGUCUUCCAAGACUUCUGAGAAUCUAUAACAUGGUGUGAUGUCUUCUGCGCACAGCGACAACGUUGUCUGCUCCUCUCCAUCUGUGUUUUCUCACGCCUGUGCGCCUUAGAACCACUAAAAUGAAAAACAAGUUAAAAAAAUACAUAGAUGUAUAUAGAGCGAGACUGAGAAAGAGGACAGUACUCUGAAGCCUGUGUUUUCUUUUCUUUUCCUUCUUUAUUUCUUUAUUUUUUUUUUCUUUUUCGUUUGCCAGUGUUUGUUGUAAGAAAAAGUGUGUAAAAACAAUUCCUUGACAACUGGAGUAAAUAUUCUCAACACAUCAGCUGAGCAAGAAGUCAGGAUCCAACGUUUCCAUCCUUCCUCUUCCUGGGUAGAGAUGAUAGGAAAAGAAAGGACCUUUCAGGGGCUAGGUUGGGGCUCAGUGAUAGAGAGCUUUCCUGGCAUGUGUGAGGCACUGGAUUUGAUUCUCAGCACCACAUAUAAAUAAAUAAAACAAAUGUCCAUCAGCAACUUAAGAAAAAAGGAAGGACCUUUUUCCAUACCUAGAUUACUCCCUGUUUCCUGUUCCAGGUGAAACUGAUUCUCCCAUGUGGGGGCUUAUAAUCUGUACCAAGGUGAGGCCGGGCAGCUGGUCCCACAAGGGAUGCUGCAUUGAGAAGCUCCCUCUGUGGGCUUAGGGGCCUUUGGAAAACAGGAAGCGAACAGUAGCCCAGACAUGGUGUGCCUGUGUGCGUGUGCUGGCGUGCAUGGGAGAAGCCUGUGCCUGCUGCAGAGGGCCAUCUGAGAAUUCAGGUCAGCCUCCGUGAACUCCCCUGACCUGGAGAAAUCCACUCUCCCAGCAGCCCCCGUGGCCUUGCACCCUGCAGCUGGCACACAGCAGCCCCAGACCACUUCUUUUCUUGGAACUUCAGAGGCUGAGCAGGAGGGUCCAGGAGGGAGUCUCCAGGCAAGAGUCUGAGGGCCGUGGAAGUUUGAAUGAGUGGAACAGAGUUAAUGGGAGGAACAAGGAGGGAGAGAUGGUAGAUAGAGGAAGAAGUGUCUGGCGGUGGGCGGAAAGACAGGAAGAAGAAAAGAAUGAGAGAAAAACAGAAACUGAGGGACUGGUGGAAAGAGAGAGGAAGAAAGCUCCCAGAGAAAGAUCCAAGAGAUAGAUGGUCACGGGACAGGAGUCAGCAAGAAAGAGGGGAAGGCAAUUUAAUGAGGGCAACUUGAAGGCCAGCUUUAACCAACAGCUGGCGGGGUGCCUGGUUUGAUCUCCCUGUGAGUUGGGCGGUUUGAUUAAUCGUGGCCUGUGGCAGAGGACGGACACCUGGCCCCGCUGCCGAGCUCUUUGAUCUCCAGGAUUUCUCAGGGCCUGUGGGAGGGGAGUUGCAUGAAUGUGUGUACUCCCAGGGCACCCGAGGCCUGCUCCUGAGAAGGAAGCAGGGAGGCCAGGGAGAGCGGCCCUCAGCGGGGCUGGGAGGGUCAGGGUGGGGCGUGGGGGAAGCAGGGAAGGGCAGGGGGAACUACAAAGGGCAUGGGGCUCCUGGAGAUGUGAGGCCUGUGGGAACAAAGGCCCUGAGGGAGAGGUUUGCUAGGGAAUGGAGGAAGGCCAUUUGUGGGGGAAAGUUCACCCAUAAUCUUGGGGUGAUUCAGUGAGGAGGAACAGCCCCCGCCCUCUGCACGAGGGAAUAACUGAAUUUUUAAGGAGGAUCAGUUGGAGAAGAAAACUACUGCACAAAUUUGUGCUAAGUGGCUUGUGGCUAGAGGGCUGGCUAGUUUAAUGCAGGAGCAAGCUCUUUCUGGGGGUGUGAGGAGAGGGAGGUGCAGGGCCCCUUCAAACUGGCUCCAUUUUAUACUUGUUGGAUGGAAACAGAUUUGAGAAAAGAAAGCGACAUAUUGCCAAAAAAAAAAAAAAAAAAAACCUUUCAAGAAGAAGGAAAAAAGGAACUAAAACCCUAAUGCCCUUAAAAAAGAAAACCGAAAAAAAAAAGUCAUAAAUUAUGCCUUUGGACUAAAUCCAUUGGUGUCCUGCCAAUUUCAAAUAAUAGUGUAACUUGAUUAAAAAAAACUUUACAGGAUUUAAAGUUGCUGGCUUCUCUGACUCCUCCCUGAGACUUCUCCUUAAGUCACUGUCUACACCAGGCUAAUUUGUUCCCAGAUUCCUUAAUCUUCUGCAAGGUGGUGAUGACGUGGGUAACUUUGUAGCCAUUUUUGAAGUGUUCAUGAUAACUUUUGCUUAUGACUCUCCCCCCAUCCCUCCCCUCCACUAAAUCUAGGGGCAACUUAAAUCAUUACCCUGAAACAGGGUAUUGAAACACAGUAUGCUAUUGAAACUCUCUGUGUGUGUGUGUGUGUGUGUCUGUCUGUCUGUCUGUCUCUGUGUGUGCUUAGGGGUAAACUUCAAGUUUUGCCUAAAGUUGGCUGUUUUCCUUUCAGGCUGCUGAAGAGCUGUUCAUAACCACCUUAGAUCUUAGAAAAGGUACAUACAUGGAAACAAUAAGAAUGUCUCCCAAGAAUUCAGCCAGGACACAGGUUGUAGAUUGUUAGAGAUACAGGCUCCAAUGACUAGUAGCAAAGAAAAUUCCAGAAGUGAAAGGCAAGAUUUCUGGUGGGAUUGGGGUUUUGAUGAUACAUACGGUGGUCUGAGAGUCCGCUGUACCCCAGCACGAAUGGCAUCAGCCUUGAAGGCCUGAAUUCAAAUUCCAUCUCCGUGACUCAGUCACAAGCUGCGUGACCUUGGGCUUGCCACCUCAUAUCCCCAGAGCUUCAGCUUCCUCAUCUAAAAAUGAGAUGAAUAAAAAUACUUGCCUCACAGGCUCGUUGUGAGGAUUAAAUGCAUUAGUGUAUGUGAAAGCACCCUGUAAAUGAUGAAACCUUCAAUUAACAGUAGACAUCAGAAUUACUGCUUAUAUUACAGAAAUCCAGGUCUCUUUAAACACUCCUGUUGACAGCAGGGAUGUUUUAAUUCCAAAUGGGGUUUGCACAUGGAGGGCAUUAGAAAAAAGGGGCCUCAUGUUACCUGCUCCCCCUGGGGCACUUGCUCUCCUAUAAUUAUUGUUUACUAAUAAGUACGGUUUGCUCAUAAAUGUCCCAUUAAACCCGGCUGAAAUCCUUCACCCGACUGACCUGGCUUUUCUGGAUGCUACUAGGCAGGAGCCCUGGGAAGCUCCCCCUGGGUGGCUGGUCUUUCAGACUAUGGACUGCUGCACUGGCCUUUCUUGGCAGGGUCCAGGAGAUCCCCAGCUGGGCAGUGGCAGCACUCUCAUGUUAGUGCUCUUGCCACUCACUGUUUGCUGAUUUAUAAGUAGGACAUUGCAUUCCUCCACUCUGGGCUUCCUGGAGCUUCAUAGCUUUUUGCUCCUGUUUGUAAGUAGUCCUCCAGUGUGGGGACACAGCUGUCAUUUGUACACUGAAUGGGUGGUGCCCAGAGCUCAAGGCUCUGGGUUCAAAUGCCUACUUGGGCAUGAGACCUUUGGGAUAUAAGACCUGGUAUCUCUGAUGCAGAAAGAAUAAUGCUUACCCUUCUAGGGUUGUGGUAAAAAUAAAGAAAACCCGGGCUGGGGAUAUGGCUCAAGAGGUGGCUCACUCGCCUGGCAUGCGUGCGGCCCGGGUUCGAUCCUCAGCACCACAUACAAAACAAGGAUGUUGUGUCUGCCGAAAAACUAAAAAAUAAAUAUUAAAAUUCUCUCUCUCUCUCUCUCUCUCUCUCUUUCUUUAAAAAAAAAUAAAAAAAUAAAAAAUAAAGAAAACCUCUGUAAAAUUCAUAACCAGUGUUUGGCAUAUAGUAGAUGAUCAAUAAAUAAUUAUCCUUUUAGGGCUAACUGUCUUCACCCUGGCUGGAUAUUGAAAUGACUGGGAUAGGUAAAAUUCUAAUGCCUAAGCCCCACCUCUAGAGAUUCUGAUUUUGUUAGUCUGAAGUUAAAAGCUUGGCAUCAAUAGUGUUAUAACUGUCCUCAUGGAUUAUAACAUGUAGGGUUAAGAAAUACUAAUGCUUCUCAAAUAGGGUUUAUACCAUCAGUUAGGGAUCUUAUGGCAAUGCAUGUUGAGUUAGUAAGUGUGGGGUUGAAGAAUUUCUGCAUUUUAAAAAAUAAGUUAAAAAACUUUUUUAGUUGUAGUUGGACACAAUACCUUUAUUUUAUUUAUUUAUAUGUGGUGCUGAGGAUCAAACCUAGUGCCUUACACGUGCUAAGCAAGCGCUCUACCACUGAGACACAACCCCAGUCUGCAUUUUUAACUGGAAGGCAAAUACCACAAUUUUAUGGACCACAUUUUGAGAAACAAAUCUCUAUGUUUUCCUAACCCUAACCCUAUACCUCCAUGCACCUGGAGAGCAUCAUGGCCCUGGAUUGGAGACCCUGGGAAGUCAGUGGUUGCAGACAAUUGAGAGACAAUUGAGGCUUGCCUAAAGGUGACUGCCUAGUGUCAAUCCUGGAAGCUGCAACACACACACAAACACACACACACACAUUCUUACACCCACUUACCUCCUUCUAAAUCUAGUCUUGUAUACCUAUAAAAUAGCAACCAGAAGAUAUUUUCCAACAUUUCGUUAUCGUUCCAGGCUUCCUAGUUUAUUCUAGAAGGUAAUGAAAUAAAUGAAAGCAUUUGCCACAGAACAUUAAGGACCCAGGUCACAAGUUUGAACACCUAUUUGUAAUACUCAAUUGGAAAAGUAAUUCCUAGCCUGGGCUUGUAAAUAGUCACUGCCAAUAUACUUACAUGAUCAAAUGGAACCCUCAUACCUGGAGUGCUAAUGCAGCAAAACCCAGUGAGCCUACAGAUGAACAGCUAAACCCAGGGAUGCUUUGGCUGGAGGGGGAGAGGACUGACUGUGGAACAAAGGGCUUCUGAUAAUGGCAGAGGGUCUUCCAGACAGCACUCAGCCUGGAGGAUUCUCCCCUCCCCAAAUGACAGGGAUGGAUAUAAAUUACUUAUAUACACAUAACAUACAAUAUGCAAUUAUAUAAAGCACAGUUGCAGAACAUGCUUAGGGGCAGGCACUUUUGUAGUGGACAUUGUCAGAGUGAGUUUUUCAUGGAGCAGUUUCAUGCGUAUGCUAUAUUUCAUGAAUUUACAGCAUAUUAAGAAGAAAAAGGAAUAACCAGAGCAUAUAGCUGAAGACUCUUCAUUAAAGAAUGAACUUUGCAUGGUGGAGAGUCCUUUGCAGGUGAACAAUCUGCUAAGGCCCUAGAAAAGAGGAGUUUGAUGUCCAACAGGUCUGAGUGUUAUCAGCUACCCUGUGCAGCAUGAGUUGAUCAGCAAAGGCUGAAUGAUCCAGGCCACCCCAGAGGAAAACCCUGAUGUGAUCUGUAUCAGAGGAUUUCAGUAGUCACUCAAGGAAAAAAAGACCACGUAAUCAAAAUCUUACCAUUUGGCUGAGGGGUGGCAGUUGACACCAGAAUCAAACAGUAGCCAUGCCUGUAUUUUUGACUGCACCAUUCAACUGGGCUUAAGUGAACUGUUCAGCAAAUAGUAUGGAGUUUUUCUCUAGUUUAGAUUGGGAUCUUGUGUCUUGGUCCCUUUUUGUUGUCUUUGUCAAGUCAGGUGUUGUUAGAGACAGAUGUCUGGACAAGAUGAACCCAGCUGUCAAUCAUUGUCAAGGUCCUGGCAUAUCCAACAGUCAGGCAAGUGGCUGCUUUCACUGACAGCUUCCUGAGGCUUAUUCUUGCCUCGAGGUGCCACCCAUUCCCAGCAAAAUAAAAAGGAACACCAUGCAAGCCUCCUUCGGCUUGCCGGAGCACAUCCACCUCGGAGAGGUCUGGGGCCUGUGUGCAUGCAGAAAUUGACAUGUGCCAUUCCGGAAAUCUUGUUUUAUUGCUUCUUUCCCUUCCAACAGUCCCCCUCCUCUGCCACCUCCUUUGGAAUCCUAGUUCCAGAUGUGACUCUCUCUGUUUCCUUUGGCUGGAAGUUUGCUGUUUUCCCAUAACCCAGUCGGGUUGCCUGUUAGAGAAACCAAAAAACUCCAACUUUCUGGGAAGACAUCUAAUUAAAUUCCCAAAGAGGGGAGAGGAAAGCCCCCCUCUGAAAUAGACAGAUACGACCUCAUAAUACAUAAUCAUCACAGAAGAGAAAGUGCUGGGGAUAAGCCUGCGUAGCCGGUAACAUGGUGUUCUGUUUCUUAAUGUCCUCUGCAAAUAAGCUGGCCCCCGGUUUAAAAUAGCCCUCUGGUAAAAGCAACUAUUUAAAGAGUAUUGGGGUCUGAGAAAUGCAAAACAAAGUGUUGUUGAUUAAAAACACAUGGUUUGUUCUCGAGACUCGAGUAGCCAGCAAAAUCAAAUGUGACAGUGUUUUGGCUUUUUCUAUCCCACAAGACAUGAUGGUGAUUUAUUAGAGUGAUGUCAGCUGUGGUUAAAAAAGUUUGCUGUGUUGUCUUAAUAAAAAGAGGCUUUACCUUGGAGCUGUCAAACUCCCUCUCUCCUCUGGCUUGAGGCAGUGGCAGCUAGGCCAUUGGCCCUUCUGCAGGGGCUUCUCCCCAGGGGCAAACCUCUGCCUGUGGGCAGAUCGAGAGGUCACAGGGCACUGUGUGCUUCCUGAGGGUGGUGCAAGAUGGUCCUUGAAGGGGGUUGCAGGGGACCUUGGUUUGUUUCAUUUGUAGAGUGCAGAUGCUGCACUAGCUUGGAGCUGCAGCUUGGCUUGACCUGGCUGGGUGGUGGGACCUUUUGGAUGGAGGGAGCCCUGGGCAAGGGGAAGAGACUCUAGCCCAUGGCAUGGGUGGUGGGCUUGAUUAUCAGUAGGGUGGAAUAUCUGUAGACAGAUAAUAAGUUGGGUUGUUAGUGGAAUGCAGAUGCUCCUUGACUGUACCAUGGGGAGAAGUCCCAAUAAACCCCUCCUAAGUGGAAAAUAUUGUUAAAUUGAAAACACAUUUACUAUAUCCAAUCUAUCCACCCUCCACUCUUUUUUUUUUUUGGUACCAGGAAUUGGAAUCAGGGGCACUCAACUACUGAGCCACAUCCCCAGUCCUAUUUUGUAUUUUAUUUAUAGACAGGGUCUCACUGAGUUGCUUAGCAUCUCGCUGUUUCUGAGGCUGGCUUUGAACUCGCAAUCCUCCUGUCUCAGCCUCCUGAGCCUCUGGGAUUAUAGGUGUGGGCCACCAAACCCCGCUUUACCCUCCGUUCUUAGCAACAUAGUCCACUGUAGAGUAUAUAAUGUUCUCUCAUGACUGCACAGCUGCCUGGGAGCUGGCGAAGGAGGAUUAUAGUGCCUAUCACUGGCUUGGGAAAAGGUCAAAAUUCAAAGUUGAAAGUAUGGGUUUCUACUGGAUGUAUUACUUUUGCAACACUGAAACAUCUGUAGAAGGGAAAUUCUUAGUUGAAGCUCUUUGGUUAUAAGGAAGAAAAACUCCCUAAUUUCAGGCAAACAAGAUUUAUUGAGAAGAGGCAAAAUCCCAUCUCACAGACAAUUAAGAGAUAGACCAUCUGGGGAACAGAAGUGUAACCCCGAGCUGAAGCUGCUCUUUCUGCCUGCCACAGAGCCACGAGGUCUCUUACCUCCCUCUCUGUUCCUGCAUCGUUCGUUCCCCUCUUGGAUUCCUGGGGCAGGGGGAUAGUUAGCUAUACUUUUUUAUGCCUUUGACUUGCUCUGCAUCACGUGUGUCUCAGUGCUACAGGGCCAUAUUUUUGUUUAAAUACUAUCAUUCUCUAAUUUAGUCUAAUUGUCUCAAUUCUACAUUCUUGAGAGAAAGUCCAGUUGGCUUAACUGGACUCAGAUGGGUACAACUGGUCCAGUGGGCAGCAGCUCAGGAGCCAGGGACAAGGUGGCUCCGAGGGGAGCCAUCUCUCUGAGAGGGCGUGGCCAGGAGGCCCUGUUAGGCUACACAGAGGAACUGUGUCUGUUAUCAGGGAAGCAGAGGAAAGUGAGGACAGGUCUGUGUUUUUGUCCAAGUGAAAGGAAUUGCUGAGAGUGUGACUCUGCUGUCACUGUGUUGCGGUGCCUCUGCCUUGAUUUCCCUGGGGAAGGACAUCAGUCUGCACAGGAAGAUGAAGUCCCAGAGGACCCUUGAAAUCUUUCCCAUUGACACACCCAGAACGUGAGAAGGCAACCAGAUUAUUUUUAAAAUUAACUUAUGGAUAUUUUUUCCUGAUUACAGAAGAAACAUGUAAAUAAUGGCAAGCUACUUGGCAAACAGAAACACAAAGAUGGAAGUAAAAAGCUCCAGAUGAUGGCUGUUAACAUAGUGGUGUAUUUCCUUCUAUUCUUUUUUCCUUUAAGUAGUGGCUUGAGGCUAUGUGAACGAUCUGUGCUUAAGAUCUAUCCUUUUACUUUAAUUAUAUGUCGUCAGACGCUCUAAGACUUUAGGAUUGCUUUAAAUUUAUUCCCAUAAUUUUCCCUGAGCACACAGGAUUGUUUUCUCCUUUGCUCUUUUACCUCUUCUUGUAGGUGGGAGCUCAAAUAGAAUCGAUUUUUGUUAGGACCUUGGUGCCACUACCCCACGUUUGUGCAAGUCACCAUCAGCCGCCCCCCUCUGCUAAACAACAAUAUAACUUCAAAGGCCUGUGUUCCUGGGUCCCUUCCAAACCCAUCUUCUAGGUAAUCUUUUAAAGGCAUGAAUCUGCUCUCAUCCUUCUUUGCUGGUUAUCCGUUGCAUUUAGAAUAAGUUAGAAAAGCCCCCGCCUGCUCACAAUUUCCAACCGUACAUGCCUUCUUUCUCCUUUGGACCACCUCAAAACACCAGGACAGCCUCACAUGGCUCUCCAGCUGGUUUACCUGGACUCAGCCCUCAGGUCUCAGCAUAGAUGCUGCAUCCUUGGAGAAGUCUUUUCUUGACUCUGGCCCCCAUGAUGGACCUUCCAUACUCCCUUGCUUUUCUUUCUUAAUACUUAUCACAGUGUGUAAUUAUGUACUUAUUUAUUACAUAAUGCUUGUUUCCCUGUAUCUGAGUCGGUUUUGUAUUGCUAUAACACAAACCACAGACUGGAUAAUUUACAAAAUACAGAAGUUUAUUUUUCAUGGUUCUGGAGAUUGGGAAGUCCACUAUCGAGAUGUCGGCAGAGUCUGGUGAGGGCUUCAUGCUGCAUCAUAACACAACAGAGGGCAUCUCGUGACAAAAGAGUGCAUGAGUGUAAGAGGGCAGGAGCAAGGGCCCUGAGGAGGCUGAACUUGCUUCUGUAAUAAAGCCACUCCUGACAAUUAACCUAAACCUGUGAUAACAAUCUAACCCAGUCACCAGCCUCAUGACCUGAUCACCUCUUGAGAGGCCUACCAUCCCUUUGAAGGGAAAGCGAGGAACAAAAUAUGGACAAGUGAGAAAUGAAAGAGAGAGACCAGGCAGAGAUACACACCAGAGUUUGUUUUUCAGAGCUGACAAAUAAAGGCCAUCUCUUUAAAGCAGAGAGAGGCAAAACAGGAUUGGGUUCUGGGACUUUUAUGGGGCAGGCUCAGGAAUCGGAGCCCAGGGGGUCCUAAUGCAGGUGGUUAGGGGUUGGGUUGGUAGGAGGGAGUGGUGAGCCUUUCUCAGAAAUGCCCUUGGGCAGGAAAGCAGAAUUUUUUUUAAAAUGGGUCUGUCACUUAAGGUAACUGUCCAGAUGCUAAGCAAGGACCUUAUACCAGCACUCUCACAGUGUCAAUUAAAUCUCCAUGUGAUUUUUGGAGUGGGCAAUCAACCUUAGCACCCUGAUGGAUUUGCAGGUCCCUGAGAAAGAACAGAUCUGUUUUGCCAACUGCUGUACCCCACUCUUGCUGCCAUCUCUGAUGAUUCAGCUCCUGUCCUUACCUCCCCACCUUCAAAUACAGUUCCUGUCAUAGAUUAUGUGUUUAUUUAACACUUGAAUGAAUGAAUCUGGUGCUUAUCUGGAGCGGUUGCUUAAGUGAAGAGUCCCACCAUUAUAGCAUGUUGGUUUCAGAGGUCUAGGGAGAUAGCGUAGUUUUCUGGUAAACCUGAUGUGAGCAGAUAUUAUAUUUGCUGUUGUUGGUGGGUAUCUCAAAGGUGCAUGGCAUAUAGUGCUUUCUGAUUGUGGUGAGGCCUCAACUUGAAUUGUUGGUGCUAAGGUGCUCAUGUGUGUGGGAGCCGAGUUUCUGGGCUGGUGAGGAAGACAGUGUUUCAGUGAAGAGUCUGUUCCUUGGUGUGGCUUCUCUACUCUCUAUUUCUCAUGUCCUGGAGGAGAAUUCACUGUAGAGCAUUUCUGGCUUUGUCUGAGGCUCUGGGAUUGAACUUCUCCAUGGAACAGAGCUCUCUGCCUCUGUAUGAGCCUGGUGAACUCCUCUGGCUGUGAGAUAGAACUUCUCUAAGUUAAAGACAGAUUUACCUUCCUUAGGACCUUUAACUAUUGAUUGCCUUCUGUCCUCUGGACAAACAUCAAGUUCAUUCAAUGGCCAUUUAUUGAAUACUGGCAUGAUAUACAUCAGGAGGGGUGCCAGGAACUGGGUAUAGAGAGCUGAACAAGGCACACUUGAAGAGCUCAGCUUGGGGACACCAAUUACAGUUCACAAUGCACUAUCAAAUGAUCAUCUUGAUUUGUCACAAUGACCUUGUGAUGUGCGGUCAUUGGGUGACUUUACAGUUGAGGAACAGGAGGCCGAGAGAGUUUGCACGUGAGGGGCAGUAUAGCUCAAUCCAAGUGCUUUGACUCAGAUCCCAUGUGAACUUUUACUUCCUGAACUUGACAACCUGAAUGCACUUCUGCUUCACGCAGCUCUUAGUGUGGGAGACCAACCUUACACAUGACUGGGUCACACUCCCUGGCUGGGUGCUGAGGCACUCAGUAGCAGAAAUGUGGCAGAGCUUUCCCCACCCUUCUUGGGUGUGAGGGUCGCUGUCUCGUGCAUGGGUGUGUCUUGCUACAGCCCCAUGGGUGAAGUUACGCUCACCCGCUCACCCGUUCCUUUGUAAUAUUACCCCUUGCCCUGUUUAGGAUAGAAUCUUCCAUGGAAGUGCCUUGUGUGUGUCCCCUUCUCUUACUGUGCCUUUGGGUGUGGCCUACCCAGGUGUCAGUCAACCUGCUGACAGUGGACAUCAUGAAGAUACUCAGCCCCCUGAAACCUGACCCCUUGCCUCAUUUGAAUAACUUCCCUCAAUAAAAGGGGUCAGCAUGUGCGCUCGCUCUCUCUCUCUCUCUCUCUCUCUCUCUCUUCCUGCGGACCCAUAAGGUCAGAGGAGCCGUCACAGCGACCCCAAAGAAAAAGCUAUUUGUUUCUCUUGAGUGGUUAUUUUGCACAGCCCAGUUAGCCCAGUUUAACUGGAGUGACCCCUGAGCCUUUUAGUCAUGAGCACAGAAACCCGGCAUCUUAGUACAUUCAAAUGUAGCUACCAUGCUCCCUGAAUCACCUCUUCUCCUGACAAACUUGACUCCAAAACAUGUGAUCAUACUCAGCGUAUCUUCUUUGGACCCAAUCACAUGGAGAUAGGCUUGGGAGUUGCAGAGGGUCCUGGCCACUAUCCCCCAUUCUUUCAUCUGUGAGCCAAGAGGGUCUCAGCCUUGCCCACGGGACUCUGAAGGAGAAUUCGGUGGCUCUUCUUUCUGGGCAAUAAGGCUGGUGCCUGGGAUUUUUAUUCCAGGACAAUUUAAGCAGUUCUUUCCCAUUAGUGAACAAUGUUAGACAUACAGAUUUCUGGGGCUGGAUGUCUGACACUUAGACAUCUCACUAAAUGGUUUAGUGGUUCACAUUACAGGGUACUCAUGACCCGCUGAGGAAUUUCACUCCAGUACAGAGAGAUCUAUUAGAUUUUUGCCUUCACAUAUAAGGAAAACAAUCUCUGUUUCUUUGUGGCUUCCUCUGACUGGUCUUCUGGUAGCUGGGCCACGUAAACACAGUGCCUCCGCACCCUGGCAGGCUGUUACAUAUUAAGUGUGCAGGGAGCCCCAGCUUAAGCCCAGGCCUGGCCUGGACAUGUCUGAGCAGGCCUGGUGAACUGCAGCGUGGGCCUGUUAGGAGCCUGUGUGUACCACAGGCUGUGGGGCCUCCUGGGAAAGAUAUCAUCUUGAAGGAAGAAGGAACCAGGCACACACACCUGACCUGCAAACCAAGCUUUGAUUGCAGGAGGAAAGGAGCAAUUCUGAGCACGUCCUGGUGAAUUGUUCACGAUUGGAUUCACCCCACACUUUGGCCCCUGCUGGACUUCUUGGGAGGCCUGUGGAGAGGAAAAAGAGGACUUCUGUUUGUAUCUUAUUUCAAAAUCAAGUCCCUGAACUUAUUCCCCAGUGACUGCUUUGUGCAAGCUGAAACCAUGACAUGAUUUCCAUGGAACCUGUAGUUCUUUGGUAUCCCAGGCCUCCAGCACCUCUGAGAUGGCAGGGAUGGCAGCACCCAGCCCAUUAUCUUGCAGGGGACCUGCAGCAAACCACGGGGGAGGAAGCAAAUGGCAGGUGACCAGAAAAUGAACUGUGUGUGGCGUGAGGAGACAUGGGGACACCCUGUAGGCACUAAGGAACAUUGGGAGGUACUUAUAAGGGGCUGAUGCCCUGAGGGAGUCAAUGAAAGUCAUGUCAUUGUCAUCCAUUGGAUCAUAUGCUACUGGGACAAGGCCUGGGAGGACCAUCAUGGCCUGCUAUCUUUUUUUAGCUGAAUGUCCCCCAGAACCCACAACUCUGUUCUCUGACAGUCUUGUUCCUCCUUUUUUUUUGAAUCACUCCAGGCUGUGAAAGCCGACACCAUUUGCUCCAAGGUUUUUAAAGAAAUCCUAGAACUAAUUUGGCCUAACAUUCUUUUUUAGAUUAGAUGAAAUGAAAGCUCACAGGGGCCUGAAGUGACUUGUCCCCACACUAUAUCCAGUUAGCAUAAGAGCAAGGAUGUUUUUUGAGUGACACAGCCAUGUUGUCCCCUUGAUUAUGACCUUUGUUUAUUCCUUCUUUGUUUUUCUGCCAGGGGCUUGGACGGUGUGGACAAGUGUACCCAUUUCCUUCUUCUGGCCAGGUAUGAUGGAGCUUUGGACCAUUCAUCAGUUGUCAGGGACAUUUGGACGAAACCCUCUAAAGGUAAGGGAGACAGAUACAAUUUUUCAACCAGUUUGAUGGGUAGACUCAGCUGGCAGUUCAGCUCCCUCUCCUGAGACCAACAACAAGGAAUACCUCCACGGGAAGAGCACGAGUCGUCUCUGAGGAAUGAGGACUAUGUGGUUAGUGCCAAGCAGACUGGGAAGUAGGUGCCUGCAUGGACCCCAAAUAAGCGGGACAACUUAGUGCUCAGAUAGAAAAUCCCCAAGAACAGGUGACCAGGAAAAUUCCUGCUAUUAACAGUGGUCCCAGAGGGAGGACUGGGAGGGACCACUUAGCCAGUGAAGCUGCUUUGAUAUCAGAAAUGAGAUAGAACGAUGGCAUUCGCCCACUCUCUGCCUUUGGUUGGGAUGACACCAACACUUGGAGAUGGCCUGAGAAGAUGAAUAUUUCAUAGACAAACCUGUUCCCAGUCCAGAGUUCACUGAGUGUAGUCAAGGCCAACAAGCAGAUUUUGCACCUAAGCCAAGUCAAAUUGAUUCAUGGUGACUGCAGAAGCACUGUGUUCAACGGGAAUUUGAGCCUGGAUCUGAGGCAGAAAUGUGUGCUCUGAUCAGCCAGCAAUGUCUCUGUCAAUGUUUGGGAAAAAAUUUGAGAAGGAGGUUUGACUAUUGGGUAAGCACAAUAAUAGUUCUUCAAAGAUGCCCGUGUGCUAAUUUCUGGAAUCUGCAAAUAUGUUAUGCUAUAUGGUAAUGUACAUUCGUACGUGUGUGUGUGUGUGUGUGUGUGUGUGUGGUGAGGAGGGAUUAAGAAUGCAGGUGGAAUUCAGGCUGCCAAUCAGCUACCGUUUUCAUGGGAAGAUUACCCAGAUUAUCUCAUGGGCCCAAUGCGAUCACAGGGAUCCUUGCAAAUAAAACAAGGAGACUAGAGAAUCAGAGUCAGUGACAUUGCACAGGACCUUGAAGAUGGAAGGGCCCUAUUGACCUUGAAGAUGGAAGGGCCCAUGAGCCAGUGAACAUGGGCAGCUUCUGGCAGCUAGAAAAGGCAAGGGAACAGAUUCUUACCUUGAAUUUGGCCCUGCCCACAACGUGAGUUUAGACCUGUGAGAACCAGAAAAUGACGGGGACCUCCCAAACUGUAAGAUAUUGGAUUGUUUUGUUUUAAGCCACUAGAUUUGUGGUGGCAACAAUAGAAAAUGAAUUCAGGUCUCUAUUAUUUCCCAGCUAGGACUCAUCAGAGAAACUCCCCUUAUGUUUCACCUCAAGUUCUUGUUCGUUACUCAAACUUUUUCUGUAGAACAGGAUCAUUUAAGGUCCUUAGGUCACCAGCAGGAACCUUUAAAAGGGAAGACACAGAUUUGCAAUUUUCCUGCAGGCUUGAAGUGGGUGGGUGAGGGAGAGUGUCCUGGAGGGGCAGGUUCCUGGUUGAGUGGCAGACUCCAGGCAGUCACUGCCACACCUUGCAGCACAUCACUGGGGACAGAAGGUUCUAUGGGGACUCUCAUCCUUGGUCCUGUUUUCCUGUGCACGAGAUGAACCUUGAAUGACUUCAGGAGGUCUCUUUGGUCUUCUAUAGUUUUAGUACCUGAGAAAUGAUGUUGGAGAAACUAAAAGUAAUGGAAUGUCUUCUGAAUACCAAACAUUUCUGUUACAUGAUCUCAUUCAUUCCUUACAGCAGUUCUGUGAGGCAGUCAUGCCAGGUGGGCACCCAGUUCACAGAUGAGAACAUAAAGGCUCAGAAAGGUGAAGUAGUUUUCUUACUCAUUCAGCUAACAAGCUGAGGAGGCACAAAUCUAAUCUGAAUGUUGGAAGCCCAUGCUUUUUCCCAUGUCAUCACGGCACCUCCUAAGAAGGACUCUGGCUCUCGAUUGUGCUGAGGACAUAGUUCAUAUGGCCAAAGCCUCAGGCUGAGCUCGGCAGUGAUGCUCUGUGGUGAAGGUCUUUGGCAUGCCAGGCGCCCAGGGGUAAAACUUGGGGUAACAAGAGUAAUUCUGUUAUAACAUAAUGAUCUGUGAUUUGGUUUGUUUCCCUGACUUGCUAAAAAAAAAAAAACCCGGCUGCAUGAUCUUGUAUAAGUCAGUUUCUUUCUCUGGAUAUCAGUUUCCUAGCCUGUGAAAUGGGAAGAUGGAUGAGAAUCAGUAUUCUCUAAACAUUUUUUUAAAGAGUUCAUGCUAUAUAAGCUAAGGAGAUUUUGUAAAGCUUUAUUUACUGCAAUUGAUAGUCCAAAAGCAAUAUGUUAUUUUUAAUUUUCUAAAGUAAGUCAACUCUACAUUUCUCUCUACUUCCACCCUCUUUUUCUGGGCAAUAUACUCAUUCACCAUCCUAUCAUCUUGACAACCAUUGAGAAUCCUUCUGCUUGAUAGUUUAAAAAUUUGCUCUGGUUAUGAGAUUAUUGGAGUCUAAGAAAUAUAUAUGUGUGCAUAUAGUUAUACAUACGUGUGUAUCUAUAUACAUGUGUAUACACACGUGUGUUUUAGUCAGCUUUUUCACUGCUGUAACUAAAAGAUCUGAUGAGAAGAAUUUUAGGGAGGAAAAGUUUAUUUGGGGACUCAUGGUUUCAGAGAUCUCAGUCCACAGCCAGCCAGCUCCAUUCCUUAGGGCUCGAGGUGAGGGAGGUCAUCCUGGCAGAAGAGUGUGGCAGAGGGAAGCAGCUCACAUGAUGAUCAGAAAGCAGAGAGUCCACUUGCCAGGUACAAAAUAUAUACUCCAAAGCCACGCCCUCAAUGACCAAUCCCUUCCAGCCACACCCUACCCAUCUUUAGUUACCACUCAGUUAAUCCCCAUCAGAGGAUUAAUUCACGGAUUGGGGUAAGGUUUUCCCAAUCCAAUCAUUUCUCCUGUAAACCUUCUUGCAUUGUCUUACAUAUGAGCUUUUGUCUUACAUGUGAGAUAUGACAUCUCACAUCCAAACUAUAAUGUGUGUGUGUUUGUGUGUGUGUGUGUGUGUGUGUGUGUGUGUACACAUAUUCUGCAAGAGAGGAGAAAAGACAACCCUUCUGUCUUGCCCAUUUCUCUUUCUGGAAAUUCUCAGCCCCCACCUUUUUUUUUUCUUUUUUUUGGCCUGGAACAUUUAUCUCCCUGUGUCCCCUUCUAGGGUGCCCCUUCUAGGGUGUCUGUGAGGUAGCAGGAAGGUGGCUUUUCUGUUUGAGAGGGUCAUCUCUGGGUGAGAUUUGUGAGAGUGGUUAGCUUUUAUUUCCAGCAUGUGCCACAACACAAGAAUGAUCCCAACUUCCGAGAUGAUCACCUCCCAUCUUUUAUUCUUGCUUUUCUCCUCUCCUUUUUCUUCCCGUAAGAUAAUAGAAUUACCAGAAAAGCCUUCCUUACUCCUGGCCUGGUCAGAGCUUAGAGGUAUUUACUUCUCGGGUAAACAGCUAUAAUCUCCCUAACUAGACUUUGUCACAGUUAAGAGAGUUAAAUUCUCCUGGUAUAAUCCCCCAUGUGUUGUGGUUUUUUUUUUUUUUUUUUUUUUUGAGUAUAAAGCUUUUGACAUCUUUUGAUAUCAAAUAACAACAGUGCUGGGCCACUGGAUAUCAUUAGGCAUUAGGCAAAGAGGUUUGGUUUGACCAGACUGGAAAAGAAGGGCCUCUCUGCAAAAUAGCUUUGGGUCAGGGUGGGGGUGGGGGAAACAUGGAAAAGAAUCUUUGCUUAUGAGAAAGAAGGAGGAGGGACUUGUGGCUGUUUCACAGGGCCGGGGGGACUCUCUCCAGUCAUGCAAGUUCCUCUGUGGCCAGUCAGGAGAACAGGGUUCAAAAUCGAGUCAGCCCAUGCCCAUGCCCUUCUGUGUUUUCCCUAACCACGUGCUGGACACAGAGGCCAACACAGGGGGAGAAAAUGGCCACAUUCUUGAACUCAGGGGGUGAGCCAUUUUAAGAAACGAGGUGUACUUGAACCUCUAGGAACAAUACAAGGGCCAAUUAGGAUCAAAGGCUAAAUCUCAUUUGGCUCAGAUUAUUGAAAAUUCUGGGGCGUGGGGAAGAGCCAUAAAUGGUUAGAAGAUGGGAGAUCAAUAUUGUUGGACAGGAAGGUGUCUUCAAGGCUAGAGCCGGCCUUGAAGGUGGGAUAGGGGUGUGUGUGUGUGUGUGUGUGUGUGAUGACCGUGGUGACAGUAGAGGUGGCAAAGUGACACUGCAAAUGUGGAAGUCAGCAGAAGCAAAGGCUGGGAGUAGGAGCGAGCCUGGUGUGGGUGGCGUCCAGCAGGAGACAGCCUGGAACUGCCAGUUCUUCCAGCCCAGGAGCGGCGGUGGGUGCUCCGAGAGCGAGCGCCCGAGCCAGGCUCGCAAGUGCUUCUUGUUUCUAUGUAUAUACAUGCCGUGCGUUGGCUUUUCUUUCUUGUCGACCUUCCAGUCACUCCUAAAUUCGGUUCCCGUUCUCUGCCUCUCCCUGCCUGCCAGUGCCACCCAUGCUCUCAGCCAAGCGGUGACAUUUUCCCCAAGCACAGCCUGUGCGGUUUGAAAGCCUAAGAUGAGCUUUGGGGUUUGACUCCUCCUGCCACCCUCCCUUGGAGUCUGUGCCUGUGUGAGAGUGGGGGGCCCUGAAUCCCCAUUAAAAAGAAAAAAAGAAAAAAAAAGAGUCAAUUGCCAGGAUCUUGGGCUGAUAAGUCAUUCACAGAGCCCAGUGGCCCAACUGUCCCCACUGCUGGCUGCACUUGAGGCAGAUCCAGCAUGGGGUGGGUUGUCUCCCUCUGAGAGCAUCUCCAUGGAGUGCUGUGGGGCGGGGGAGUUCUCCAGAUCAUGGCCCUGCUUGAAGGAAGCAGGCCUGAGGCUCCUCUCCUCUCUCUUGCUCUCCCUGAGCAGCGUCCCCCUGCCGAGGCUGCAUUUCCACACUCUUGCAUUUUCCUCUUCCCUCUCCCAGCAUCCACCCAGGCUGAUUCUGCUGUGCAGAGGGACAGGGAAUGGCUACCCAGCCCCAGUGAGCCAGGAACUCGCUUCCAAGGGUCAGAUGCCCUGUGCCAGCUGCAGGAAGGUCUCCAGGCCUGUGUGGAGCCGGGGGUCUUCUUGCCACACUUGGCUCCUGUCCCUGAACAUGUUGCUUGCAGUUCCUCCACUGCCUGCCUGGGCCCUUCACUUCUAGAGACUUCCACUGUGGGCCCCCACUCCCCUGCAAUUUUUGUUUCCAUUCCAUGUUUGUCCCAUGCAGAAGUCCCAUGUGCAUUAUUUAAACAAGAAAGAAAAUCAAGACUUGGGUGUUAGCUUUAGAGACCAGUCAUUGAAAUACCAGUUCCCUCUUUCCUACAAAAAUUCACCUUCUUCACUCUUUUCCACAUGGUUCAUUUUUAUUUCAUUUUCAGGGAGAGGGCUUAAGGUGCUUCCCUCUUUUGGUUUAAGUGUUUAAUAAGCUUUCCAUCAUUAAUACCUCAUUGUGAACUGUAACCUUCUAGAGGCAGCUGGUGGGCGCUGGAUUUGAUAGGACAGUGGGAGGAGAGAGACAGCCUGGCUUGUCUUGCUGGGGACCUGCUCUGAGUGCCACGGGGGCUGGGGUACUGGCCUUUCAGGUGACCAAGAAGAAUGCAGGGAGGGCUUUGUGAGACUGAGAGGGAAUGAGAAAGGAUACUGAAGGGGAAAUGUGAACAGAUGGCCUAAUAUUAUUAUCAUUAUCAUUAUCAUUGUUGUUAUUAUUUGCAGUGCUGGGAAUGGAACCCAGGGCCUUGAACACACUAGGCAAGCCCUCUGACUGAGCUAUGCCCACAGUCCAGAAUGGACUUCCAGUUAUGAGCCGGAACUUCCUCUCAUGGGGCUGCCUUGGGUGGGGCCAGCUGGUGAGAGGGCAGUAUUUUGGGGACCUGAUGUUGUUGGGACCAGCAGAGCUAUCAGUGUGGUCUGAGUCCCAUCUCCCGGGUUGAGAUGAGCCGGUGAUUCCCCUUCCCAAGGAAAGCCGGAGCUUGCCGGGCCCUCUGCUGUGGGUGUCAGCCUUGCCUCUGAAUUCCGAUCCUGGUUUUGGAGAUCCCCUGUCUUAAACAUGCCAUGGCAGCAUCUCUUCACUCCCUACAUUUGUUUUAAAAGCAUUGAAAUAAAUGCAAUCAUUUAAAGACUCUUGGUGCCGAAUACUGAAAUGUCUAUUAACUGUUGAAAUGAUCAAGAAAUCAAUUACGGACUGAUCCUUGAGUACCUACUAUGUCCAAAGCUUUGGACAUACAUUGUCUGUCAUGGGUCUAUUAAUACAAACAACUCUAAUUGUUUUGAUAGAUACCAUUCACAGAGUGCCUUUCAUGUGCCAGGCAUGUUCUCAUCAAAUCUUGACAAUAACCCUUUUAUCUCCAACUGACAGCUAAGGAAACAGGCUUAAAGAGGUUGAGUAAUUUGCCCAAGGCUACAUAACUACUUAAGGGGCAAGGCUGGGGUUCCGACUUGGCACCAGUGUCAAGCCCCAAAGCCAGGAAACAUGUGAACAGAGGAACCGACCGAGUCAAUAGAGAAUGCUGUGUAAUUAGAGGCUGAUGUCUGUGAUGACGACAGUGCAUCUCAGAGGUGGUGGGAAAAGGAGAAGAUCUGCAGGAGCUCAUGUGGUGAUGGAGAUUUCUGGAAGGAGUUGAGGCUUGAUCUGGAUUUAGGCUUGGAGGGGUGGUGUGUGAGUGAGUGCGGGCAUGCGAGGGUCAGUGAGGAGAUGAGUAAGAAAGGAAUGGAGGCUUGGUUGGGGGAAUUAGUGGUGGUGAAACAGCAAAUCAGUGUGGUUAAAGGCUCAAGUCCCUACCCAUUUCCUAUGUGAGUUUGUGGGAAAAGUAACAAACCUAUCUAAGUCCCAGUUCCUCAUCAGAAAAAUAGAGAUAAUAAUUGUCCUUGUCUGUUUUCUGUGGCUAUAACAGAAUACCCGAGGCUGGGUCACUUACAUACAAUGGAAGGUUAUUUGGUUCUGGAGGCUGGGAAAACUGAGAGCACAGCACUGGCAACUUGUGAGGGUCAUCUCCUGGUGGAAGGCAGAGGUGGGAGGACAAGUGAGUGUAGGAGAAAGAGGGAGAAAAUCAGACCAAACUUAUUCUUUUGUGUGGAGCCUGCUCCCAAUGGAACGAACCCAUGAGCUUUAAUCCGCUCAUGAACUAAUCACCUCUUAAAAGUCCUACCUGUUAAUACUGUUACAAUGGCAAUUAAAUUUCCAGUGUGAGUUUUGGAGGGGACGUUCAACCCAUAGCAAUAAGGCUACCUGGCGCACCCUUCUGUGGUAAAGACUGAGAUAGCUCACGCGAGGUACUUAGCACAGCGUCUGGUGCAUAUUAACUGCUCUAUAAAUGUCAGCUGAAGUUGAAAACGCUCUGCCCUCACUCGACACACUCUUGGGAUUUUGUGACAUCUCCCCCUUGCUCAGGGUCCUCCACCACUGAGUCAUCUGGUCCCCUUGCUGCCUUCGUUUCUCUCUCUCCGUCACUGUCACCACCCUGUUUGAGAUCCCUGUCAUUACAUGCCUGAGUGAUUGCAACAGACUCCUAACUGGUCCCCUGCCCUCAGUCUGUCUUCACGUCGGUCCACCCUGUGCAUUAGCACUAGAUUAUUUCUCCUAAAACACUGCUGUCUCCGUCUCCCUUCCAUGCUCAAAACCCUCCGAUGACUCACUCUUGCCUUUGGGAUCCAGGCCAGGCUUUCCAGAUGAAUCACCUACAACCUACUUUUCCACUCAUUUGCCUUUGUCCCUCCACAUGGUGGCUGAUGGCCCCCAAGCCUGCCAUGCUCCUUCCUGCUGCUGAGCCUCAUCCUUGUGUCCUCCUCCAGGACCGUGCCUCCUCCUCGAUGCCUAGCCGAGCACUGGUCUGCUGGUCUGCCUCCAGGAAGUCGUCCCUGACCAGUACAGCCCGAGGUCCUCUCUCCUCAGUAAACAACUCUUAUGCUGUACCUCUACCCUGUCUUACUUGACCAAGAGCUGCCUUUCUAGUGACAUAGCCUCAGGCAAAACAAAACAAAACAACAACAACAUCCCGUUUCCCCUGAUGGGCUACACAGGACUCAAGGGGAGGCCAUUUCGCCUGCCUUUUGGGGUCCCUUGGUUCUCAGCAAAGGGCAUGGAUCAUCUAUCUUCCAUAGAUCUUUGUACUUUUUAAAUGUGGUUUUGAGGAUGAGGAUAAUCAAGAAAUGGAAGAUGGGAGAAAAGAGCCAUUUCCUUGACCCCUGGGUGGUCGGCCAGCCAUUCAUGCUCCUCCUGCAAAGCUGUAAGCUUUAUUCCUUUGUGCGUCCCUCUGGGCCACCCUCAAGUGUUCCAGGCUUGCCUUCUGCCCUUAGAAACUGCUCUGUCCUCAUGCUCCCUUGGAAGGGCUCACAGUCCUCCCAGAAGGCAAAAUGGGUGGCACUGGUGUUUAGAUGUGAGUCCUGUGUCGGGUGCUCCCUAGAGGCCCCGCUGAUAGCUCGCACUUGGUUGGGUGCGUUUAUUGAGCGCCUCACCAGAUGAGUUUGGAGCCUGUGAAUGAAGAACGACACCCAGUGGAGUACCAGGCAGAGCCUUUAACACGGACAUGUGGCCAUUUAUUAUCCCCUUAAUGACAAUAGCAGCAAUAAUGGUGAUAAUGAUGUGAUGGGAAGAGCAGAAUGAGAUGAAUGAUGGGUGGGGACACCAGCGAGGCCUAUCCUCAUCCUGGGGACUUGGAGUUUCGGACCAGGCUUUCAUUUCUUUUGGGUUCGUGUGCCAUGCCCAGCUGGCGAGAUGCCUCUCCCUGAUUCAAAGGGGAAAGAAGAAUCCCUCACCCGGGAUCUUGGGGACGUCAAACUGUUCCUUACGCAACAGCCUCCUAAUGAGUUAAGUGUAAAUGAAUCAGAAGCAGAUGGAUUGGAUUGUUCUGGAAAUACACCCGAGGUUUAAAAAUUAAGGGAAAAAGCAUUUGGCAAAAGGCAUUUUGGGGUUUGCCAAGACCCAGAACAUUUGAAAAACAGCUCAAGAUUUUUUUUUCCUUCCUUUUUCUCUUUUUUCUUUGCUUGUAAAACCCCAAAAGCUGCCUGGAGGCAGUAGAAAGAGAUGGGCCUCUAUUCUCCUUUCAAACUGAAGUUCUCCUGCCGCGUGGGUAAUGGGCCCCAGACAGGAGGCAAUGGGCUAUGGAAGUGCACGGGGAGCGCGGAGUCCAGGGACAAAGCAGCCCACCUCCCUUCAGGGAGGAAGGCAGUCCCUUGAUUCUGCAGAUCCCAGCCUGGGCCUCAGCCCUCUGGACCUGCUCUGGGCUGCUACCUAGGCCUUGCUGUGGGGCCUGUGUCUCUCCUAAGACUUGACUCACCUCCGAUCAUGAGCAGGCUCCUUAUGUAAGGGAAACAGUCUCCAAUUUGCUAGGCAAGGAAACUUUAAGGGUUAGCAAACACCAACCCCAUGAAACAUCAAGUGAAAUGUUUAUUUUAGGGGAAACAAAAACCCUUUAAACAAUUUAUUUUUUAUUAGUCACAUUUGGCAUAACUGAGGCAUUCCCUGAAGGGACCAUCUUGCCGUGGAGGGGAAAAGAAGUAAAAAGCAACUGUCUCAAAGGAAAACUCAACCCAGCAGUUUCUAAAUCUUCUGCUGGUUGGCUGUGUGAUUGUAGAUCAGAUGCCAAACUUCUCUGUGCUUUGGUUUCCUAAAUGUCAUCUCUGAAAAAUUUUCUCUGAUUCAGUUCAAUAUAUGAAUCAAAUAGGUUGGGGACUCUGCUAGUGGUAAUUCGGGUUACACAGCGAAUCCUUGGGUUAUGGGAGCAUUCGGUCCUCUACCUGUCUAAUAUGUGGUCUUACAGAAUUUCAGGAUACUUUCCCCCAGGCUCCUAUCUGUAGAGGCUGAUACACCCACACACAUGCCUCUCACACCCUGUGGUUCUAAGCUUGGUGAGCUUGGCUGUUCCCUGGGCGGUGACGGGGAGGGAGUGGCUUGGUGGCCUGGGGUCCUGCCACAGGGUUUUUAUCUGGCUGUUCUAGGGUCUCCCAUUUCCAAAGCCUGCUGUCCUCAUUUGUGGUUUUGCCCGAUUCCUGUCUAGAAAAAGCUCUUUUGGUGUGUCCUGUGAGUAGCCUCUUGCUGUCCUGAUCUGCCGAUCUGCUGACCUGGCCUGUUUCCCAUGGGCAGCAGGGAGACCCGCACUAAUGCCUGGGGGUGAGCUGUUGGGUGCUGCAGCUCAGGCUGUGGGAGCAAAAGGCAGAGCGAGAGCCAAGUAGGACUGAAUUCCCUCCCUCUUCAGAGGUCCCUCUUUUUUUUUUUUUUGUUAUUUGUUCAUUUGCUCCUCUGUUCUGUGCUGGAUCAUGAUGUGAUCCCUUGGUGAAGACAGGCCCGUUCAGCCCAGCCCAUGGUGACAGUAACAACUGGCAAUUGCAUAACUGUUUGUAGUUUAUAAGGAUCUUUUGAGUGUCAAACCUCCCAGCUUCUCUUCUCAAAAACCCACAGAACAUCUAGAGGCCUCGGGGUCAUCUGGUCAACCAUCUCAUUUAACAGAGGGCGGUUCUCGGCAAGGUCCCGUGGCCAGUUGGCAACAGGGCUGGGUCUGGUGUCCUUUUCUCUCUCUUCCCGGGCUUUCUUUUUGUACUUCAACUCACUUUGUUCUCAGUCGGGAUCUAUUUUGUUCUGUGUUACUUUGUUUAUAUCACUGUUUCAACACCCCAUAUGGACUGUAAACUCUUUUAGGACAAGAUCAUGUUUUACACUUCUCCAUAAUUCAUACAGUGCUGAGCAGAGUGUCUUGGACAUGAAAUCUGCUUAACAAAUAUUUAAUUGACAGGAAAAAAAGAAGUUGAAUUGGGUACAACUAGUAGCAACCCCAGUGUGCUGCAGAGAGAUUGGCAUUGUGUUCCCUAACCUACAAGACGGCGGCUCUGGGUCUCUGGGCUCAUCCCCAAUUGUCGUUCGAAACCCUCUUUAGCUCCCCUCGGCCUCAUUGUCAUCAUCAUGAGCAUCAUCCUUAUUAACUCUGCUUUCACAGUCUGAGCUCCGAGAGCACGCCAAGAAAUAGAAAAGGUGUUAACUUCUAGAUAUUGACCUAGCCAAGAGAAAAUUAAGCAGAAGUUCCAGAAUUGAAGCGAGCAAGCAGCUAUGUGGAGAGGGAGGGGAAGGACCACAGGGUCUCCUAGCUUGGCCUUAUCCUCACCCCGGAGUGCUGGACUCCAGAGUCAGUUUGCUGGGGGUGACCCCAAGUCUUCAUGUCUAACCGAACAUGAGGAAAAAAGAUUCUUUUUGUCCCUGCUGGCUUACUUCUUAGCUGAAUGAAUAAGAGGUCAAAUAAGAUCCCAUUUUGAACCCCCAGGAGGAAAGGUAGCGGUAAUAACAAUGAUUAUUUGGAGGUUAUGGCUUGUUGAGGCUGCAAACAGAGAACAGCUUAUACCCCCCUAAGGGCAAUAGGAGGCUACUUGCAGAAGCUGAAACUGAGAGCUAGAGCAUUUCUCCUCCUCUCUGACCUUGAGGGUGGGGACGGGGUGUGUGUUGUGGGGGGGGGGGCGUAGGGAGGGAUACUAAUUCAGCAAGGGGCUUUGUUGCAGGCUUUUUACUGAUUUUCUAAGUCUAAGGGAAUCCUGAAGAGGCCCACUUGUCCUUCACCUAGUUUCUUCUUCUGGUCUGUGAAUUCUGACUUCUUCAACAUCUCUGACAUGAUGAUGCAGGACAAAAGCGGACUCAUCGGAGAUAGGAAGGGGAGUUAGGAUAAAAAAUAAAAAGUCAGCCAGGAUCAUAAGUACCUCUCUCUUUAGUUGUCUCCACCCACAACUUCUCCAUAAAUGUCCACAACCUCAAAACAAAAAUCACACAGCAGCAUGCAGAAUGGGGGCCAGUCUAGGGUCUCCAGCUCAAAAUUGGGAGGUGGGGCUGCUGCGACAUAAUUCAGUGCCUUUUGCCUCUGCCCCUGGGGAAUGGGGUGCUCUCAGGGUCCCCCGGAUGCAAUACUGUGGGGGAGCAAGUCUGCCUCACCCUGCAAGCCGAGGCCACCACCGCCUAGGACUCACUCUAAGAGUGAGCAAGCCAGGAGCCGCAGAAUGAUUGAUGGGCCGCAGCUUGAAUGGAAAGUCCGGAUUCCAGCGAGACAGCUAAGGAGGUAGGAGGAGAGUCACUUCUAACAUCUGCAAUGAAAUUAAAAAUUAAAUAAAUAAAAUUUGUUAGUUUACAAAUAGAACUGUUACUUGUUACUCGGGGUAUUAACAAUCUCCUUUUUGGAUUAAAAAAAAUUUUUUUUUAUUUUUAAUUUUUUUUUCGGUAACACCCGUGAAAGACGUUUGUUUCAGUUGCCAACAUUUCUGCAGAACUAAUGUGGGUGGAUUGUGACAGAUAUAAUUUCUCCAUCCUACAGUUUCAUCAACUUGAGUUCUGUUAAACUAUACCCGCUGGGCUUAGCUCCUUUUAAAGUUUCCGCUUUGACAGGUAGAUUUAUUAGUCUUGAAAUUUGUACAAAUCAGAUGUCACUCGUGGCAACUUGUCAAAAUGUCAGUCUGGCACGGCGGCAUGAAAGGCUUUCUGGAGAGAGAGACAGACGCAAGGCAGGCUUUAAAGCACUCCAGUGCGAGCUGCAGAAAGGAGUGGGGGGGAUUGAAGCCCCUUGAUCCUGAGGGCUUUACUUUAUUAAAUAUCUCAAGCUGUACAGGGGGACGGGCCUUGGGAUCCGGGUUUUGGAGACAUCAGGUCUGACAGCUCCCAAACUAUGGCUCCCGUCGGAUCAUGUCAAGUCUCUUUGCUGGUUAUGUUCACUUAGUGGCAGAAGGCAAGGGGUGCUAGCAUGGUUGUGUGGGGACCCAGAGAAAAUCCAUGUCUUCUGGUUUAAAAAAAAUUGCUGGCUUGGGUCUGUGGAGUUGGCAGGGUCCUAGGGUGGGCUCCUUGUGGCCAGAACUAAGGGUGCCUUCUGGCCCAUAAAUGCAAUCUUCUGCUUCCACUGGGGAGGGGAAGAAGCUGGGAGGAAGGGGUGGUCUCAGUCUCAGGUGCAGCCCUGUGGAGACAGGCCUGCUGUUCUCUCAGAAUGACAGAGGGCACAGUCCCCUGCCUCCCACCCAGGGCUCACCCUUCUACUCUGUGUGCUUCCCGAACUUUCCAGACUUCCUAUUCCCCAGCCUUCCGCUAGUCAAGGAUCCUGUGAUUUGGUAAGCUCCAUAAUUAUCUUAGUUUGACAUAGCAGUAAAUGUUAUUAAUAGUUGGAAAAUGAUCUGAAUUUCUUGCCUAGGGAGGGGUAAGGGGAGUGUGGUAAAAGAACCUGGCCAGGGUGCCAGUCCUCCAGUGGACAGACUGCAGGAGUCCCAGUGAACGUGGAUGUUUAGUGUUUCAAAAAGGUAGCCUCUGGGGAGGCAAGUGAGGGGUGGGGAUAGGGGUUAGUAGUGCUGAAGUGGAGAUAAAAUUAUGACCAAGGAAACUUGGAUUGGAUUAUCAUACUCUUUGCCCUUUGGUCUGUGUGUCUAUCCAGGGAGGUUGGGAGGUGCCAAGUAAAGCUAUAGUUUUCAAUAUUUUGUUAUCACCCUUCUACUCCUAGGAAGUUCUGCAGGAUUUAGGGAGGAGGGCAAGGACUCGAAAAGAUUGGUGCAUGCUCCCAAAUUUAAGCUCACUGAAGCUCCCACUCCUAUCUUUGGGUCCUUCCUCACCUUGCCUCAGGAGGGGCGGUUGCACCCUGAGCUCCUCAACAGCACCUUCCCACCACACCCUCCUGUUCUGGCCCAUCCAUUUGCCCCUGAGAUGCACAGUAUCCACAUCAGGAGGAGGCAUGCUCUGACCUGAGAAGUGGGGAGCUUGCUGUCUCCACUCCCUUUCAUUCCUUUGGACUUUGAAUGAUUGAAACUCCUUUUCUUCAUACGUUUCCAGAAACUCCUGCUACGAUGCAAAUACCUCUUUGAAGGGUGACACUUCCUGACUGGGAAUCAGGUGACACACUGCUGAAAGCAAAGAAGUAUUUGGGGGGAAGGGAGAGGGAUUGAGAUCAGAGCAGGGUAAACAUGAGGCUCCCAGGGAACUGAACACCUGAACACCCCCCUCCCCCAUUAUAUUUUGGAGAAUCUUACCUACUUGAUACAUUCUUGACUGUCCCCAGAUCCUGGAGCAAAACUUCUUUUUGAGAGGCAGGAAGGAUGGGUGAGGGAAGGGUCUUCUUUCCCAAACCUCUCACUGCCUUGCUAUGUAAGAGGACAGAGCCCUUCUCUUGUCCCGUCAACAGCACGAGGCUCAGGGGUGCUGGUGGCUGAGUCAUUCUCUGCUGGCAGCAUACAGUCUAAGGUGUGAAGCAGGGAAUUUUCCUCUCCCAGGGCCCAGAAGGCAGCUUUGCCUGGCAUUGUUCCUAAAAGGGAGAAGAGUCAAGUCCGCUGCUGUUGAUGGUUCUGUUGAGGUGUGGCUCGGUGAGCAGCUCGACAGACCUAACAAGUGUGUGAGAUUAUCCCAGGUGAAAAAUCUCAGACAUCAAGAGGUAUGAUAAUGAUAAUGGUCAUGAUGAUGGAAUAAUCGUGGUAAUUAUUCUAAUAAUCCCUUAGGACGGAGAUCAUGUCUCUCAAAGUGCUCAAAGCACUUUCAUACUUGUGAUCUCACAUAACCUCAACCUACUUCUGGUAGAGAGAUCCAGUGGGUCAGCCUACAGUAGCUGCAGGGGCACACUGAGGCAUCAUGCUCAAAUCUUUCACUCUGGUCUCUCUUAUUGAGCUACAUGAGUCCUGGGGAAGUGAAUCUUUUUUUUUUUUUUAACUAUUAUCUAAUUAUUUGGAGUUAUUAUCAUGUCUCCGAGAAUGAAACACACACACAAAGACACACAGGCACACACACACACAUAGACACAAAUACCCACAAAUGCAGGCAGACACAGGCACAAAUACCUACCCAUAUGCAUACAAAGAUAGACACACACACAAAGACCUAUGUAGACACAUAUAUAUGCACACACGGCCACUCACACAUCUGGGGUCUCCAGCCUCCCAGCAGGCCUUUGCUGAGAAGUGUCCAGUGUGGAGAGUUGAGAGGCUUACUCGCUGGCCCUCCACCAUGCCUCUGCUCUCUCCUGUGUAGUUCAUCAAAAGGGAACGGGAGGAGGCAGAUCUGAAGAGCAUGUCACAGGGAGAACUUUCUUUAAAAGAAAUCGCUUCGUGCCAUAGUGCAGGGGAACUGACUUUCAUGUGGCAAAUGCAUUCUGGCAGCUCUCUGUGCCACAUGAGGAAGUUUAUUAAAGUAGGAGCAGGCGAGGGGAAUUUUCCCAGCCCCUCCUCCAAAGACAGCUCUCCCUGGCUCCGCACACCCGGGUCUCUUUCACAGGGGGAGCGCUGGGUCCUGAGAGGCCAAUGAGUGGAGGCCAGAGCCUGAGCAGUGGGUGCCCACUGCUAGCUGGAGCCCUGUGUUUUCAUUUCCGCAAUGUUUCCCUGCUUCGUAAUUUCAGGGCGGCCAGCAGGGAGGAGAGUCGGGGUGGGGGGAGAGGAGGGGGAAGGCAGGGAGGAAGAAGAAGGAAAAAACCCACCAGCCCGUCUGGCAUUAGUUCAGAACGCUCUCCAACUCACACAUCUGGUUCUUAUAUUUCAAAGUUAAUUAGUCAUAUUGAGGCUGUCUGAAGAUAAAUUUAUCAUCCAGAAAAAACACAAACAGUUUGAAAAAUGAAAGGAAGUGAGGUGACAUGGCUUGACGUUUAAAUAAAUCAUUUUAACAUGAUUAAAAAACUUGUCCUGUCUGACACCCAGCACUUGGGUACUUUGUAAAGACUUUUUUUUUUUUUUUUUCUUGACAAAGACAAGUCCCUGUUUGGUAUACAAAAGCCUUUGCCAUUCAAUUACUCAGAACAAUCUUUGGCCAAUUACUUUUCUGAGUGACUACCAGGGCGUAGAGCCCACAGCUGGCCCACUCUCUGGGGUGGUAAUAGGGGACUCGGGAUAGUCAAUGAUUAUCACAGGGCCAAAGCUGGGAUAAAACAUGAAGGGGUCUAGGAAACCAGAGGAUUUUUUUUUUUUUUUUUUUUUUAAGAGAGGAAUGAGUAGAAAGUGAAUUCUUAAUCCUGUUCUUCUGGAUGAGGGUUGAUGGAGAAGGAAAUCCGGCCAAAAGAAGAAAGAUCCUCCUCAAAUGCCUGGGCAGACACUUCCCCAAGCCAGAUGUGUCGUGUUCCUUACAUCUCCCAGGGCAUGGAAGACAGCCUGAACUCUGUGGCUGAUGGAAUUAGGACUCAGAGCUCUCUCUGGCUUUGCUACAGUGGGCAGGGGCUCCGUGGGGGUGGUGAAUAUGAGUCCUCUUGAGUUCUCAAGUGUUGGUUUGGUGUAGAAGCAAACGGAAGUGACCUGGAAUUCAGCAUUCUACACACUCAAGACACACCCCUGUCCACUUGUCCCUCCCUCCCCACUGGCCUUGCCAGCAUACCUUGUGUACUUUGUAAAGGUCACUGGCUCUAGUUCUGUAAAAUGACUGACAGCACUUCCCAGCCCAGCUCAGCAAUGUGCAGACACUUGAGCAGCGGAGGGGGAGGUGCUGGAGGUAGGUACAGGUGUUCUUGGAUGUGGUGGAAGAGAGAGGGAUGUUCCAGGGUUUUCCUCAGUUCUGUCUAAGGUGAAUUGGCUCUUGGGAGAUUUCUAGGUGUCCUUGGGUGGUACUUUCCACACAGAACAGGAGAGCUAUAACACAAUGUGGACGUUUUCUCCUAUUAGCAAUUUGGUCUCUUCAGUUUUGUUAAUGGGAUAACAAGAGGUGCUGGUUAUGGUGCAGAAGUCUCAUCGUGUUGGUAAUUUUCACUGUAACAUGUUAGCAAUCUGUCACUAUUUGUUUCCAGCAAUACUGGCAAGAAUCUGCUUACAUCAGGGGCUCUCAUUUUCUCUCCACACCACCAGACUGUUCUUUCUUUCUCUGGCUAGGUAGUUUCCCUACUUCAAUCUGUCUCUGUCCAUCUGUCUGUGCCUUGUCCUCUGUCUGCCUGUUGUUGCUCUCUCUGUCACCUCCUACCCCUCCGAUAACCUAUUCCAAUAUGCAUCAGAGAGAAAGAACAUUCCAGGGCAGCCUGUGAUGAUGACAGAAUUCCAGAGCUGUAAGCACCAAGGUAUCAUUAUGAUAGCCUCCUCAUUGGUCAGAUGGAGAACCAAGGCCCAGAAGAGAAGUGGCUUGCUCAAAGGUAUCCCUGUCCGUUUGGUUAGGGUCAGGACUAGCACUCUGGUUUCAUGUAUUUUUUUUUUUUUUAUGUAUUUUUGGUCUGUUUGGUUUUUUGCAGUGCUGAAGGUGGAACCCAGGCUCUCGCACAUGCUAGGCAAGCACUCUGCUAUACUCUCAGCCCUGGUUUUAAAUUCAUCGUGUCUUCUACUACCUGCAUAUAUUAUAUGCAAAAAAUCAGGCAAUCCCAGAAAUUAACUUUCUUACAUAGGGGACAACACCCUGAUGAAGUUAAGGUCAUAGAGAGCAUAGUGUCUCUGUUCCCAAGUUGAUAGAGCCUUUCUCAACUCCAUCAGGAGGAACCCUCAAACAAGGUGGUUUUCCUGGGGUGGCCCAUCCUGUUGUGAGUUAUGAUGCUACAUUCUUGGGGAUUUUGUUUUGUAAUCAAAAAGGAUAUCCUCCCAAGUGAAUCCUGGCUGGCAGUGGGUGGAUGUAGCCUCUGGCCCCACCUGUGACCACCAGUGGUCCAGCACAGAAGGUCUGAUUGUAAAUAGCCUUUUCUAAGUGAUGUGAGAUGCUGCUCUUCACUUCUUGCUCUGCAUCCCUGCUAUGGUUCCAGGAGACCUUCACCUUGCCCUUGAGCAUGGGCUGGGUGGCCAAAGUUUGUUCCUGUUGGACGUGUACAUUUCCACAGCUGGUAUACUGAGGUGUGGAGGCAGAGGAGAGAGAAGCAUCACCUGGUUUGCAAAGAUGCCAGAUUUUGAGUCCGACGGACCAGGGUUUAAAUCUUAGCUCUGCUACUUAAUGGCUUUAGGAUCUUCCUAAAUGCAGAAAUGUACAGUCUCAGUUUCUUUACUUGUAAAAUGGAGAUUCAUCAUCUUUUUCUCAGAUGUUCAGUGGGGAGUAGAGAAAAUGUUUCUGAAGUACAUAGAUCUCCAAGACACCUAGUAAGUGGGCCAUAAGCCAAACAUGCAGUCCUUUAUCCAUCCACUUACAGGUGGACCAGGUGAUGCAGAUGCCGCCCUGGCCACUUUUCGAGCUCAUUCGUAGCUACUAUCAAGCUCAUGGUUUAGGGUGAAGGCUGAUAUGCAGCAAUGGACUGUGGAGUGAAAAGCCAAUUGUUUUCAUUGAGGGUCAAGGAGAAUUUCUGAGAUGGAGAGAUUCAGAGCAUCUGCUGAUGGAGGGAGGAAACAGUUGACCAGAGUCACAGGAGAUGCUGUUGAGGAGAAAAUGAAUAUUCAAAUUUCAGUGGCAGGAAGAAAAAAAAAAAAAAAGGAAAAAGCUCUGACUUGUGAGCUAGUGAGAGCUACCAGGACUGUGCACAUUCUCUCUGUCAAAACCUUCCCACUAAUUGUCCAAAGCUUCCUUGAUUGCUUCUAAUGAAACCACUAGCUGACUUUGACAUCUCAGAACAGUCUCAUCAUGCCCUGUUGAAUAAUAAACACUGUUCACAGGGGCAGACAAGUUGGCGAUGUCAUCCUGGGAGGAGGCGUGUCAUCCUGGGAAGCAGCUUCAAGAGCUGGCUUCCCUGCCCAGGGCUUGCCAGAGCCACAGGCGAGCAGGUACCUGGACUGGCCCAGCCCUUUCUUCAGUUGUCCUUAAGGUGCUUUGGCUGUAAGUUCUGACUGCCUGUCUGUCUGGUGCUGUCUUUAGAGUUAACAGAUUGUGUGUGUACGCAUGCUCAUGCUUGUAUGUGUUUGUGUAUGCGUGUAUCACAUCCUUCCAUGGAAUCCAAGUCUUUCUCUACUUAAAAAAAUGGGAGGUCGAUGUGGGAUAUAGGUCCAAUUAUUUAGCCCCAUGGAUCUCAGAUUCUAUCUGUACCUUCCUCCAACUAUCUCCUGCCCAUUCUGCACAUGACACCAUGCCUGUCCUCUCCUUAGGACUUCCUGGAGCACAGUUUAAGACAUCUCUCUCUCUCUCUCCCUCAACUCUUCUUUUCCCCUCUUUAAUUCCUAACAUUGAUUAGGGCGAUACAUUUCUUGCUUUUUAUUUGUUUCUUCUUCUGGAGAUCAGGAGUCAAGCAAGAACAGGACCUCUCCCACCCUGUUCCCCUCUAUCUUGCAGAACACUGCAGUAUUGAGGCCACAGGUGCUCAGCGCCUACCUGUUGGCUAAAUCAGGAAGCCUACAUGGAGUGUCUGUUAAUGACUUCCUCUACCUGCCUCAUAGGCUUUCUGUAAGGGUCAAAUGACAGCAGCUGUGAAAAUAAUUUGAAAAAGUGAAAAGAAAUAUGCCAAGUGCGAGCUAUUAACAUUACUCUCCCAUGGGAGGCAGAGGACAUUGCUUUGCCAAAAUGUCUCAGUAGCCUUGAGGUGAGCCUGGCAGAAACUGGCCACCUGCCAAGUCUUUCAUUCCCACCCGUGUGGGGGCCCUUGAAGCAAGACCUGAGAUUGCAGGACAGCUCAGCUCAGUUUUAUUCAUACUUCUUACGUGCCUGUUGCCACGUGAUGGGUGUCAAGAGGUAGGAGUGUGGUAACCCAUCACUUAGCUUCUGUCCUCAGGCAACUCAUAACCCAGGAGGCUAGGACAACUUGCAAACCAGUCAGUUUUACUACAGGGACACCUGGAACAGGACAGGCAAGCUUAGGUACUAAAGUUGCUGGGAGGAAGGAGUGAUUCAUCCUAAGAUGAGGAGAUGGCAGCUGGACACUUGGAAGAUGAGGUCCACCCUUCUAGGAACUUGGUGGAGAUGCUUCCUAGAACCCUGUGUUCUCAACCUUGAUUUUCAACCUUAACUUUGUCUUCCUUCUCUCCCCUACUAACUUCCACCUGCCACAGGAGACUUUUUAGACAGUUUCCCUUGAUCACUCCCAACAUGAAGAUUUAAUACCAGAUAUAGAUAUGAUGUGACCUUUGGGAGGACCACAAAUCAUUGUAACAGUUAAGUUUUUUCACCCCCCAAGAACCAGUGUUUGUCUUGCUGGGUGCUGUUGCCUCUGUUGUGAGUGCAUGCUGUAGCUACAAGCCUCUCUACUCUCCCAAACAGUUCUGAUGACCUCAGACAAAUUCUCCUCCAGGUCCAAUGGCCUGGUUUUCCUCUCUUGUACUGACUAUCACCAAACGUCCAGCUCUGAGAUAAAUGCAGCCUAGAAGUCAGAGUUCCAGUGGGCCUCCCCUUCAUCUCCUUUUCCUAGGGCAUGUAGGAUGCUUUACCCAACAUCACCUUUCCUGCAUCCUUCUCCACGGACCUGACCACUUCUGCUUUCACCAGAACAAUGUGGCUAUCCCCACUAACACAACAUUGAGAGGCAGGGCUCCAUCAUUUCCUCUUUGGUCAUGAGCUUCCCGUCACCUUCUUCCCAUUUCGGCAGCACUCUUAGCCCAUGCUGUCCAGUUGAUGCUGUGAUGCUGCUGAGCCCUGGGCCAAUGUCAUGCUAGGCAAUGUGCUUUCUGUGUGUGCUCCAGUCUGUAGACUGGCAGCUUCCUGUAGACAGGGACUAUGUGUGUGUGUGUGUGUGUGUGUUUUAGUUUCUCUUGUGCCUAAACCACUUUUCAAUAAACACUUGCUAGUUGAUUGACAUUUUUUCCCUCUCCUUGUCUGCAUGACUAAGGACAUCAGGAAUUGUUCUUUUUAUAAAUCUUCCCACGGAAUACAAGGCACCAAGCAGGGACUUAACAAAUGUUAGUUGAAUGAAUUGUAUCAAGGACUACUUUUGUUUCUGUUUGCACCAUUACAAAAAAAAAAAAAAAAAAAAAAGGAAAUUGACUCAGAUCCAGACAUCCUGGAACUACAUGUAGAGAGACAAUUGGCUCCAAAGGUUUGCAUCCAUUGUAGACUUUCUGAGCUCAUAUUUUCUCAGGAACUGAGCAAGACACCUGCCAGGGGUCAUAUUCUGUCAAGAGACUGAUUUACUCCUAGAGGAAGAACCCUUGUUGGCAGUCUCAGUUUUUUUUUUUUUUCUGCUGAGAAACCAACUACAAUCAAAAAGCAGUGUCUUUGGGUUCCAUCGUGGGCCCCUCCGACACACUUCUUUUGGAGCUCUUCCCUUGUGUGGCUUCUGGUUGGGUUGGAUUAGCGAGACAUUUAGACAUUCUGCUCUGUAAAUUACCGGAGAAAUUAUAUCCCUGUCAUAUUUGAACACUCUGAAAUAGGAAAGAAUUACUUUAUUGGGGGAUUCCCCCUCCCUCCUCCUCAAUGUUUGAAGCUAACAAAAAUGUUUUCAAGCAAUUUCUUGCCGUUAGAUUUAGUGAAACUUACUUCAAGUGUCUUUCCAGAACCUUUCAUAGAAAAGUAAUUGUGUAAUUAGCUAUAAAUUAGUAAAAAUUAUGCUAAUUACUUCCAGGUGUGACAUAUUUUGCGCUUAAAAACAAGUAAGAGAAAUAAAGGGGCUGUCACUGUGUUUCCCAAGUGAAGGCUGGCCCAGGCAGCUUGACAGGCUGAUGUGCACAUUUACCUAAUAUUAUAUAUUUUUUUUAAUUAUGUAAUUUCUGAAUAAGUACAAACAGACCCAGGAACAAAAGUACAACAGACAAAACCCAGGGGUGGUUCUUUUUUUGUGUGUGCUAAUUAAAAGGAGCCUAAGCAGGAGCGUUUUCAGUACUUUUCAAACCUGUAAUGGGAAGAAUGGGCUGGAGGGGGGUGAUGCUGAUGCCAGGCUUCACGGAGGACAUCCAGUGGCCUCUGGAGGGGUGACCCCUCAUCACACUCCCUUCAGCCUUCCAGUUCUAGUCACUGAGGUAGUAUGCACCAGGGACAUGUCUCUGGUUUUCCUCUGUAGACAGCUCUUUUCUCGGCACAGAACUUUACUCUGCUGGCCUGUCAUGGACCCCUCUCAUCAUGAUCCUGGGGAGCAUGUAGGGCAGGUGUGGAGGACUUCAUAUUACAGCCAUGCACCAUCAACGAUAGGGAUACAAUGUGAGAAAUGCUUCAUCAGGUGGCUGUUUUUGUCUCUGAGCAAACAUGUUGAGGUGUAUUUAUAUACACCAAGAUGGUUACAGUAACCAUCUCAGGAAGUGAUGGAGUUUUACCGGUGUGCUGUGGUAUAUUUUCUUUCUUUUUUUUUAAAUUUGUUUUAAUUAGUUACACAUGACAGUACAAUGAUCUUGACAUAUCAUACAUUUGAAUCAGAUGGAAUAUAUCUUCUCAUUUUUCUGAGUGUACAGGUUGCAGAAUUACAUUGGUCGUGCAGUUAUGUAUAUACACGCUGUGAUAUGUUUUCAACAUCAGCUUUAUUAUGUGGUGCAUAACUGUAUAUAAAAGUCUAAAGCACCAUAUUCUCCUGGAAUGGUGUAAAGUAAGGAAGGAAGUAGGAUUGUCUACCAAAGUUCUUUCCUUCCUUCUUCUUUUUGAACCAAUUCAGUGAUGAUUGGUACUAUCUGUACCCCCUGGCAAUAAUGCUAAAAUGUAAAAGCAACCAAUUGAACUAUCAAUAGGUCAAAUAUAUGGGGUCUUGCAGUAGGCGCUGGGCACACAAAGACCAAGAUCACAUUAAGUAUUAAUGGUGGGGGAAAAAAAUCAUGAGGAAAAAAUUGAUCACGUAUGAACAGUACUCUAUUAUGGUGAACCUAGGUCUUUGUUUUCUGUAUAAGUAUGGCGUACUGAUUGCCACCGGAGCUCUGGUUUUAGGUUUUCGUCCCAUUUUCAAAUAUUUUGUCUCACGAUCUUUCCAUAAUUAUAUUUUUGCUCAUGAAACAUUGUGUCCUGUAUCUUGGCUUGGAGAACUUGGUCCCUGGAACUGUAACAGAGGAUCAUUAAAGUGCCACAGCAGAACAAAGAUCAUCCUCACAGAGAACAGGAAUUUAAGAAGGGUCUUCAAGAGGGGGGGUGGAAGUGUUCCAGGUGGAGAAGCAGGAGGGGUGUCUUUUCAAUACAGAUGAUACCCAGGAAGGUCUUGGAGAUGACUAGGAACUCAGCAGGAAUGACUGAAAGAGGAAUUCUUGGUGGGGGGUUGCGGGGAAGGACAUGGACAAGAACCCUAAGACACCAGCCAAGUGCACUCCAGAUGGUUCAGCGUUGCUAGAGCAAGAGUGAGGGGAGAAGUCAGGGACCGAAGCAGGGUCCAAGGAGAAUCUCGUAGCCUACACCAAUCAAAGGAGAGGAGGUUGGACUUUGAAAUAAAGGGAAACCACUGUAAAGUUCAAGCAGUGUGUUUGUGUGUCUUUGGGGGGUGGGGGAAUGGCAGAGCCAAAGGCCCUCUUAUCGUACUGCCAUGCUGCUUGACCUUUCCCAAGGAGAGCCGGUUUAGAAGUUUUAGGACUGAUGCAACAGUUGGGCCUGGAAGCAAGGGAUCCCCCCCAACCCACACAGGGGCCAGGAACCUCUGUUGCUCCUGGGAGGGGUGUCUUGACAGAGUGUCUUUCAGAUUUCUGCUGUCACCCUGCAGCCACCCAGGCAGCAGGCACUAUCUAGAGCCUUCCUCCCUACACAUUAAGGCUCACUGAUGCUUAAAGGGAAGAGAUCUGGGAGCAGCCUCAGCAAACAUGGGCCACAGCUUCAGAGGAAAAGGAGUAAGAAGCACACCUGUGUUCCCUGAUGCUGUUGAUGUCCUUCACAACCUUCUCAUGAGUUUCUGGCCCUUUGGUCUCGAGAUUCAAAAAUGAGCUCACUGGGAUAUCUUUUUGACACCAGAAAAUAGAUGACUAUUAGGAAAGUGUAGAAAAACAAAAUAAAACAGACCAAAACAACAAGAACAACAAGAAUAACAAUAACAACCUGUGCAUGGAGCCAUGUCCAGACUUGCUGUAAUAAAUAAAUAGCGGUAUCAAAGCCAGACAAAAAGGCACUCAGGCUGGGAGGCAGGAGAGCUCUAUUAGACCCUGACGGCUCCUUCUCCUCCAUCUGACCUGACUUCAGCUGAUUUCCUGUCCAGGUAUCGGAUUCUGCAUUUUUAAAAUGAGAGGACUGGGCUUAUUUAUCUCAAAGGCCUUUGCCAGACUGAGCUGUAACCUCUGCAUUUUUAUUUUAGGUAGUGACACACAGAAGAAAUAGGCCAGGGGGUUGGGAAUUACAGUGGCUGGAAAAGGGCCACAGAUGGAUCUCUUUCUCACAGUUUGGCUGUGGGACAUUUGAAAGUGUUCCACUAUCAAAAAUAUUUCCCUCCCUGUGACUUUUAUUUCCCCAGGACCAAGGUACUCUUAUGAAGAACUUCGCACUGUGGGAUCAGAGUCAAACUGUGUUUGCUUCCUAUUAAACAUGCCUUAAUAUAACCACAAAAUUGUGCUAAUGGAAUGAGGAGGCUAAGAAUAAUGGGAACUAGCAUCUACUGAGUGUCUGCUUCGUCAUGUCAGACAUGAGCCCAAGAGCUCUGUGUUUAUUUCACUAACCCUGUGCAGAGGUAGGUGUUAGAUUCCCCAUUUUCCAGUGGGAACGUAGGCUCAUGGAGACAUUAAGUAACCAGUGCUAGUCUGGAGGAAGAUGUGUGGAGCUGGAACAGAUGCCUUCAGCUGUGAGCCCUAAAUUGCUGUCUCCUUUCCCCAGCCAGCCUCCUGGGGCUCUUGAAGAUUAAAUGAGACAAUCUUUGUGACAAGUUUUGCAGAUUAUUAUGUACCAUACAUAUGUGGGCCAAACUCAUGGAAGAGCCAGGGUAGAUGUGACACAUCUGGCUAGGCAUGGGCUGAGCCUCCUAAGCAGGACAGCUGGAUUCUGGAGAGGAAGACAGAAGCGGUCCAGCCCAGGCUGGAGAAGGAAUUCCUAACGCAGUGCUGGCGCUUUCUCCUGGAGAUGUGUGUGUGGCCCUCAGCUGAGCUCCAGGCAGCAAGUCUGGACACGGCUCCAUGCACAGGUUGAGCAGAAAAAUGCUUCCUGGGGCAGGUGGCAUUUCUCUGGGAAACUCACCCUGGCAGGGUGAUUCUUCCUGGCUUUCUUCUCCAGGUGGAACUGAGCAUGGGGUGGAUCUCCUUUCUCAUUACCCAUAAGAUCAAGGCCACUCACCUUUGCUGGCAUGAAAUUCGAGACUCCUCCUCCCCUAGCCCUGCCCUAGGACUCUGUCCAUAUUGCUGCUGCUCUCCCCACGACUCCUCUGCCCCAAUGGCCACCCUCGUAGUGCUUCCUGCUGACAAGCUCUCUGCCACCUUGGAGCCUUGCAGGUGCUACUCUCUUGGCAAAGCACUGUCUUACCCCCAUACCUCCAUACUCAGCAGAAGCUCCACUUCCUUCAAGGCCUUUCUGGCAGUGGGGUUCCUUUUAUUUGAGAUUCUAGAUUCCUUGUCUCAUUAAAUGGAGCUCCUUAGCCAUCUGGGUAACGUUUUUAGGCAUGAAAGGACUGGACAAAAUUCUGUCCCCCCCUUUAAUACCUCCAGGAUUUGUAUUUAAGGCUUUGCUUAGGAGUCCUUAGACAUUCUUUGUAGGAAGAAAGGAAAGAGUUGGACUGCCUUGGCCUUUCUGCCUAGAUUCUUUUCAUGAACAGCUUGGUUAAGCUUUUAUCUCAAAGAUUGGCUUGACUUUGGGCCUAGGAGAGCAUUGUGAAUGACUAGAAAGGGUUCAGUAUUUAUUGCUCAUACAGUUCACUGUUGGACCAAAGCCCCGUUAACUGGUACCACUGUCUGGCAACUCCUUUGUAGGGGUGAUCACCUGCUUGAUAUGGAUUCCUGACCUUGUUCAGGUAAAAAAUCUUUAUAUACAGAUCUUUGCAGGUCGAUACCAGCUGCAAUGACUCCUGGAAGAGUGGGUUUAUUUUAUUUCUUUAUUUGAGUUGGGGUCCUGCUAUGUUUCCCAGGCUGGCCCUGAACUCCUGAGCCAAGGGAAUCCUCCCACCUCAGCCUCCUCAGUAGCUAAGACUACAGAUAUGUACCACCACACCCAAUUCAGAAGAGCAAAUUUUAAAGAACUUAAUACAUUUUAAAAAUGCAUUUGUUAGCGGUUCUAUAGUUUUUUGAGGAAACUCCAUACAGUUUUGAGGAAACUCCAUACGGUUUACCAUUUUAGAGGAAGUAAAGUCUAUUUGAGGGCUCAGGGUUUUAGAAUUGACAUUUCCACUAACCGUGGGUAAGGGUUCUGCUCUCAUUUUCUUCUUUUUACCCAUUCAUUGUGCAAUGCUUAAAUUAUGUUAAACAUAUCUACCUCCUAAAACAUUUAUUGUUUCCUUAUGUUGAAACUUUCAAAAUAUCUUCUUCUAGUUUUUGAAAUGCACGGUAGGUACAUCAUUGUUAUCUGUAGCAACCCUAACAUGCAACAGCACCCUAGAGCUUCUUACUCCUAUCUAUCUGAAACCCAGAACUCACAGAUCAAUCUUGAUACCCUCUGCCCACCACUUUCCAGUCUCUGGUAACCACCAUUCUACUUUCAACUUCUUUUUUAGAUUAUACACAUAAGUGAGAUCAUGUGGUAUAUGUUUUUCCUGUGUCUGGCUUAUUUACUUGAACUUAGUGAUCUCUAAUGCUAACCAUGUUGUCUCAAAUGACAGGGUUUUGUUCUUUUUCAUGGCUGACUAGUACUCUAUCAUAUAUAUGUACCACCUUUUCUUUUUUUGCUCAUCAGAUGAUGGACACUUUAGUUCUUUCUAUUUUUUAUUAGUGUUAAUCAUGCUGCAAUAAACAGGAGUGCAGAUGUCUCUUUGACAUACUGAUUUGCUUUCCUUUGGAUAUAUAUCCAGUAAUGAGAUUGAUGGAUCAUAUGAGAGUUCUAUUUUUAAUGUUUUGAGAAACCUCCAUACAGUUUUCCAUAAUAUCCGUACCGAUUGACAUUCCCACUAGCAGUGUGAAGUGUUCUUUUUGUUUUCUUCUUCUUCUUACCCAGCACAGUUUCCGAGUUAUGCAGUAAUAUGAAGUGUCCAGCACCAUUCACAGUACCAAGAGGGAAGGUAGUUUACAAAAAGUAGAGAUGGGUUCUCUCUUGAGAGAAGUUUCCAGUAUUAUAAAAAGGAAAAGAGAUAUCUGCAUUCAGUUAACAUUCAUUAUUGUCUGAUGAAGAAACUGAGGCUCAGAGAGGCUAAAUGAUUUUCCCAAAGUCACACAGCUAAUCCAGGUCUAGGGUUCUUUUAUACCUGGCCUCACACAUAAAGCACUUAAAGAAUGGAACACUUGGUAUGUUAUGCCAGCUGCUGUGGGAGGUCAGAGAUGCUGUGGCCACCAGUCCUGGCUGUGGACUGGCUAGUCCCUGCUGACGUCAGAGGGGAAGGAUUCUGUUUUAAUCAGCUUUUUUGUUGCUGUGACAAGAACCCAUUUUAGAGGAGGAAAAGUUUAUUUGAGGGCUCAGGGUUUCAGAAGUCUCCGUCCAUAGAUGGCUGACUCCAUUCUUUGGGGUCAAUGGUGAGGCAGAACAUCAUGGUGGAAGAGUGUGGUGAAGGAAAGCAGCCAGGACACGUGGCACCAGAGAGACUUGCCUCACCAUCUUCAAAAUGGAAACCCAAGGGCACGCCCCAAUAACCCACUCCCUCCAGCCAUACCCUACCUGCCCCCAGUUACUCCCCAGUUAAUGCCUAUCCGAGGAUUAACACACUGAUUAGGUUAAGGCUCUCAUAACCCAAUCAUUUCACCUCGAAGCCUUCUUGCAUUGUUUCACGCACGAGCUUUUGGGGGACGCCCCACAUCUAAACCAUAACCAUUCCCAUUGUGGGUAGGCAGUGGCUGGCAGAAGCUGCGAGGAGCUCAUUGCAGCCAGGGAGGCAGCUCUGACCCCAGCAGAGGGGUCCAGGACUCUUUCCUGGUCGCUCUUCUUCCUCUCUAGCCCUCACUUUUGCUCACUACUUUCCUUCUAAACCAGGCACCUGCUCUCCAGGGUCAUUUUUUUUUUUUAAAUAAUUCUAGUUCAGAUUAUUUCAGACUUGGGCCACCACCCACAGCAAGAAAUACACCUUUCAGGGUGGCCUAGUACCCAUGGAUAUAACUGUGUGUGCGUGGGGUUUUCUUUUUUGUGUGCAUGCCUUUGCUAGAAUUGAUGCAAUCUGAUGUUUUUUUUUUUAUGAUGUUCUAUUAUGUAAUUAAAAAUUCAGAUAAUAACACAGCCAAUUAAAACACAACCUGCGGUAUGAAAAUCUGCUUUAACUCCACCUUGCCAGAGCUGUAGACAGAAUUCUUUUGCAUUCAAACCCACGCCGAAGGAAGGGCUAGGUCUUGGGCUGCUCUUGUAGCCUGUUGAGCUCUCUUUCUCCUCCGGGGGCUUAAGGCUUUAAUUUCUGACACCUAUACUGGGAUCUUAGCCCCUCCUACUGCGGGAUUAAUUACAUUUCUAUGCAUCUGCACCUUCUCUCCUCCCAAAGAGGGUUACAAAUUCUUGCAGAGAAAACAAAUUCCUAGGAGGAUAAGCAACUCUGCCUAGAAGGUAGUAAGAAUGUAAUGAGCUCAUUUUUUUUGAGCUCCAGAGGCCCAGCUCUGUACCUUUUUCUAGAGUAAGUGCUCAAUAAGUGUUUAUAGAUGGAUUGCCCACGUGGUUGAGAUGGCAGAAGGAUUUGGGAAUUUUCAGAGUAACCUCAGUGUUGCUGGUGUAAAAGGCCUGAGAGUAGGGCUGACCUUUGGUUGUUCCUCCAGCCAGCACUUGGGACCCCUCUGCUCUACUCUUCUGUAUCUUACUGCGUUUCUCCUCAGACUCAAGCUAGCUCUCCAGCCUCAGAUACUUCUGGGGCUUAUGCAUGCUCUUUGCCUUUCCUUGAGAUAGAAAUUGGAAUGGUGGUGAGUCUGAUAAGACCCAUGCACUUGACCUUGCCCGCCCCAAGCCUGACUAGAGAGCCCGGUAACAAACCCCUCCCUGCCUCCACCCUAACAUGGUGGGGAGAACACUAGCUCAGUGCAGAAAAGUUCACUUCAGGGGUCCCCUUAACCAUCUGAGUGACUCUGGGGAAAUAGGUUAGCCUCCUGAGUUCCAUUUCCCUUCAUUUGGCAUCUCUAUGCAAGUUGAGAUGGUCACCUUAACAUGGUGGCUUAAUGACACCCAUCUGCCAUAGGAACUUGCAUUUGUAUGAGCAGCAGCUUCCCGUAAAUAUCCUUCAACAACGGUGUGAAUUGUUUUAUGAUUAACUCUCCGUUUACUAGGGAAACUGAGGUUAAGUGAUCUAAGAUUACUUUGCUAGUGUGCAGUGGAGCUAGAAUUCAAACUCAGUUUUCUUUUUCCAAAGUCUAUAUUCUUACCAUGAACAUCAUUAUGUCAUGUAAUUACACCAGCCCCAUUAAGUUAAUGAUUAUUUCCCCCAGCCCAGGGGUGGUUUUUUUUUUUUUUUUUGGUGGUGUUGGGAAUCAAACUCUAUCAACUGAGCUAUAUCCCCAGUCCCCAGGGGUGUUCUUAAAGCAGAGAAUUUUUGUUGAUGCAGGGAGAUACUGAUAGGAAAAAUGAGGAAAAAGAAAGGAAAGGAGAGGAUAUGAGGGAAGGGUUAGUUUAGGGAUCAUGGGAGGCUCAUGGUUGAAGGGUUUCUUGGUCGUCUCUGCUGUUUCAGCUUGCUGGGUCUCCAGACAGCCAUCAGGUCCACCAUCACUGAUUUUAAUCAACAGACCAAUGAACCAAUAUUUACUUGGGGAUUUAGAAAUUGAUGCAGGAGGCUCAUUGUUGGAGGGCACUUGGAAGCAGGGUCAUUUUCCUUGGCCACAGAAUCCCAGACCUCUAUUCCCCAAGAGAUGGGUGAUGUUCUUUGGAGAAUUUGUGAGCACUUGGUGGUUUCCCUCACUUUGCCAAGUUUAUGCUGAAGGGGUGAGAGUCAUGUCAGGGUUGGGAUGUGGCUGUCUUCCCUGGAUCACCCACCCCAUCUUCUCCAGUGGCAGGUGCCAAUCACAGAUGACUUCAGUUUCUUUUUGUCACUUUCCAAACUGGCCUUUAAUAAGUGUUUUUAUAUUCUUUGUUCUAAUGCACCCACACAGCCCUCCUGUGUGGUGGAUGCUAGCAUUGCACCCAUUUUAGAGAUGAGGGAACUUGGGCUCCAAGAGAAUCUGUGACCUGCCCAGAGUCCUGAAGCCAGAUUUGGAUGUAUAUCUUCUGAUGUCAGAUCUUCCUAGUUUCUUUCAGGUGCUUCUGUUCUUGGAGAAUGGGCCAGGUAAAUAUGAAAUGCAAGUACUCAAGAAUUGUAUUGCUCCCAAGGUCACUACAGAGGACCUCAAAAUCCUGGGGUUGUAGGUUCCUUGAGGGCAGGUCCAUGUUGAAACUUUUGGUUUCUCAUAUUACUUACUUCUACCUCUGAAGGAUUGCUUUCCAACGGGUGACACAUGGUGACUUGUGUCAGUGUCAUUAAAACAUUGUAAAAUUCUGAAAAGGCAGCUCAAAUAUUCAGAAAAGUCUCCUGUUCCCCACUCACUCUUUAGUGGUAGCUAUUGUUAAUAGCUCUAUGUGUGUCUUCUAGAUCUUUUGGGAUGUAGUUGUAUUGUGCAUUAUAUUACCCAGUGUUUUAAGGCAUAAGCAGGAUUGUACUGUCUAUAAUAUUGCAACUUGCUUUUCUUCUUUCUUUCUUUUUUUUUUUGCAACUUGCUUUUUCAUGGAAGAACCUUUUUAUGGACAUGCAUUCAUGUUAGUGCCCAUAGCCCUACCUCAAUCUUUUUAAUGCAUGCAUAAUUUUAAUAUUUCAUUUUAUGGAUGAACCAGUUUAUUUAACCUAUUACCUAUUGAUGGACACUUAGGUUGAUUCCAGCUUGUUUCUAUUAUAAACAGUGCUUCAGUGAGCAUCCUUGUACAGUUGGAUAAAUUCAUAUAAAUGAAACUUCUGGCACGCAGGAUUAGUGCAUUUAGAAUUUUGAUCGAUAUUGCCACAUUGCUCUCCAAAGAGGUUGUCCCCAUUUACACCAUCAAUCUAAACAUUGUAUUUUGCAUGUGUUCAGUAAAUGCUGUGGAAAUUGGUCCUGACAGUUUAUUCAAUUAUUUUUGUGAUUCAACUCUCCACUCUACUCAGGGGUGAUUCCAUUGCAUUUGGAGUGUGUCAUUUCAGUCCCAUCUCUGCCCUUACUGGCUGGAGGAUGGGGAGCUUUUCUUGACAUCUCUGAGGCACAAUUUCCUUAUGGACGUAAUAAUACCUCUCUUAAAAAAAUUAUUAGUGCAUUAUCACUAUAUAAUGGUAAGUCUCAUUUUUACAUAUUUAUAAAUGCAUAUAACAUAGUUUUCUCCAUUUCAAUUUCUAGUACUUUCUUUUCCCCUUACCUUCUCCAAAUGAUGCCUCUCUCGAAGAGUAUUUGUCUGAUUUCUUGCUCAGAGCCUGGGCAUAGUGCAGGUAUGCAAUGCAUGCUGUCAUCACCCGGAGGGUCAGCUCCUGUCAUCUGGCCUUCAGGAGAGAUGAUUGCAUGGUUUGCACAGGACUCAGAGGGGAAACUGAGGCACGGGAUUGUUAAUGGCCUAUCUGUGCAAGAUAAAACCUCUUAAUUUCAUAGACUCUAAUUCUUUCCAGGACAGAGACUUUGUUUUCUUCUUCUUUGUAUUCCUGAAAGCGCUGAGCCCAGUGUAUGGGAUGGGAAAGGUGAGUUAGAUGUCAGAGUGGAAGGGGACAAGGGUUUUGACUCAGAAUGUAUGUGCCAAAAGGAGACACUUGGAGGCAGAGGGUCACGUUGUAGAAUUCACACAGAUCAAGAAACUGAAAUUAUGCUUCUCACUUUUUCUUAGAGAAGUUUCAGAAUGAAGCCUGGUGGGAGUUGGGAGAAAGGUGGAGGAGAAAGAGACCAGUCUAUGCACAGCAGUCCCCUUUUAGAAAUUGCCUUAGGGUCUAGGCUGUGAAGCUGGGGGUGGGGGUGGGGGUCUGGAAGCUGUUUGGAAGUAUGUGGGCAAUUUACACGUGGGGUGAAGGGGGUGUCUUGUGGCUCCUGAAUGGAAAACUAGGCUCUCUGGAUGUGGUAUUUUGAACUCCUUCUCUCCAGUUGAAUCUGGCACCUCUUGUCUCUGGAGUAUUCUUCUGGUCUUUUCUAGCUCCGGUUUUGGAAACAAAGUGUCCUUCAACCUCUUGUCACCCUCCUUGCCCUGCCUGCCCACUCCAAGGCAACUGGUGUCAAAAAUUCUCUCUGAACGGCUUGACCCAUGAGGUCUGGGGCUGUCCAUCAUACCCCAGGAACACACACAGAUGGGCAGGGGAGAGAGCAGGGCAGUGGGUGUUGGGAGUGACUUGGGGAUAUAGGCAAACGACUCAAGUUAUAAUCUGGGUUUGGCCAUGUCUAGUUACAGUAUCACACAACACUGUGUCUCAGUUUUCCUUUCUGAUGAAUGAGUUAUAUCUGUCCUUGCCUCCUUGUGAGGGAGACAAGGACAGCUCAGACCUUGAAAUCAGAGCAAGAGAAAUUGUAGAAAGGAAAUUCCUGUGUCAGCAAUUCAAGAUGGUGGUGUUGCAUUUGUGUCUCUCAUGGUCCUCUGCGAUCAGGAAGAUAUGCCACUCUAAGAAUAUGCUCUUUUCUGCCUGCACCUCAUUUUUUCACAGAGGGCUAAGUUUGAAUUCCUUCUCUGUCCCUUGCUAGCUGGAUGAUCUUGAGGAAGUUACUUAAACUCUCUGGGCCAGAGUUUCCUCAUGUAUAAAAUAGAGAUAGCAGCACCUCAUUAGGUGGUAAGAGAGUUCAAUAUUAUCUUUGGUUGUUCAUGAAAAUUUGAUUAGACCUUGGUCUAUAGUCAAGUAGGCUAAAGACUAUAGUGUGCUAUUGACCAUGUUGUAUGUGUGGUAUAUGCUGUCCUAUAUAUGCAAUAUGCUAUUGACUAUGCUAUAUGUAUGCUAUAUGCUGUGCUAUAUAUGCUAUAUGCUACCAAUCAUGCUAUAUUCAUGAUAUAGGCUGUGCCAUAUAUGCUAAGAGAUAUAGACUAUGCUAUAUAUGGCAUUUACACUCUACAUUAUAGACUAUACUAUAUGUUGUGGUAUAUGCUGAACUAAAAAUGGUAUAUACUGGGUUAUAUGCUAUAGGCUAUUUUAUAUGAUAUAGAAUAUGUUUUAUGCUUUAGAUUAUGCCAUAUGCUAUAGACUAUGGUAUAUGUCUUAGACUAUGCUAUAUGCCUUAGACUAUAAUAUAACCUAUAGACUAUGCUAUAUGCCAUAGGUUAUACUAUAUGCAUUUGACUAGUCUAUAUGCUGUGAACUAGGCUAUAUGUCAUAGACUGUGCUAUAUUUUCAGACUAUGCUAUAUGCCUUAGAUGAGGCUAUAUGCUAUAGACUAUGCUAUAUGCCACAGGUGAGGCUAUAUGUCAUUUAUGCCUUACACUAUUGCCUGAGCUCUAUGCUAUAGUAAGCUGUAGACUGUACAGAAAGUCCCCUGCUUCCAGUGGGGAUGCUUGAGGAAAGGAAAGUUCUCUUUGGAUGGCAGCAGGAUGUGCGUUUUUUUUUUGUAGAUGGACAGAAUGCCUUUAUUUUGUUUAUUUUUAUGUGGUGCUGAGGAUCAAACCCAGUGCCUGACACAUGCUAGGCAAGCGCUCUGCCUCUAAGCUAUGAACCCAGCCCAGCAGCAGGGUUUUUCUAAACUGUCUUCCUUCUGUUGUAGGCCAUUGCAUUCCAUUCUGCGGCACCAGUUGUCCAAUGUGCUUUCAUUUAGCACCUAUAUGCCAAGUCAGGAAAUGCUGCCUUUCUCUGGUUCAGCCUGAAUUCUAGAACAAGAAUGAGGAAUGGAAUUAAGGUGCUCUUGAAGAGCUUCUGAAAGAAACAGUGAUAACCUGUGAGCCCUGUCUUUGGACUCCAACCCUAUCUGGAGCUGGACCAAAAACCUGGGCUGAGCACUGGAAGAGGAGCCUGGUCUCUAAGCCACGUGUUCAUGAUGCUUUGGCUUUGAGAUAAAAAGGAAGGCAUGGGUUCCACUCCUGGGCAGCUGGGCUUCACGUGGGCCUGGGACACUUGGGAGAGAUGAGGUUAGGUUGGUUGUUCCCUCUUCCUUCCUGGCCUGGCCUGGGUCCUUUCACAGCUACCUCAACGUCAUGCCAAAAAAAAAAAAAAAAAAAGUAGCCUAUGCAUGUGGUACACACACACACACACACACAGACACCCCACAAAUCCUGAGAACAAAUUAGUGAAUUUAUUAACCAGGCCCUGUCUGAGGCUCUGUUGUGAAGGAGUGAAGACCCCUGUGGCUUGAGUGUUGGCGUCAGCACUAUUAAGUGUUGAUUGAGUUUUGGUCCCAGUGGUAAAAAGCAUGUGUGAAAUUCAAAUACAGAAUUUCAAACCCUUGAGCACUUCCUGCGUGUCUCGGUGGCUUUACUAAGGGACGGGCAUCUCUUUGAUGGCAAAUGAUUAUCUUUCACAGUGUAAGCACAAAUUGGAUCAUCAUUAAUGAAUUUGAUAUAUGUUCUUCCUUGCAUGGAUAGGAGCUGGCACUUAGUUAUCUGCAUCUCCAUAACUUUACAGGGGGAUGCUGCCACAUGCAAAUGAAAGGUUAUACAUUUGUUAGUUCUUUUGUAGCUUAGCAAUCAGUUUGAGCACAUCAUUUCUCUCUCUCUCUCUCUCUCUCUCUCUUUCCUUCUUCCAGUAUCCGUUUUGCAAAUUUAGAAACAUAUGAUGACUUCUUAGAGCUGCUUGAACAUGAGCUGCCAGAGUCCUUGCUAUAGAUGGAGAGAAGAAACAUGUUACUUGAUGUGCUCCAAAGCGUAUUCUUUCACCAUGCUUUAUCUUUGGUCUCACUUUUCUUAGCAUCUUUCUCCUUUGCCUCCUUCUUUCGUUAGGAGUCAGUCCACAGGGGUGAUGAUAUUUGAACUGAUGCUUAAAUAUACAUACACUAAGUCUUUCUGGUGACAAAGAAUCUAGGCAAGCCAUUAUGUAAUCUGAUUCAUGUCCCUCUUUUAUUUAGCAAAUAUUCAUUGAGUGCUCACUGCAGGCUGACUUCCUUAGCACUGAGGAGUAGGAAGACCAAUAAGGGCAUUCCCUUCUCUCUGGGGAUUAUUGAACCUCACCUCAUUUGUCAUUCUUCUCCUUUACCCCAUUAUUUGCCAGUAUGGUCCACUUUCUUUUCUUUCCACCUCACAUCAAUAUUUAAAAAAAUUUAUUCUAAUUAGUUAUAUAUGACAGUAGAAUAGAUUUUUAAAUGAUAAAUAAAUAAAUAAAUAAAUAUAUAUAUAUAUAUAUAUGUAUUAUUUUUUAUUUGUUCUAAUUAGUUAUAUAUGACAUAGAAUGCAUUUUGACACAUUGGACACAAGUGGAGCACAACAUGGUGCAGAGUCACAACAGUAGUGUAAUCACACUUGUAUAUAGGGUACUAAUGUGUGUCUCAUUCUACCGUCCUUUCCAUCUCCACUGCCCUGCCCCUCCCCUCACUUCCCUCUGCACAAUCCUUAACCCCUCUCCCCUACUAUGGAUCAGCAUCUGCUUAUUAGAGAAAACAUUCAUUCAGCCUUUGGUUUUUGGGAUUGGCUUAUUUCACUCAAUGAUAUUCUCUAGUUUCAUUUGUUUACCUGCAAAUGCCAUAAUUUCAUUCUUCUUUAAGGCUGAGUGAUAUUUCAUUGUGUAUAAGUGUCACAUUUUCUUUAUCCAUUCAUCUCUUGAAGGACAUCUAGGAUCAUAAUUAAUGAAUUUGAUAUAUGUUGGAUCAUAAUUAAUGAAUUUGAUAUAUGUUCUUUAAAAAUACUUUAGCUAUUGUGAAUUGAGCUGCUAUGAAUAUUGAUGUGGCUGCAUCGCUGUAGUAUGUUGACUGUAAGUCCUUUGGGUAUGAUCCGAAGAGUGGGACAGCUGGGUCAAACGGUGGUUCCAUUCCAAGUUUUCUGAGGAGUCUCCAUAUUGCUUUCCACAGUGUUUGCACCAAUUUGCAGUCCCACCAGCAAUAAUACAUAAGUGUACCUUUUCCUCCACAUCCUUGCCAACACUUAUUAUUGCUUGUAUUCUUGAUUACUGCCAUUUUGACUGGAGUGAGAUAAAAAUCUUAGAGUAGUUUUGAUUUGCAUUUCUCUAAUUGCUAGAUGAUGAACAUUUUUUUCACAGGUUUGUUGAUCCAUUGUAUUUCUUCUUUUGUGAAAUAUCUGUUCAGUUUCUUAGCCCAUUUAUUGAUUGGGUUAUUUUUUUUUUGUUGUUGUUGUUGUUAAGUUUUUUGAGUUCUUUAUAUAUCCUGGAGAGUAGUGCUCUAUCUGAGGUGCGUGUAGUAAAGAUUUUUCUCCCAUUAUCUGAAGGCUCUCUCUUCAUGUUAUUGAUUGUUUCCUUUGAUGAGAAGAAGCUCUUUAGUUUGAAUCCGUCCCAUUUAUUGAUUCUUAAUUUUACUUCUUGCACUUUAGGAGUCUUGUAAAGGAAGUCAGGUCCUAAGCUGAAAUGAUGAAGAUUUGGGUAAUUUUUUUUCUAUAGGUACAGGGUCUCUGUUCUAGUGUCUAAGCCUUUGAUCUACUUUGAGUUGAUUUUUGUGCAGGGUGAGAGAGGUUUACAUUCAUUUUGCUACAUACGGAUUUCCAGUUUUUCUAGCACCAUUUGUUGAAUAGGCUAUCUUUUCUCCAAUGUAUGUUUUUGUUGCCUUUGUGUAGUAUGAGAUAACUGUAUUUAUGUAGGUUUAUCUCUGUGUCUUCUUUUUUGUACCAUUGGUCUAUUUUGGUGCCAAUACCAUGUUAUUUUUGUUACUGUUGCUCUGUAGUAUAGUUUAAGGUCUGGUAUUGCCACCUCACACCAAUUUCAGGUAUUCCAAAUGAUUUAUUCAUUUUCAGGAUGGGCACAUGUGCUCCUACCCAGCUUUCUUGUUGAUAUAGUCAAAGCCACAUAUUGGUGCCUUCUAGAUAAAUGUAAAGGGGAAUAUAACAGAGAUGUUUUUCCAAUGGUACUAGGGCAGUGGCUGCACAUGAGUACUGAUUUCUAGCUUGAGUGGCAAGGAAGAGGAUGGUUACUGUUACCCCACUCCAAGAGGCCCUGACCACAUAGCUAUCUCUGUAGAGGGCAUUAUCUAAGAGUGCAAAUACAGGCAACUAUUGAUCACUUGGAAAGAGCAUAGAUGGGUGGGUUUUCUCCACUCAUGGAAGGUCUCAAAACCAGCUCCAUGAAUUUACUCAGGCAGGGAAAUAAAGGCUGGAUGUUCCCCAGGAAAACAGUCAAGGAAAGGAUGUCUCAUUCCGAUCACUGAGUAGGUGGUAGUUCUGAGAAUCAGUUCAGCCCUGGAGGUCUUUGUAUUGGCUCAUGAACUCUGUCCCUGUGGCUGGAAGGAAGCCAAGCCCUUGGGAGGUCAGGGCUUUCUUUACCUGUGGACUUGGUGACAUUUCAAUAUAGGGAAUGGCACUGGAGCAGGCGGUGGAGAAUCUCAGCCUGGCAUCUUUUUGAAAGAAACAAGGAAAAUGAAGCCGUGUGUAGCUGGCUCGGCCAGGAACUCAACAGUGAUUUGCCUCCAAUAAUCUGAUCAAAAUUCUCCAUGUGGGCAAUCCUCAGUUGCGCACAUCAGGACCAAUACUCAAAAUUGUCUCACAGGUCCUUUGGGAGGCCCUUGUGGCUCUCUAGGUUCUUCUGCUGCCAAACCCUUUUGGGGGUCACCCACUCCGGGGAGUUGGGACUAGGCAGGUGCACUGCUGAUCCUCUCUAGCACCGGGCCACUGAGGCUGUAGGGAGAAAUGCCGCUGCCACCGACCAUCCCUACGCUCUCUUUAGGAUAGGGGACUUGCUCACUUCUCACCGCGUGGGGUGUGUGACAGGCAGGGGAAGACGCAGACGGCGGGGGCGGGCGCCGGCAGGCAGGGUGGGUUGGCGGCGCGGCCCUGUCUGCCGGCGGUGACAGCCAGCCGGGUACCUGCCUGCCGGCCUCCGCCCGCGCCGCGCCCGCCGCGCGCUGACAGGGGGCCUGGUAACGGCGGAGGCGCGAGGGAAACCACCGCCGAGGUUUGUGGAGCUCCGGGGCCCGAGCACCCAGUGCCACGCACUCACACCCUUCAGCAGAGGGAGAUCUGCGCAGAACCGGCGGCCUGUCACCGGCCGCCACAAGCAGGCCCUGGCUGUGAGCUUCUGUUUGGAUUUUUUUUCCCCUCCAGAAAAUAAAGGUGGAAGAAAGCAGCCCAUAAUUGGCAUUUGGAAGGUUAUUGCUUGUCCUGUCAGAGGAGGAGUAAGCUGGGGCCAGAGGAGAAGCAUUUGCAUAAGCAUCUUCCACUGAGCAGAGAGAAUCCUUAGGCCUCUCCUAGGGCCCCCCCUGGUGAGGGAGGCUGCCCCCCAGGAUGAAGUGUGGGGUGCCCCUGGAGUCCUGGCCCAGCUGGAACUCAGGCUUCUGUGGAUGCUGUCCUGUCCCCCAGCUGGUGCAGACUCUAGAUGAAGCUGGGGAGUGCACUGAAGUCUGGGGGGCACUUCCCAUCCACUCCAGUACAAACCCUGCACACUCACACGCAUGAGUUCCAGACCAGACCCUAUGGCUGGACCCAGGGGUGCUCAUCUGGCUCAGCAGCUUUUUUAUAAGCCCUGGGGCCACGGUAGGGACUUGCUGAGAGGCACACUCCAGAGGCAGUAAACCUCUUACUUGAGGUUUAGAGUGAUGUUGGGGAUUCUGAGGGUACCUUUUCACUUUUCUCUUUUCCAGCUAAUUCCAUUUCGGCCCACAGAUGUGACUAAAAUCACAUUUUUAGAGAUUUACUCAUUUUGAUUCAAGCUUAGCUCACAAUUAUACAGCAAAGUCUCCUGGGAAGGUUUAUAUGUUAAGCUCUGUCAGUAAUUUCUCCCAUAGUAAGAAUAAAGGAGAUAAAGAUAUUGGAUACCUGGGGGCUGAGGCGUUUGAAUGUGUGUUGGGGGCAGUUUGAAGAAAGGAGAGUCUGGCAGGAGGGAAACAUCUGGUCUGGGGGUCCAUCAACCAGGGGAGCUGCAGCAGACGUCCACAGCCCCUCCAACUAACUUUGUCGACAUUAAAAUUUAACCCCACUGAGGCUUGGACUUUUGGGCUUCCCCUUCACACCUGUGGGCAGGUGAGGAGUCCACUGCAGGCUGUCUCACCACCCAGGAGGCCCAGCGGCUGCUGCAGCUGCCAUUCUCCUGGAGCCUGACAGAAUGGGACCCGUGGGGAAAGCUGCCACGUCAGCACCCAGCCCGGAUUUGCACUCCAGCAGCUAAUUAAAGCCAGGAAGGUAAUUUAUUGCUGAGGGAGAAUGUGCGGGAGGUUUGGCUUAGUUGAGAUGGCCCCCAAAGAGUUAUGGAAAGCUAAAGUGGGUUUUCAGAAGCAAAAGUUAAUUGCUCUUCACUUAGCAUUUCAGUGUCAUGUGGCUCUGAGUUACACACAUGCUGAGUGGAGGCCUUUACCCAGACUGGGGACACGGGGGUGGGGGUGGGGGUGGGUGAGGAAGGGUGCAGAACUCAGGACCUCCAGGUGGCUGAAGGGCCCCCACCCCCACCCCAGGAAUGAGAAGUGCCAUUCCUUUUCUUACCGGGAGGAGGGUCAAGGCUUUGCCUGCUCCCUGGGAGCAGCCCCAGCUGGGGUGGGACUAGGAGGCAUUUGUGUAUGGAAGAGUUUUCCUGUGGGGGAAAGAGCUCUGGUCUGAGAAUCUGGAGACUGGGAGUGGAGAUGGGGGACAGGUGGCUCCUAGUUCUGCCCUGACAGCUCAGUGGCUUGUACAAGCUUCUGCUCCUCUCCAGGACUCCUCUCUUUUUAAUGAUCACUAAAGUAUUUCUUCAUUUGUGCAUUCUUUGAUGCUAUGAUUUGCCUCCCAGUUCUCCUCACAGUUGCCAUUCAUAUUAACCCAUUUGGUAGAGGGGAAGAUUGAGGUAUAAGAUAGACUAAUAGAGUGUAUGGAGGACAUGGCACUGACUUGACUUUUAGCUACCUGGAGAGAGAAGCUUCUAGACACUUUGUGGGCAAUGGCAUUUGGGGAGAGGGUUAAAAAGCAUAGUACUGUAUUCUGGAGAUAUAUCUAGGUCACAUCUUGGGUAGGGGUUAUGUUCUAAAGUCACUGAGCUGGUGAAACUAGUGAAGUCAAAAUUAUUUUGGAGAAGACUUCUAUUGCAGGGAUUGCUCCUGAAAUGUGAAGUGAGGAUCUCUGCCCCCGUACCCGCCCUCCAUUCCUACUCUGUGGUUCUUCACUUGGGAGUAAGUAGAGGGGGAAGUCCAGCUAGAAUGGUGUGGGAAAUGGAGACGGCAAAAGUGAUGAAGUGAACAGGUAUUCAUGUAUAAGAGAUAUGCAUAUGACUCUGCUCAUUCUGCUGUCCAACAUGAGGAUCAACAAGGGCAGGCAGAAAGCUCUUAAGAUAAAGUGUCUGCAGAUAAUAUGAACUCUGGAAAAAUUUUUGAAUCAAGGAAUAAAUAAAAGUCCUUUGAAAAACUUCACUUAUGCUUGCUCUUCUGAUUGUGGACCACAGAAUUGUCUAGAUACAUACUUUGUGGACAAGGUUAAGUCCAGUGGUAUGUGUGGUUCAAGACUAUAUUGAAAGUAACUUAAGCUUCUUGGAGACAAGAUGUGACCUAUAAUCAAAAUGCUUCAGCAUGCCGGGUGUGGUGUUGCAUGCCUGAAAUCCUAGUGACUUGGGAAGGCAGUAGGAUGGCAAGUUUGAGGCCAGCCUUAGCAACCUAGCGAGACCCUGUUUUAGAAAAAAGAAAGAAAGGAAGAAAAGAAAGGAUUGGGGAUAUAACUCAGUGGUAAAGUGUCCCUGGGUUCAAUCCCCAGCACCCCACACUGAGAAUAUUUGAUUUCAGGAGCAAAUCAUAGCAGUGUUAAUCUGAGAGCAUUGAAAAUGAGAUUGAAUUCCCCUUGCAGUAAUUAUGGUGAAUCCAAACAUUAGAAAGGUUUCUUUUUAAACUGUUCCCUUCCUAUUAUUAAAAAGUCUUUCUGAAUUAAGGAUAUUGGGUCAAAAACCUGUCCCUGCCUUUCUUUCUUUCUUUCUUUCUUUGUACCAGGAUUGAACCCAAGGACAUAUAAUCACUGAGCCACACCCCCAGCCUUUUUUUGUAAUUUAUUUAGAGACAGGGUCUCACUAAUUUACUGAGAUCCUCGAUAAAUUGCCAAGGCUGGCUUUGAAAUGGAGAUACUCCUGCCUCAGCUUCCAGAUCUGCUGGAAUUAUAGGCGUAUGCCACCAACGUGGCAGUCCCUGCUUUUUCUUGAGAAUUAUCUGGACAUGUCGGAAUACAGUCAGAAUCCCAGUGAAGGUCUGAGUGGACUGAACACCAGCCAAAGGUGGUACUUAGGUCAUGUUCUAAUCUGUACAUCCAAACUUCUUGGGAAGUCCUUUUUUUAGACACAGGGUAAAAUGGCACACUUAUAUAGGCUUGAGUAAAUGUAGAUGAAGUGUCCUUGGAUUUGGGUUCAUGUGUUUUUAGACUAGAGACUGCAUUUAGCAAAGUACCAAGUGCUGAGGAAACAAGAGUCACCUCCUGCUGUCGUUUUGAAGCGUUAGGGAACAUGGGUAGUAUUUCCUGCCCAUUCUUUUUGAUGGUCAGGUCAAAAUGCUUGGUUUCUGGUUGAAACUUGAAGCUGUUGUAGCCAGUGAUUCCCUGUCCUUUCCAUUCCUUGACAGCCUUGCAUGCACUGGACUUAUCAUCAAGUGGACAAGGGACGUCAACAAGGCAACAGGAUGGGGGCAGAAGUGCCUCCAUGUAGAUACCUUUGAGAAGAGUUUGGUUUCUGUGAUGAUGAAUGAGACAGAGAAUGGCCUCAUUUUCUUCUGGAAGCAAAUCCUAAUGUCUUGUUUGGAUGGGCUGAGAGUGGAAGCGAGAAGCAUUAUUUAGAUGACGAGAACAGGAAGAAGAAGGGAAGGGAAUGGAGCUACCGAUCAUUGUGCGCUUUUAGGUAGAGAAAAUCUGGCAGAGGGCAAGGGAAACACUAUAAAUUAGCAAGGCUAAGAGCCUUUUGGAAGCCAGGGCUUUUAUUAUUCUCUUGCAAUAUGCAGAUUCCGGUUCAAUCAUCCUAAAUGAAGUGUACCUUGUUCGUCCUUGAAGCCUUCUGGGGAUAAAGCUCUAGGAGCAUAUCUCCUUAGAAUAUGUUGAGACUUUGAAGAUUUUAAAACUUAUUCCUACAGAUAACAAAAUUGAAUCUUUUUGCUAGAGAAUGGACAGCCAGGAGGGAACCUGAUUCAGAGUAGUGCUUCGUAAACCUCCCUAUCAAGUAAGGGCAGAGAUGGGUAGGCACAGAGCCCCAGAGAUGCCAUGGCCGGAAACAUCUCAGCGUUAAGUGUCAAGUGUCUAACGUUAAGUAUUUCAUGUUCAAAAUGUAUCCAUGCUUUAUAUGUUCUAUCAUAGUUCAUCCAUGUUUUACUAUAAAAACCAUGUUUUAAAUUACCAUCAGGAAAAGCACAUAGGUAUACACAUGUUUUUCAUUGUUCUCUCAAAGGGAGAAAUACAUUUUUACCGAGUCCAUUUUGGAACCUUGAACUUAGAAGGGCAGGAAGUGACCUCUGUGCUUUGCCUAUGGUUUGAGUGUGUUCCCCAAUGAUUCAUGGUUGUGUCUGUCAGCUUUCUGUCCCUGUGACAAAAUACCCCCCUCCCCCCAAAAAAAAUCAACUUAAAGGAGGAAAGUUUUCUUUUGGUUCUUGGUUUCAGAGGUGUCAGUCCAUUGUUGCUUGGCUUCCUACUUUGGGUCUGUGGUGGCAUGGUACAUCAUGGUGAGAGGGCAUGGUGAAGGAGGUGUUUUCACCUUAUAGUGAUUGGGGAGCAAAGAGAGGAAGAGGAGGGGUUGUGAUCCCAAUAUUCCCAUUCAAGGGUGUGCCCCUAAUAAUCUAACUUCCUCCCAGUAGACCACACUUCUCAAAGGUUCUACCAUCUCCCCAGAGUGACACAGGUAAUGACCAAGCUUUUAGCACAUGGGACUUUGGGGGACAUUUUAGAUCCAAAUCGUAGCACCAUGCUAGAAACAUGGUCCUCAACAUGACAACAUUGAGAAGUGGAGAAGUGGUGGGUGUGUAAGAAGUGGGGCCUGGUGGAAGGUGAUGUGGUCAUGGAGGUGCCACCCUCUAAAGGGUUCUCUUAGGACAUGAUUAGUUUUUACAAGAUUGUGUUCCUGUAAAGGAACAAGCCUGGCCCCUCUUUGAUCUCUUGUUUCUUUGCCUGUAUACUAGUCCCUCUGCUCUUGAAUGAUUCCCUUUUUACUUUUCCAUCAUAUUGUGCUGCAGCCAGGGGGCCCUCACCAGACACCGGGGCCAUGUUGUUUAGACUUUCCAGUCACCAAAAUCUUGAGCCAAAUAAAUCCCUUUUCUUCAUAAGGUACUCAGCUCUGUUAUAGCAACAUAAAAUGGACCAAACAGUGGUCCAUGACUGUCAGUGUAACGUCUUUUUACUAAGAACUCAAAAAAUGGUGACAAAUUUUCCACUACUUUUUUGAGCUGAAUCAUGGUGAUAAAAAGAUAUGUUCUGAAAACUUUUUUUUUUUCCCUUCCUUGCUAUGAAUACCAGGAGAUGGCACAUGUACCAGAGCCUGGGGAUGGGGAUCUGCAGAUUUGCUGUCAUAACUUGGCCUUGGCUGUGCACAGGAACUGUGAAUUGUGUUCAUCCUGGGAGCAACCAGGGUUUCUUCUGUUUACAUCUGUGUGAUUCCCAGAGCAUGGGCAUUCCAAUAUGAAUAGCCCAGCAUUAUUCCAAGUGGCCUCUUGUCCAGCCUAUUUUAGUGGCAAAUUCCAUCCUUUAAGGAAAAUGAUGGUGAUAAGUUUGUUCUGCAGCCAAUAUUAGUCCUCCACUGUCCAGGGAGUUCACUUCUUGCUAGUAUUUUUUGGAGAUGUUUCUAAAAACUCAGAGUCAAGGUGAAAUCAGCAAGUUUGAAAAUGCUGUUGGUGGUUAUCUUUUUCUCCUCUGGUAAAGCUCAUGGUUUGGGGCUCCCCAGAUUGCAAGGUUGAGUAUAAUUCAACUAGUCAGUCCCCACUACCAUUCCAUCGCCAAAAAUGAAGUAUAAGAUGGUGGUGAUCCAAUUGCUCCUUGGGCCUGGGGGUGGGAUUCUGCCCUCACUUGGCCAAUUUCCUUAUUCUGCUUAGAGUUAUGUUUCCCUUUACUAUAUCUCUUCUUACCUCCCUAGGUUUUUCCCUAGCCUGAGGUUGGGAUCUCCCUGUCUCCACAUCCCUAAGCAGGGUGAUGUGAGCAGCCAGGGUUCAGACCCAUUCUGCAUGGGGGCAUUUUGCUGCAGAGGGUCCUCAAUGCCCACUCUGUUGGGUUUUCAUACUUGUGUAGAUUUAUCUUUGGAAUGCAACCUUGCCCUGCUCUGAAAAAGGCCGCACCGGCCAUCACUGUUCCAUUACUAAUGACUCAACUCAAGCUAUACAGCAGCUGCUGAGGGGAUGAGGGACCAGAGGAGAAGAAAGAAGAAAAUCAAAGACACAUGCUUUGCUUGAGUCAGCCCCCUCAAUAAAUGGAACUACCUGAUAAGAGAUCUAGAAACAUGGGUUAGUCGCAUCUUCAAAAUCCAAGGCCUCAGCACCCAGCAGGGGCAGCUGCUGCUUCUUUUAAAAUGGAGAACUUGUUGCACUGAGUGGCAAAGAGCCUACAAAUAACUGAGCUGCACUUUGGAAAUGGAUCUGAUGAGCCUUUUAAUAAAAGAAAAUCAUCAUUAUUUCCCAAGAGUUCACAUUCCCAUAACAUUUUUAUUAGCAGCCUCUCUUCUAAAUAAAGUUCAGUGGAUUGAUUUUGGUGGGGUUUUCUCAUUUUAAAUAUUCUCUUAAAUGAUGAGCAUGGAUAAAGUCUCGUUUUCACCAUUGUUAUUAUUGUUAUCAGCAUCAGCGACUCCAUUGUUAUAUUUAUGUAGCACUUAGAAAGCUCUCAAAACACUUCAGGUGUAUUACCUCAUUUGUCCUCAUAGCAUUCUGGUAAGUGGGAGAGGGGGCUCACAUUACAACUGAACAUCGUGUACAGACUUCUGUGUUCUCUGCCUCAGUGUGAAACUCCCUUUGGGAUGGCCAGGAGGAAGCCCUUUGUCCCCUUCUGCUUUACCUCUUUCUUUACCUAGGGCACAGGAGAUUGCACCAGUACAAUUCACUGCCACCCAAAGGAUUCCAUAUGGGGCAGAACAGAGGGCACCUGCCAUUGAGUGGGGCUGUGGAACAGGGGCAGGACCCUGAGAAAUGGCCUUGACCAUCUAGGCCUUAAGAAGCCAAAAUCAGAGAGAGAGAGAGAGAGAGAGAGAGAGAGAGAGAGAGAGGGAGGGAGAUAGAUAUGACAGACAGUGGAAAGACAUUGAACUAGGAUUCUGGAGAUCGAAGGUUCAGAUCCUCUUUCUGACACUUAUAAACUUUUCUUCUUGAGCUAGUCCCAUAAUAUUUCUGAUAUUUCAUUUCCUCCUUAAUUAAAAAGGUAUCUUUAGUUUUUUUUUUUGUUUUGGCGUGUGAUAAUUAUACACAAUAGUGGGGUUUGUUGUUCCACAUGCAUACAUGCACACAAUCUGACAAUAUGAUUUGGUCAAUUUCAUUCCCUAGUACCUUCCCUUUUUCUUCCUGCCUCCUAAACCCCUAGACUCCUUCCUCUACUCUACUGGUCUCCCUUCUAUUUUCAUGAGACCCUCAUCUCCAUCUUUAAAAGGGAGAUUAGUGGCUCCUUUUUGGGCUUUUGUGAAGAUUAAAUAUGGUAACCUAAAAUAGAAGUGCCUAGUGCAAUGCAUGGGGCAUAAGCCUGCAACUAGUGUUGGUUCCAUUUCUUUGCUUAAUUUUUCUCUCCUGGAGAAACCUGUCUGUCUGGUAUGACUUUGAGAACUAAGAGGGAAAACAGAACAGCAUUUGGAUGGGUUCAUCAUUGUAAUCAGCGUCUUGUCAGAAUUCGUGUAUUUUCUCACCCAUACUGAGUAAAAGCUAAUGGUUAAUAACUAGUGUAUUUUGAGGCCUGGGUUAGAAAUAAUGCUGGCCUGAAAGCAGGCAUCCUGGGCUGUAGCUCCUUCUCUGCCACUAUCCAGAUGGAGGCCCUAGAGCAAAUAAAUCACUUGGCAUGUCUAGGCCUCAGUUUUUUGAUCUAUAAAAUGAAGAGCUUGGAAUAAAUGAUCCUGUCAAUAUAUAUGAGCUUCAUAAUUCUGUAAUUUUACAAGGAGAGAUUUUUUGAGAAAAAGUCAAAUUAUGUGUGUGAACUUUGUUCUAUCCAUCUCCUGAGCUAUCUGUGCCACGGAUAGCUCUGCUGCUGGGACUGACAUUGUUUUCAAGGAACUACAGCUGAUUUGGGGACAGUACUUGGGUUGUGGGCACAGUGCCAGGAAGAAAUGAACAACCUCCGGAAGGCUGGCAGGCAAACCCAGCCUUACCAGGAACUGUACAGGGCACAGAUUGGGCCCUGAUCCAUUGGUGAACCCCAACCCCCUUCUCUCCUCCCCCUGCCUGCUCACCUGUUAGCCGGGGGAGGAGAGAAGGGCUCCUGGGCCUGGACUGAUGGCUGAGCAGCGUGAUGGCAGCAAAUGAAACUGUGCACAAAAAGCCCAGCUGCUCUGAGGGUUGCUGAGAGACUGGAGACUAGGCUGUCUGACUGCUCUGCUGACCACAUUUCCAGGCCAGUGACACAUUAGAAAAGUGUGUCAUUCAUUCCUUUUCUGAUAGUUGCUAGGUCUGCUUUGCAAUAAAUACUUCACAUUCCACAGAGCGAUAAGUUCUUCUAAGACAAACCACUUCAAAGUUGCCCUCUUCAAAGCUGGCACUCAUGCAUUAUCCCUAGAAGUAGGGGGAGAGUCUGGGCACAUAGAUGUUUAGGACAUUUUCUCAUACAGGUUUCCCUGCACUCUGAUACAUCAGGGAGAACACAAAGCACAAAGAAGACUUUCCUUGGCACAACUCACCCCUGUAUUAGUUAGCUUUCUGUUACUAUAACAAAAUACCUUAGAUAAUCAACUUAAAAAGAAGGAAGGUUUAUUGUGGUUCAUAAUUUUGGAGAUUUCAGUCUAUGAUUGUUUGGUCCAUUGUUUUUGAGUCUGUGGCAUCAUGAUGGGGAGUGUGUGGUGGAACAAACCUUUCGCCUCAUGACUGGGACACAAAAGAGAGGAAGAAGAUGGGAGAAGUCUCCUUUAGGGGCACAUCCCCGUAUAAUUGAAAGACCUCCAACUACAUUCCAUCUUAUAAAUGUUCCAUAACCUUCAAAAAGUGCCACGGACUGGGGCUUAAGCCUUUAACACACAGGUCUUUGGGGGACACUUACCCAAACCCCAUACUUAGUUUUAUAAAAUAAAGGAAAAAGCAAAGCAAAUGAAAACAAACAAACAAUCAAACAAAAAGUCCAAAUGCCUUUUAGUUUCAUUCAUUUGAGUGCUUACAAGUGUCACUCACCCUGCUGGGUGCUGUGAGGGUAUAACAAUGAGUGUGACUCUGUCUCUACUCUCCAGGGCACACCAUCUAAGAUGAUAGGUAGACAGACAGAAGGUUAGCUAGGAUGACAAGUCAGGUGGGUGAGAGUGCUUGUAUAAGUCCCUAGAUAUUAUGGGGGAAUAACUGGUAUCGAGAGGUUUUGUGAAAUCUUUUAUUUGGAGGUAGCUAGGUCUUGAUUUGGACCUUACAUGAUUGGGAGGGUUGCAAUAAAAACACAUGAGAGGGUAGAGAAAGGUCCAGAAGGAAGAGUUCAAGGCAAGGCAGUGAGAUGAGAAAGACUCCUUUAUCGACAUUGCCGUCGGUCCUUGUUUACAUGAGUCCAUCACCUCUUAAGAGUUUUCUGGUCUUAGUUCAUAGUUUAUCUGGAAUAGGAGCACACAGAUUCUGGAAUGCAUCUUUAGUUAAGAAAAUGACAAGAAUGUAAAAGGAGGUCUCAGCUGAAGUAUGAAUAGAACGUCAAAUGUAAAUACCCUUUUAAAAUCAAUUAUGAUACUUGGUCUCCUAGGAGGUAAUAUUCUUUGAAGUGAAGCGGGAAGGAAGGGACAUUUCUGACCUUGUCCUUGACUGUGCCCAUGCCAGACAUCACUAACUGAACCUGGCACGCCUUCCCCCCGCGACUGGGGCUUUCCUCAGAGUGUGCUUUGGUGUUCUAGGCAGGUCCUGCCAAUCAGUCAGUUGUAUUACACCAGAUAAAUUCUAUUUGCUAUUUUCUGUUUAAAGUCUUAAAACUUUACUACUCUCUUAAAUACUGCAUAGCAUUUUUAUGAAACUCAAAGACUGAAAAACAGGGAGAAAUUUUAUAACAUCUAGUGCUGUAAGAAUCUCGAAAUAUAACUGGAAGUUGCUCAUGGAGCUCUGGGACUAGCAUGAAGAUAUUUUCUCUUUUUACCCAAUCUUCCUGUGAUUUAAUGGUGUAAAUAUUAGAUUCAAAGAGAGAGAGAGAAAAUAUGCCAUAAGUAAAUAUAUAUAAUAAAAUAUACAUAGAAAAAUUACCAUUGGCUUAUAAGGUUCAAUGGUUUUUAAGUGGGAUAUACAUGUGAAUCUCUGGCUUGUUUAUAAUGUAGGUUCCAGGGUCUCAUUUUAAACUAAAUCAGAAUUUCUGUUCUUAGAACCUGGAAAUCAGCAUGUUGACUGAAGUCUGUGUGUGAUUCUCUUGCAGUCUGAGACUGGACCACCAUGUUUAGGAGCCAGGGACAGAAAUUAAAAUAAUUUUUUUUUUGUUUCCUCUUGUCUAGUCUUUGGAUGGUUGGCUAAAAAUGCCAUUCAUUUCUCAUGGUAGAACUAUCUUCCAUUGCAUGCUAAUUCCAAGCAAUAGAAAAUAGAAAGCAUCAGUCCUUGGAAAUUGGAAAUAAAGUCACCAUUUCCAAAGGGAUCGGUCAUUUGGAUGAGCAUGAAUCAUGCUCUAAGGAGGAUGAAUUAAUUAAUUCAAGAUGAAUUAAUUAACAUGCCUUCAUAUUACCUUUUGGGUUUGGUUUUAGGAGGAAUUGAGAGGGGAGAGAGUAGUUUAUGUUGACCGAGAACACAAAUUGUCUUGAAAUUUCUGAUUAGCUUAGUCUCUUUUGUGCUGCUGUAAUAGGAUGCCUGAGAUUGGGUUAUUUAUAAAGAACAGAAAUUUAUUUCUUUUAGUUCUGAGGCUGGGAAGUCCAAGAUUGGGCACUGCACCUGGGAUCUGGUGAGGGCCUUCUGAGCUGCACCCUCACAUGGUGGAUGGGGGAAAGACAAUAGGGACAAAUACACAGCAGAAGGUCCUCAGAUAAUAAGCCCACUCUGGCAAACCCCUUUUAUAGGGGCGUUAAUUUAUCAUGAGGGCUCUGUCAUUAGACCUCAUUUCCCAACACUAUUAAUAAGUUUCAAUAUGAGUUUCAGAAGGGACAAAAUCCUUCAGAAGGGACAAAAAAACUGAUUAUAUGAACAAUAUUUGAGUCUCCUUGAAAUUUAUAGUGAUAGUAAUAAAUACCAUGGAUAUUACAUCUUUUUUUUAUACUAGACACUUCACUAUGACUAUCUUCACAUUGUCUAACUCAGUCCUUAAAAUAAUCCUAUGAAAAGUUAUUAUUUUCAGAAGAGGAAAUGUGUGUUCAAAAGUUAAGUGACUUGCCUUGAAUGACACAAGAUAUGGAUGUGAGUCUUGAACCUAAGGUUGCCUGACUCCAAAACAUUUAUUCUUAUUGAUUACAUUCCAGGUUUUUUUUUUUCCCCCAAGAAAUCUUCUGUUUUGCGAGAUUGCUGGAACCCCAACUAAAAGCCAUCAUUAGUGUUGCAAACCUAAGUCAACACUGAGAAGCACUCUUCCUAAAACACAGUAAUGGUGGUCUGUGAAUUCACCUUGAUGGAAAUUCAUCAAGUGGAGCAUUAGGCCUAUUAUCUGUUUAUUUUUGUAUGGAUAAGUUUGCUAAAGUGUAUGAGGAUUGACCUUAUGCCCCAAAUUUAUAUUUCUUAAAAAUUAAAGGGCUCUGGGGCUGGGGAUGGGGCUCAAGUGGUAGAGCGCUCACCUGGCAUGCGCGGGGCGCUGGGUUCGAUCCUAGCACCACAUAAAAAUAAAGAUGUUGUGUCUACCAAAAACUAAAAAACAAAUAUUAAAAAAUUUCUCUCUCUCUCUCUUAAAAAAAAUUAAAGGGCUUUUUUUUUUUUACUACUAUUAUUUUAAAAAGCCAACCAAAAAUGAGGUCCUUAUUCUUGUGACUUUCCAUGGAACAACCUCGAUGUUCCCCUUGUAGAGUGUGCUCUGGGAAGGACAUGUGGAGCAGGACCCACCUGCUGCCCACUGGACUGAUUGCUCACCCCAUGUAUGAAAGAGCACUCAUCCGUGGCGUUCUGUUUUGGAUGUUAAGUGUUUCCCCAAGGCUCCUGUGUUGGAGGCUUGUUCCCCAAUCUAUGACACUAUUUGGAGGUGUUGGAACCUUUAAGAAGUGAGGCAUUAGUGUGAGGUAUUCAGGUCACUUAGAAUGUACCCUCCAACAUGCUAGUGGGACCCCAACCCCUUCUUCUUGCUCCCUUUUGCUUCCCAUCUGUGAGAUGAGUGGUUUUGCUCUACCAUAUGCUCCUGCCGUGAUGCCAUCACAUGCCACCAUGAUGCCCAGGGCAACCCCAGUUAUAGACUGAAACCUCUGAAACUGUGAAGCAAAAUAGAUUUUUCCUCUUUCUAAAUGGAUUGUCUCAACUAUUUUUCACAGUGACAGAAAGCUGACGAACACAAGUGGUCAGGAGUUUUGUUUUCUAGGGAGCUCUGUCCCUAAAUAACUGUUACUUGGGCAAGUCAAUUUACCACUUCUGGUCCUCAGUUUCCAUACAUAUUCACUGAAGCAGAGGCUGCAGAAUUCUCUAUCUAACAUGUCCUGAUAUUGGAAAACAAAUGUCACCCAGGGAGCUAGCAAAGAGAGUGUUGUACCCUUGUUGCCAGCACCAUUACUACUGUCCUCACCAGUCCAGGAUGGUCAAAGGGUGGGCUACCCUGGACACUUGUCUUCUGAAGCAUCUGCUGUCCCACUGGCUUCCAACCUGCCUUCCUUCUGGUCCUGAAGUUGUUAGACUCUUUUCUCUUGAGGAGAUAGUCAUAGUUGGUUUCUAGCCUCAUCUUCUUCUGUAUUUCUUGUUGGGGUGGAUGAAAAUCCCGGAUCUUCAAAAAUUCAACGUACAGAUUAUUGCUUUUAGUAAUGCCAAUCACCCAUUCACAUCCUACCUCUUCUAUGGGCUAGACCUGCCUGGGCCACUUGGGUGACAGCAUGGCUAUAAUAUUCAUAGGGAUCUGAAGCUGAAGGGACUUUAUGUGCAUCUAGUCCAACUCCUUUAUUUAGCUGUUGAGAUGGGAGGCCCAAGUGGGAAAGUGACUCAUCUCAAGGACACCCAGCCAGUGAAUGAAGGAGUUGACACAAUGUUUUCAAAUUCAUAUUGUGAGCCUAAGGAUAGAACCUACCCUCCUAGAAUUAUUGCGGAGGUAUUUAAAUGAGCUAACGUGUGCAAAGUACUUUGUUCCUGAGAUAGAGAACAAGUUGCUCCCUCCCCAGAAUGCACCGCUCAUGUUUCCACAGAAGUCUCCUUAGUUGGAAAGACUGACUUUGUUAUUCCUUUACUCCCCGGAGCACCAUCACAUCCAGGAGUAAACCGAGCAGUUUACUCAUUGUGCUAGUGAUGAAGUCUGACUUGGCCCAUGCUGUGUACUCAAAGAAUGUUUGGGGUGGCUGCCCACUAGAACCCAACCCUCCUGACUCUUAAUCCAGAGCUCUUUCCAUUAUACCAUGCUGAUUGACACAUGGGUGGGGAUGAUCUCCUUUGCAAUACUAUGAAUACCAGCAUGAUGACAGAUGCCUGAGAACACAUGGGGCCACCAUCCCAGUAUAUCUUAAGUCUGUCAAUGCAAUUUUAUUAUCAAGCAUUUAUCAAGACUCCUACAUGCCAGGAGCUUUGCUUACUGCUGAGAUGAAUAUAAAAAUGAAUAGGAUACAGACCCUGCCCUCAAGGAGCACUUAAUUUGAUAAUUCAGACAGACUUAGACAUAAAUAAUUCAAGCAUAAGGCACAUAAUAAUCUAUGACUACUCAAUUUUCUUUCUUUUAUCCCCCCACAUUUUUAUUGGUGUAUUAUAGUCAUGUGUAAUGGUGGGAUUAAUUAUUACAUAUUUGUACAUGCACACAAAAUAACAAUAUAAUUUGGCCAAUAUCAUUCCCCAGUAUUUCCCCUUUCCUUCCCCCUUUCCCUCCCCAUGGUCCCAGUCAUUUAUUCUACUGAUCUUCUUUCGAUUUUUCAUGAAACCCCCCUCCCCCAUUUAUUUUUCUUUUUCCUCUCUAGUUUUCAAAUAUGAGAGAAAAAAUGACCCUUGACCAUCUGAGAUCGGCUUAUUUCACUUUAAUAUAAUGGUUUCAAGUUCCAUCCAUUUUUCUGCAAAUGGUGUAAUUUCAUUCUUCUUUGGGCUGAAUAAGGGUUCAUUGUGUAUAUACACUGCAUUUACUUUAUCCAUCCAUUGAUGGCACCUAGGCUGGUCUACUGACUAAUAUAUAUAUAUGAAAAGGAAGAACAGGAAUUGAGACCUCAUCUGUCAGACAUGGUGGGAGAGGGUGCCAAAGGUACACCUGGUUAGAGGGACUCCACCACAAGUCACAUGCUGGGUGUCAGGAGGGACAGGGGUCCCAGACCCUCAGGCACUCCAGCUUUACGAGCUCCUUGCCCCUGAAUGCUGGUGACAUAGCUGGGCCCCUGUCUUGCUCCAAGCUUCCAUUUCCUUAGCGGCUGUGAAAUGGGACAACAUCUCCUUUCUUCCUCUGAGCUUGAUGGGGACCAGAGUGUCAUUUGGUCUAGACCUUUGCUUCCCGGCAGGAUGGGCCUCACCUGAGCAGACAUGCAAGAGUCUGCACGCCAUACAGAGAACAAGGAAUUGACCUCCUUUUCCUCUCUUCUUUCUGUUUUGGUGGUGGAGAGUGGGGGUGGGGGUCGAGGAUAGUGUGGGGGAGAAACAGGGCGGUGAGGGGACUUGUAGGUCAGAGCUUGACAAGGGGACUUAGGUGACCCAGGGAAAAUAUGGCCUUGCUCUCCACUGGCAGAGUCCCAGGGAAGUUCUCACUGUUCCCCACCUGUCCUGUGCUCCCCCCUCUCCCCCAGUGCUGCUGUCCCUGCAUGCACGGAACAGGGAGGCGAUGAUGAAUAUCCCCCGAACGGCAUUACAGACAGUCAUAAAUAAUGCUUUGCUCUUUGGUGACGGCACUUUCCAUUAGAGCUGCCUGUGCUGGGCUGUUGCUACCCCCAGUCUUUGCCGGGGACUUGCAGUAAAAUUUAUCAGCGAGCUUUCUGCACCUAAUAAAUCAUCCCCUCCGGGAGCCAUCUGGCAGAUAAGGCCACGAGAACCCACAUGCUCUGCAGAGGCAGAGUCAGAGUGAGAGGCAGCCCUAGCUGGGCAGCCCCAGGCCCUGUGGAGGGGGACUUUCUCUCCACCAGCCAGAGCCUGUCAGUCUUGUCCUGGCUUCUCUCACCAGACUCUGAAGGGGGGACCCUGGCUAUGGCGUCUGUUCUGCUUUAAGGAACUAUAGGGUUUCCCACUCUGGGAACAGGCCCACAAAUCAUGUCCUUCCUGUGUUUUCUACCCUUAGGUGUACAAAAGGUUCUGGGAUUUGAUACGAGGCAACAGAAGAGGGACUCCCAGGCCAAGAACAUGCGGUGCUGGCUGUCACUGCUAUUUAAGUGAGUCCUUCUUAGUGGGUUUUAGAACUUUGGGAUUGGUCAGCAUUGAAAUACAUAACCUGGUAGCAAUGAGAACCCCUUAAUUUGGAGCAGAACUUCACAUCUGUUUUAGGUGGAGGGUACUAGGGAACUCAGGGGCACUAGACCACUGAGCCACAUCCCCAGCCCUAUUUUGUAUUUUAUUUAGAGACAGUCCAACUGAAUUGCUUAGUGCCUUGCUUUUGCUGAGGCUGGCUUUGAAUUCAUGAUCCUUCUACCUCAGCCUCUUGAGCUGCUGGGAUUGAUUAUAGGUGUGAGCCACUGCACCUGGCAGAACUUCACAUCUUUUGAGGCACAACUAACAUGAUAUUAUAGUUUUCCUUCAAAUAUGUAUUAAUUCCUAUGAAUAUACAUUAAGGGAGGUUCUAAAGGGUGCUGGACCCAGAGUGUAGGGACACAUACAUUAAUUCUUUCUUUUUUGGCAGAUGGUGGUAUUUAUUUAUUUUCUAUUUUUUUUUUGUUGGUGGUGCAUUCCAGUUGCACAUAAUGGUGGGAUUUGUUGUUACCUAUUUGCACAUGCACACAAUCUAACAAUAUAAUUUGGCCAAUAUCAUUCCCCAGAACACAGUUCUUUCCUUGAGGCAUCUGCAGUGUGGUUAGAGACUGUUUUAAGCCAAAGUCUCAGAUGCAGUGAUCCUUACAUCUACGCUCAGAGCAAGAUGCAGCAUUUGCUGGAUGUGAACCCUGACGGGGAGGAAUGGAAGAGUGGGUGGGUUUCUGGUCUUGUGGUAUUCCCCAGAGCCUAGCAAAGUGCCUGGUGUGUAGUAAGUGAACUGUGAACUGUGCUGAGCAGCUAAGGCCACCAAUAUACAGUAGAAGAUGAGAAUGAAAUAACAAACAGGGCGAAUACAGGCUCACAGAGUGUGGGUCCUGUUUCAUAGGCUCAACCUGGUGAUCUAGGAUUUAACUGGGUGAUUUAGGAACAAAAUCUUGUUCUGGGUGUGUGUUACUUGUGCUCUUGGCUCAGCUCUGCAGCUGGCUUCCUGAGUUCAAUUGAGGGACAUUCUGAGUCUUAGUUAUCUCAUUUGUAAAAUAUUAGGCAAAGCCUUUUUUUUUUUUUUUUUUGAGUAAUUUUCACUAUUGUUGCUAGUAGAAUGUUUUCUAAUUUUCCCCUUGCUGGUGCGUGAUUUUGAAAGACUGGAAGGGGUAAAUCCAGUCAGAGUUCUCUUUUUAUGCCUUUUGGGGCCACUUGCCAACCAAGAUAACGUUGAAUAAGGUCCAGAUGUGUGGACACCAGGCAGCCAGAGUCUGAGAUCCUGGAGUUUUUUCCUGGGGGCUCAUUCUGCACGAGGACACCUAUCAUACUGCCUCUGAUUGCUGUGGACACAUCCCACGGAAACAUUAAAUGGAGUGUCCCGAAGAUGCUUAGCUUAGCUAUGCAUUUAAUUUGGCGGUAAUUGAAAUUUGCCAACAAAGAUUUGCAUGUAAUCUGUGAUUUCGUUUUUCAAUUAAAAUCACUUCCUUCUUAUGGAUGGAAAGUACUUAGCUGUUUUCCUCCUCCCAGUGGUUUGCAAAAACGAAUCCCCCUCUGCUUAAGAGGCUGCAGUGAGGGGUGGAGGGCAAGGAGAUGAAGGCUGAGGCCAAGAGGAGAGGUCACCCAGGAUGGUGAUGCAGGACAGGCAGGUACUGGGGGGAGGCUGCUGGGAGGCAGGCAAAGUAGCAGUCUGAGGCUCUCUUGUUCACAGUGGUUUUGGGAAAAGAGCUCCAGCUGGGGGUGUGUAUAGCUCAGAGAGCAGCCAAGGGCUGGGAAGAGCCAACCAGCUCUCCAUGGCCAACAUAGGCAAGUGACAAGAAGCUGGAAUCAAGGCAAUUGGCUUAGGUACUGGGAAGCAAGAAAGUGGUUAAUCUGAAGCAAGAAGAGUCUUCUGCUUCACCCUGGGUGAGUAUGUGGCCUUUGAUACAUGGGAGCAGCACCUGGAGAAGAUACCUGAGAGGAAGCUGUGUUCCAAGGAUGACUGAGGAGAGGGGAAGAUAGGAAAUGGAGGCUCUAAAGAACCCAAGAACCUGUGGAGGUGAGCACCUCGCAGGACAUGGAUCUGGACCAGUCAAGCUGGCUACCAGGGCUAGCACUUAAUUUCCUUGAGUUCCAGUUUUUGUCACCAUCUAAUGGCAUAAAAUAACUCCUACCCGAGCAGGGGCUGGGAGAGACCAGCUGCUAUGGUCUGAAUGUUUGUAUCCUCUCAAAGUUCACUUGUUGAUCUGGGCAUGGUGGAGCACACCUGUAAUCCCAGCUGUUUGGGAGGCUGAGACAGGAGGAUUGCGAGUUCAAAGACAGCCUCAGCAAUGGGGAGGCGCUGAGCAACUCAGUGAGACCCUGUCUCUAAAUAAAAUACAAAAUAGGGCUGAGGAUGUGGCUCAGUGGUCAAGUGCCCCAGAGUUCAAUCCCCAGUAAACCCCCUACCCCAAUCCAUAUGUUGAAAUCUAGUCCCAGGGCAAUAGGAUUAGGAGGUUGGGCCUCUGAGAGGUGAAUGGAACUAAUGCCCUGAUAAAACAGGCCUGGGGGAACCCUUUUGCUUUUUAGGCCCUGUGGGGACUUAGUGAGAACACAGAAGGUGCCACCUAUGAUGCAGAGAUUAAGACUAAUUGGACACUGGAUCUGCCAGCGCCUCAAUCUUGGCCUCUUCCAAGUUUCCAGAACUGUAAGCAAAAGUUUCUGAUAUCUAUACAUUUCCUAGUCUCAGGUAUUUGGUAUAGCAGCUGUUAUUGUUUGGAUGUGAGUUGUCCCCCCAAAACUCACGUGUGAGACAAUGCAAGAAGGUUCAGAGGAGAAAUGAUUGGGUUGUGAGAGCCUUAACCCAAUUAGUGAAUUAAUCCCCUGAUAGGGAUUAACUGAGUGGUAACUGAAGUGGUCAGGUGUGACUGGAGGAGGUGGGAAUUAGGGAUUGGCUUUGGGUAUAUAUUUGGUUCUGGCAAAGUGGUGUCUCUCUCUGCUUUCUGAUCACCAUGGGAGCUGCUUCCCUCUGCCACACUCUUCCACCAUGCUGUUCAUUCUCACCUAGAGCCCUGAGGAAUGGAGCCAGCCUUCUGUGAACUAAGCCCUCUGAAACCAUACGCCCUCAAAUAAACUUUUCCUCCCCUAAAAUUGUUGUAGUCAUAUCCUUUAGUCACAGCAGCAAAAAAGCUGACUAACACAGCAGUCCAUUAUGAUUAAUAGCUAAAGCAGAGUGAUACAGGCUGUACAUGCUAAGUCCCCAGUAAAGAGAGAACAUUAUGGACUGGGGCAAUCCAGGAAGAUUUCAAGAAGGAGGUGAGCCUUAAAAGUAGAAAAGACUGAGUUGAACAGAAGAGAGAGGAGCAUUAGCCUUUUGGUCUGUGAGAGUCCUGAGUGGCAGGCUGCAUCUCCAUCCCUUUGUAUGCUGCCUUGACAUAGUAAGAAUUCAGUAAAUUCUGUUAAAAUGGAAGAUUGAUCAAAUGAGAUAAAGAGGAAGUCAAGAGCAUUUUAUAAAUUGUAAUAGCUCAUUUUUCUUCUCUUACAGAAGUAUUUGACCCGAGGAUGGGUGAAGCCCUGCAUGGAUCCUGGGAUGGGUUUCUCGACUUGGGGUUUCUCUAGGAGCCUGGAGCUCUGGUGCUCUUGGGUGCUUCAUAGCCAGGUCUCUCAAGUGUCCCAGCUAGGGAGUGGGGUGGUGCUUUCUGAGCCAGGACCCAGGUCCUCAGUGACCAGGGGAAGAAUCAUCAGUUAGCAAUGGGCCAGCAAUUUCUCCAUAGGGAGACAGGCAUUGAGAGGAUUCACUUCAAAGAGACCCAACCAGGGCUCCUGUGAGGGGGACAAUUUGGUUACUAUAGGUGGCCUGGAGGUGGGAUUUGGAGCCAUGUUAAGAAUUAGUGGUAGAUUUCAGCCACAGUGGAAGGCACACAGCUGUGGCAGAGCUGGGUCCCUCUCUGUGGAAAGUGCAUAUUCUUUUUUGUCUGGUUUCUUUCAAGUAGAGAUAAUCCCUUUUACCUGGCCAGACAACUGAACUGUUUUCAUUUUUUUUUUUUUAUUUGGUAAUAAAUCUGCCAACCCUGCAGGGCUUGAGCCAAGGGCUUUGCUUUCUGCAUCUACACAGAGGUCUCAUAAAAAUGGUGUAAAAUGAAAGAGAAAAAUGCAUAUUUCACACUUUGUCUGCUCUGGGUUAUGGCGAUUCUCAACUCAUCCCCAUUACAAACAGCUGACCUUCCCACAGAGUUCAAGUACCUUCUGCCGGGCCUGGAAGAACCAUAUCUCUCUGUCUCUCUCUCUCUCACUGUCCCUCCUCCCUCCCCCACAGGCACACUCAUUUGCCUGAGAGGAAGCAGAGGCUGUUGGUAAGUCUACAGUGCUGGUUUAGUGUUUUCCAGGAGGGAAGUGGCAUAAAAAAACCCCCCAGUGCACCCUUGUUAACUGUGUUCAUGCACAGGUAGGGGACAAUGUCUCCAUUACUCGCCCUCCAUGCAAAUUUAUGCCAGAAACAUGAAUAUAGGCUUUCCUUCUAUUGAAGGCUACAGGUAAUUUUCAACUAUCAACAUUAUUAGUUUGCUCAAUAUUCAAAGGAAACAACCUUCCCAAGUUUACCUGCCUCUGUUCCCUUAUGCUAAUCUGCCCAUCAGUCCAAAUGGUCGCUUCCCAAACACGCCAUGUUUGUUCCUAUUUCCUGGCUUUCCCCCAACCUUGCUCUCUGUCCCAUUCAGUUUUCCUGCAUUGCGCCUGCUCCUCUCUCUUCUGUUCAACUCAGCCUUUUCUACUUUUAAGGCUCACCCCCUUCUUGAAAUCUUCCUAGAUUGCCCCAGACCAUAAUGCUCUCUCUUUACUGGGGACUUAGCGUGUACAGCCCAUAUCACUCUGCUUUAGCUAUUAAUCAUACACUGCUUUUUUGACUUUUUUUUAAAAAUAAGGAAUUGUUGUUUUCCUAUUUACCUAUCAUUUUCUUAUUUAACCUUUCUUAUUCUGCUAUUGAUCUGUAAUGUCUUAUGUAUUUUCUUAUUUAACCUUUCUUAUUCCACGAUGAGUUUAUAACAUCUUAUGUAUGUCUCUGUACUUUACAGCGUCAAACACAUAGCUUUUGCUGUUUAGUAAACAGUAGGUGCUUAAUGGAUAUUAAACAAAAUAAGUGAGUGAAUGGAAGCUCCCACUUGGGGUGUGAGUGUGGCUGUGAUGAUGUGGCCUGAUCUUUUUUCUUGGCUGGAGCUGUAAGCAACACAAUUUAUGCUUGCAGGGCAAGGGGAGAAUCUUGACCUGGGGGAAUGCUGCCCAGGGGAUGCCUACCAGCCGUUUCCUCUUGUUUGGAUGAUGUUGGGCAGUGGGUAGCUGUUGGGUGUCCGUGACAGCCCCACUCACACUGUGUGGACCUCGCAUCCCCACGUCUGCGAUACAUAGACUGUUGAGAUUUUUAUGGUAGUGAGAACAACUAGUACUGCUUGCUGUGCCCCCUCCCUCUGUGUCUUCCCCAUUCCUUUCUCCGUCCCUGUAUGCUCCCCACGUGCAGCCUGUAUUUAAUUUAGAGGAGGGAAUUAGUAAUUCAAUUUUCUUUCAAAUCUGUGAGUGCCGCUGCCGCCUGCCAUCUUGCUCUGCCUUUGCUUUGUGCUUCCCACCUCAAGGCCACUUUACGGAUUUGUUUGAUUUGUGGUUGUGGUUUGUAGCUGUCACCGAUUUCUUUGUUGUUGUUGUUGCCUGCUACCGUUUCCUUGCAGCUCGAUUUUUAGCUGAGUGUUUGGGUAGUAAAUAUGGUUUACACCAACUCUGUUGGAAAUAAUGGCAUUUAUGUGCUGAAAGUUAUUUCCAAAACCUGUGAUAUGUGUAUACAAAUAGAUCCACGGCAGGGCCCCUAGACUGGGGAGAACAAAAACUCAAUAAAGCCUUCGAGAUGGAGUAUAAACAGGUGUCUGCGAGCAGGGCUAGGCCAGGAGGUUCAGGGAAAAACAACCCCCCGCCCCUGAUGUUGGCUCUAAACUUAAGCUUUACCAUAAAUACCUUGCUUAGCAUUGGGGGAGGUAAAAGAUAUCUUUGUGUUCAUAUUUACCUGCUCAAUGCUCACUUGCAUUCUUUUGAACAUCUCACAUGAAACUUCUUACUUUUCUAUUCACUCAUUCGCAAUGGCAUUACACCUUAAUUGCUGUGGAUCCUGGUAUGGAAAAAAACGUGCCAAGAAACUAUGAGAUUGGCCUUUCAAACUGGAGGCCCUCUCUUCUUCUAAAUGGCUGAUAGUCUGGGGGAUCUUUGGCACACUAAAUGAACCUUACCGUUGUGAACAAUGCCGCUUGAACUCUAAUUUGACAUUCUCCUAAUCCUAAUGGAGGGCUGAAAAUGGAGACAGAGAACUCCCAGAGGGAAAGCCAGAUUGCUCUUAACCAUGUGGUUCUAGCCUCUGAAUUUGGGAAGUAUGGGUUUCUUCCAGGCCUAGAUUCUUGACCCCUCCCUGCCUCAUCCCCAUGUCUGAUAACUGUUCAGAAGUAGGGCCCUCACCUCCACACUAGGUGAAUGUCUUCCUUGCCAAGAGGUCAAGAACUGUUUCAAAGACGUCUUGGCUCUCUGGUGCUGAAUGCUGCGUGACAAAGGCAUAGGAAGGGUGUUUCGAUUGUUCUCUAACUUGUAAAUGCCAAGCAGAAAUCUUGUUGCAGUUCCUAAAUGCCACAUUUCGGCGUGUUUAUUGUUUCCCCCCCUAACGGGGAAAGAUGGUGAAUGGACUAAUAAUUCAGGAGCCGAGAACAUGUUUAUUUGAUUUUUAGAGCUUUAGCAAAUACAGUGUGUACAAAACCCGGUGCCAACAGCAUGCAUAAUUCCUCCAGGAAUGGGGCUGAUAGAAACACAAAGCUUGCAUGCUUCAAAACUGUAACCAAUAUUUACACAUCUGAGUGACUAAUUCUCCACUCUGAGCAGGAGAACAAUAGGCAUAAUAGUCAGGUACAUUAAUGCAGAGCAUGCUCGUCUGGUGACUUGGAUAUUUGACACAUAAACAAAGUUGGGGGGGAGCGGCGUGGGGGGAGAUGUGGAGGCUUUUUAUCUACCUGUGUAACCAUACACCAAACAGCAGGCUACAAACACGCUCAGAAAAUGCUGACCCAAUGCUGUUCUUGUACCUCAGAUGCAGGAUUGGCACAUGAUUUGCAGCGCUGCGGGAGUUCUGUAGCUGACCUCAUUAGCGGCGCGUUUCCUGGCUUGUUAGCAUCAUAUUUGUAUAAUUUACAACACCUUCGUUUUUAUGGAAUGUGUUUCUUGUAGAGUGUAAUGGCAGCAAUAUAUUUAACCUAUCGUAUUUAGGAAUGCUUUUGCUGGAGGCAGCCUGUAGAUAUAAAGGGGACAUUUUCUCCUCUCCUACAUGGGCCUUUUUCUCGUUUUGGCUCACUAGGCUGCCAUAUGUGUGUGUGUUUGCAUAUGUGUGUGUAUGUUUAUGUGUGAUUACACACCUAGGUACAAGAGUCUGAAGGGCACGAAGGGGUCCUGAAGGUGUGACUCUUGCUUCCAAUGGCAGAGGCCACUUUAAGGACUGUCCUAACUUUAGCCAUCUCCAAGGUGUGGCUUUGAAUGGGGUGGAUCUUAUUGGUGUAGAUGCAUUGCUUUUGAGAAAAUGAACUUGCAAAAUGGAAAAGGGAAUUAGGCAGGUUAGAUAUUUGGGAAUAGUUUUUUUUUUUAAAUUUAAUUUUUUUAAAUGGGGACGGGGUGGUUGGAAGACACUAAUAAGUAAGUUGGCAUAAUGUGAAUUUUCCAUCUCCACCACCUUCUGGGGGCUUUUACAUAUGAGGUUAGGAUGGAAAGACGGAAAGUGCGUGUCACUCAGGGGUGCAUCCUGACUCUAAUGAACUCUUAUCUCAGGGAAAAAAAUAAGAGUCUAUGAAUAAGGAUGGGCAUACUCUUUUUUUUUUUUCCAAAGCAGUGUAGAAAAGGUAGAAAUGUCUGGGAUUAAGCCUUUGAGAAGAGGACCGUGUCUUGAUUUGAAUGUCUCUAGAGUCAGGACAGCUGAUCCCAGUCUCAGCCUGUAAACCGAGGUUGGGACUGGGUGGUGUCUCUCUAGAAUGUGAGGUUUCUACACCGCAGGUCCCUUGUCUCCUCUGUUCCUGAAGGGAGAUGAAGACUGAAGGCUGGGGUGUCACUCAUGGAACUUUGAACUUGGAUCCAGGAUAGGCAAGCACAGUUCUCCAGGAGCUACCGGUGUGUCUCAGGUCCCUCUUCUGAUAGGAGGCAAAGAGGGUGAACAGACUCAUGAUUCAGAAACCAAGGACACGGUAGGGUGAAUGUUAGAACUUAAAACUGUCACCAGGCACCAGGCAGUGCACAAUCACUUUUUGGCCUCAAUGAGAAACUUACUCCAGGGGUAAGAUAAAUAGGUAGGCUCUGGACUGUGUCAACCCUCCAGAGAUUGAUAAGGAAUGCAGUAAAUCUAUGAAAAUGACCAGAGGCACUGGGACAAGCUUUUUCUAACUGGCUAGUCAGGUGAGGGUUCUUGAACCUUCCCUUCUCCCCCAGCUUUGAAAAUUUCAGGAUUUUUUAUGCUUCUGAUAUCUUUUCCAGUAGUGAUACUACUUCUCAUUGGUUUAGAAAGAUCUGGGCUCUUGGUUUUACUUAAUAGGUAUGGUCAUCCAUACAGGGGUUGGUUCCAGGAUACAAAAAUCCUCAGGUGCUCAAGUCCCUCAUGUUUGGCUGGGGAUGUGGCUCAAGUGGUAGUGCGCUCACCCGGGUUCGAUCCUCAGCACCACAUAAAAACAAAGAUGUUGUGUCUGCCAAAAACUAAAAAAUAAAAUAUUAAAAUUCAAGUCCCUCAUGUAAAGUGGUACAGUAUCUGCAUAUAACCUAUGCACAUCCUCCUUAUGCUUUAAAUAAUUUGAGAUUAUUUUAUAAUACCUAAUCUAAUGUAAACACUAUGUAAAUAGUUGUUAUUUACAUUAUUUAGGGAAUAAAAACAGGGGAAAAAAAUCCGUACGUGUUCAGUACAAUUUUCCCCCUGAAUAUUUUCAGUCCGCAGUUAGUUGAAUCCAUGGCUGUAGAACUUGUAGAUACAGAUGGCCAACUGUAUGUCCCUGAAACCCUGGAGUGGCUAUGCUCUGUGAUAAUAAUUCAGCAUGUUAAGUAUAUUUAUAUCCAAAAAUUGAAUCUCAAUUUAUAUUCAAAGUUUAAAUGCACCAGGCUUGCUGGCCGUUUGAAGGUACUUAGUGGUAAUGAAUCCUUUGAUUAAAAAGAAAAAUUGUUUUGUAAAAUCUCUAGUUUCAACAAUUGAAUCCUGAACUCUUUAUUGAGCACUUAUUAAGUAAGGGAUAUUUAAAUAAGAAUUGUAUAAAAUUCCCACCUAAAGAGAGUCUGUUCAAAUUUUGAAUCAGGGUUUACAUGUACUUUGUAUAGUCAUAUCAAUUCAUAACAAAACGUGGACGGUUUCAGCACCCUGCAUCUAUGAAUUAGUUUGCUUUUAAGGCUUUGUGAAAGAUAGAUAGUUACUAUAUAUGUAUAUUCAAAAAUUUGUAUUAGUUUCGCUUGACUGGUUUGAUAACCAGCUUGUCUAAAGUGAUGAUAAAGAAGGGCUCUGCACCUGGACUCAGAUUCGUGGAACGGAGAUACUGCUGCAUAUGCUCUUCCCACUCUCUUAAAAGAGAAGUCAUCUUUCCCCAGUUCUCUCUGUGGCCAUUUCCUCUACUUGGCUCUAGAACAUCCAUUCUUUCUCAACUCUUGUGAUCUAGAACUCUGGAUUCUAUUCAUGCUGUCCUUCCUGGUUAGUGCUUAAAUAUAUCCAAAUCUCUCCAUCUUACAAAAACACUGCCUAUGCCACAAGCUCUAGAUCAACUCCCUCUUCCUGUCUCUUUCCGGCCACCCUUAUUCCUGUUUUGCAAGUUGUUAUUGUUUUUUGAGGUACUAGGAUUUGAACUCAGGGCCUCAUGCUUGCUAGGCAAGAGCUCUACCACUGAGCCACACCCCCAGCCCAUCUGUCUACCCUUUCUGAGUGGCUAUGGCAGGCUCAUCACUUUAGCUGUCUCAGCCCACUGGUGUAUGGCUUCUGCUCUCCUCUAUGCACUGAAAUUGCUCCCCAAGGCUGCUGAAGAGCUCGAAGACAUUCAAGCUAACAGACACUCAUCUUGUGUGCAUGCCCCCACAGUUGAUGGCUCCCUUCUGGAACAUCACAUUCUCCUGGGCUCUGCUAACCUUUCUUGUCAUUUCUCAGUUUGCUUUGUUAGCUUAGGGUUUGGUACCCGUUCCUUUUAUUGGGGUCCUCUGGGUUUUGACCAAGUGUCUGAUUUCUCACUAUUUUCUUUCUCUCUUAGACCAUCUUACCCAUCUGUCAGGCUUCCUUGGUCUUUAAUGUGCUGCAGACUGCCGAACUCUCCUGCGUUUUUCUCUCUUUUCACUAGAAAACUCCAGUAGGCUACUUUGUUGUAACCAAGAAAUUACAAAACAGAACAGGUCAAAUGAGAUGGGAGAUUUGUUUUUCUUCCGCACCACAGUCCAGAGUUUCUGGGCAUCCCAGGGAGAGAAGGGGGUCCAUGAAGUUGUCCAGGGAAUUAGAUAUUUUCUAUCUUGUUGCUUCAUCAUGCACGAUAUUGUCUUUUCCAUAUGGAGAAAGAUGUCCCUAAUGUGCCAUGUUCUGGUAUGUAUGAAGUGGGGAGAAGGCUGUGGGCAACCAGCUUCCUUGUAAUAAAGUGACCCAGUAGUAAGUGGCACUUAGAAGCCCCACCCAUGUGGCCAUACUUAGUUGCAGCCUAUACAGGGGAAUGUGGUAUUUUCAAGGUAACCAAAACUCAAUUUAAGUGUGAAAAUGAAAAGCAAAAGGAUCUAGAUUUUAUCCAGCCUGUAUUAGUCAGCUCUUCAUCUCUAUGACCAAAAUAUCCAACAAGAACAAUUUAGAGGAGGAAAGGUUUAUUUUGGCUCAUGGUUUCAAAAGUUCAGUCCAUGGUUGGCUGACUCCACUGCCCUGGGCUCAGGAUGAGGCAGAACAUCAUGGUGGAAGGGGGUGGAGCAGGAGUGCUGCUCCUCCAUUCAUGGCAGCCCGGCAAACAGAGAGGAGGGGUGGGGGAAGGGCCACAGGGAAGAGGAAUCCUUCCAGGGCCCGCCCCAAGUGACCCACCCCCUCCAGCCACACCCCACCUGCCUAUAGUUACCACCCAGUCACUCCAUUCAAACUAGGAUGGACUGAUUAGGUCACAGCUCUCCUAAUCCAAUCAUUUCACCUCUGAAUAUCCAUGCAUUAACACAGGAGACACUUUAUAUCCCAAACCAUAACAAACCCAGUAAUAAGAAAUUAAGUAAAUCUAUUAAAAUGAUCUGAGGCAAAUGAUAGGGAUGAAGCUUAUCUAGCUGGCUAGUCAGGUUGAGCACCUUCUUCUCAUCUGCCAGUCCCUCAGAAUAAUUAUUGAGAAAAGGGUGACCUAUUUCUGCUGCAGGCUUCUCAAACUUAACAUCUCCCAAACUCACCUCCUUAUCUUCUCCUCAGACCUGCCCCUUCUAUAGCUUUUGAUACUCAUCAGUCAAAAGAAAGUAUCAUCAUUGAAAAACCCAGUUUCUCAAACCAGAAACCUGGUAUUGUUCUUGAGUUCUUUUUCCCUCACUGCUGCAAUCCAGUCUUUGUCUCCUUGAGUCAUUUAUACCUUUUAACUAUUUUUAGAUCCAGAUACUUCUUUUUGUUCCCAGCUUGAUACAAGACAGCAUUGUUUCUUCCUUGGACCAUUGCAGUAGUUUCUUUUCUUUUCUUUUUUCUUUUUUUUGGAAAUGGGGAUCGAACUCAGGGCACUCAACCACUGAGCCACAUCCCCAGCCCUAUUUUAUAUUCUGUUUAGAGACAGGGUCUCACUGAGUUGCUAAAUGCCUCGCCAUUGCUGAGGCUGGCUUUGAACUGGCGAUCCUCCUGUCUCAGCCUCCUGAGCUACUGGGACUACAGGCGUGCACCACCGCAUCUGGCUCCAUUGCAGUAGUUUCUUAACUGAACUUUUUACAUUUACUUUCACCCCUUUAUAUAUGUUUUCCAUCCCAUUGUUGAAGUUCUAUUAUAAAAAUGGAAAUAUAGUAUUUUUCUUUCUUAAAAAAAAAUCCUCCAAUGGCUUUUCACUAACCCACAUUCUUUUCAUGUUCUAGAAGACCCUGCAUGAUUUGACCUCUGCCAGUCUCGCCAGGCUUCUGUGAUUCCUGUCUGACUUUCAUCAUCUCUAAUUCUGAUCCUGGUCCUCUCUAAUCCUGACAUCUUGGACUUACUGUGACCCCUAACAUUGGCCAUGCUAUGCUUUGGUUCUACUCUUUCAAACACACUUCUGUGAGAACAUACCUCCUGUCUCCCUCCCUGGCUUGGCUAACUAUUAUUUAUCGUUCAGAGAGCUCAGAUCAGGGAUGACUUUUCAUUGAGAACUUCCUCCUUUCUUCUAGGUCCUUUACUACUCCUACAGCAUCUUGUAAUCCAUCUUUACUAACGCUGAUCAAUAAUUAAAUGGCUGGGAUCUGUAUUUGUGAUUAUCUUAUGAGCUCCAAUAAGGCUGCCUGCCUUUUUUAUUUGAUAACUAAAACACAUGAAAUUGUUUGGAAAAAAGAUGCUAUCUUCAAAUAAUUCCUUCUCCUUUCCCCACUAUUGCUCUGUGCAAAGAUGCUAUGUGAUAUGCAUUGCAUAUGUGCUACAAUAAUAGGAGCAACUGUCUGUUCAUGUAAAUUACUAAGAAUGAAUAGUGGAAGAAACAAUUAGUAAUAAACACACAUGAUAGGUCAGAUUAAUUAUAAAAGGUAUAGCAUACAUUUAUAUGUAAUUUUAUAAUUUUAAUGCUUUUGACUUCAUAAUUUAAUUUGAUUCUUAUAGGACCCCUUCGGAGAUGUCAGAUAAAUUUUCUCCGCUUUCUAGGUGUACAAAUUGAGACUCAGGUGGCUUAGGAAGAUGAGGCAGGAGGAUGGUGAGUUCAAAGCCAGCUUCAGCAAUUUAGUGAGGACCUAAGCAACUCAGUGAGACCCUGUUUCUAAAUAAAAUAUAAAAAAGGAUGUGGCUCAGUGGUUAAGGGCCACUGUGUUCAAUCCCUGGUACACCCCCCCCCCCCAAAAAAAAAAAGGAAAAAAGAGAGACUCAAUGAAGUAACUUAACCAAAGUCUUUUGUUGGGUGAAUGAAGGAGCCAGAGUUUGAGUCCAGAUCUGAAGGCAGACCAGGGCCUCGUCUGCAGUGUCAGUCUGUGACAGGGAACAGGAAACACAGCCAUGCAACUCUUGAGCCUCUAGGUCUGAUCUCAGCACUUACUUGAUAAUUAUUUGUUGAAUAAAUAAAUGCAUGAAUAGAUACAACAGUAGCUCUGACAACAUUACAAAGAUUUUACACCAACCUAUAAGUCAAUUAUUAUGGGAUAAUAAACAAAAACAAUAAAAUAUACUAUAUAGCAGAGAGAUGGAAUGACAUGUUGAGAAAGGAAAUUUUAUUAUAACCCAGGAUUUGAUUGAAAACCAAGAUAUGAAAUGUGUGAAUAAUACCCAGCCUGAUUUCUCUCUUCUAUACAGAAAGGAACAAAGGGCUAUUGUCUCUGUCAUUGGUUAGAAAGGGCCUUAAAUAUUAGUCUGUCCAAAUUUCAUUCUCCCCUCUCAUCCCGUCAGGGCAUCUAAUUAUUUUUUUUAUUUUGGGGGCAUACCAGGGGUUGAACUCAGGGGCCUCCGACCCCUGAGCCACAUCCCCAACCCUAUUUUGUAAUUUAUUUAGAGACAGGGUCUCACUGAGUUGCUUAGCACCUUGCUUUUGCUGAGGCUGGCUUUGAACUGGGAUCCUUUUGCCUCAGGCUCCUCAACCUCUGGUAUUACAGGUGUGAGCCACGGUGCCCGGCGAAGGCAUCUAAUUAUGUUCUUGAUUACAGGGGGUACCAUAUAGGCCUCACAGAGUUCUUCCAGGAUAGCCUUCUCAAGUGCUCUGGGGUAGACAGCACCUCCAUCAAGGACAGUGCUCCCCCAAGGGAAGACCUUAACUCUGGGAUAGUAAGAGUUAAAUUAAAGAUGGACAGUUCUGAUGUUUCUGAGAGAGGAAAAGUUUGUCUGAUAUGAGCAUCUUGCCUUUCAAGGUUUUUGAGGUAUGUAAAGCACAUGCUAUAGUUUUUGGACACAGUAGGUACUCAAUAAUUGGUGGCAAUUAUAAAGAGAAUGCAGCCAACUCUAAAGAACAAACAGACAUGGGAUUGAAAUCCAGCUUUGUUAAUUAUUAGAUGGAAAAAUAAUUUCCUGAUCAUGAGCAAGUUAUUUGAGCAUUCUAAUCUUAAAGUUUUUCAUUUGUAAAAGUGAUAAGUAGUCAUUAGGAACAAGAUUCUCUAUUUGGUGUGGUUAUGGCAACUUUGUUCAGUUUAUAGGUAAGUUAAAUGAAGCUCAUAGACAUUAAGCAUAGACUUUAGGAGGUGGUAAUUUAGCUAGUGUCAAAAGUUAAGAUUUAAACCCAGGUGUCUGAUUCUGGCACCUGAUUAUUUUCCAGUUUAUAAUACUGCUCAUGUGAAAGAGAGAUGACAAAAAAUGCUGAAUUGUUGUGCUGAUUAGAUUCAGUGCACAGUCAGCCCUCAAAAAUAGUAGCUAUCAUUAAUAAUUAUGAUUAAGGUGGUGUAGGACAAUCUAUAUAUUCAUAUUAACCAGAGUUGGAAGAAUUUUAACAUAUACAACUCAUUAAGGCCCCUGGUUGGAAAUUUCCUGGUUGGCAUAUAGUAGGUAGUCUGUAAUUGCUUGCUGACAUAUUAAAAAUGUCAGAAUCAGGGGCUGGGGUUGUGGCUCAGUGAUAGAGCACUUGCCUAGUGCAUGCCGAUCCUCAGCACCACAUUAAAAAAAAUAAUAAGCAAAAUAAAAUAAAGGUUAAAAAAAUUGGACUAAAAAAAAGAUGUCAUAAUCAUGCGUGUUAAAGACCCAGUGAUGUCUGAACUGAUAGUUGGAAUCUGUCCUUUCACAUUCCCUCCUCAAACAUGCCUCUUUCACUUCUGAAAACUUUGGAAACUUUGGUGAAAUGCAGUAGGACAAGGAAUUAUGAGAGAUGGUCUUGUUGAAAUAGCUGCCUACUCUUCCUCCCAUAUAUUGAGAGUUCUCUUUCAGGUGUGGCCAAGUAUGCUUCUUUUGUACCUACCUCUGUAAAUAGACAAUAAUUAGAAACUCUAGACAAAAUCGUAAAAAAAGAACAGGUGCCUGAAUAUGCUGGAAAUUAAAUGAAAGUUGGAAGAUUCUUCAGGGGCAUUGAUGUGGAAGAAGCGAAAGGUAUGGGAAAAGUUUUCUAUUUAUUAUGGUUAUUAGCUGCAGCCAGCACCAUGUUGGGGCAGCUAAAGCAACUAUAGGAAACUGGCAGUACCUCUGGCCUGAAAACCAGAUGACAGAGUUUUGGGCAACCACAGCUGCUAAAUAUAAACUCUGUCCAAAUCUCUGGUUGACCUCUGCAUCAAGCAUGUGUGGGGUAGAAUCCAAGAAGCUCAGCUAAAGAUAGAAGAAUUGAACUGAGAUUUGAGCUGGUACCCAAGAGACAGAGUUUGCAAUUUGAGUCCAACCAACUUAAUUGCUUGCUAUAGCAACAUCAACAACAACUACUCAACACUCUUCCGCAGAAUAUAGCAGAAUUCAGAGAAACAACAACACAACAUUCACAACAUCCGGAAUAUAAUCUAAAAAUAUUUAAAACAGAAAGAGCCAGAAAGAUGUGAACUAUUUUCAAAAGAAAACACAGUCAAGACUGAUACCUACUUGUUCAAAUAUUGGAAUAAUAGAGAAGGAUUUCAAAAUAAUUAUUAUAUAUACUCAUUAAUAUAAGAAAAACUAUGGUUAAAAUAAAUGGCAAAAGAUAAAAUCUCAGUUGAGAAAUAAUUUUAAAAAGGACCAAAUAGAACUGGAAAAAUGGAACAUGUACAAUAAAAAUUCACCGAGUUCAUCUGGGCAUGGUGACAUACUCCUGUAAUCCCAGCAGCUUGGGAGGCUGAGUCAGGAGGAUUACAAGUUCAAAGCCAGCCUCAGCAACUUAGAGAGGCUCUAAGCAACUUAUGAGACCCUGUCUCAAACAAAUUGUUUUAAUUUUUUUUUUUUUUACUGAAUUCCCCUAAAAGCAAAAUGGGUAUGAGAGAGAGAAAGAUUCGGUGAACUUAAAGACAGAUUCAAUAAAAAGUAUUUAAUCCUAAGAAUGGAUAAAAGCAAACAAAUGAAUGGCACUUCAGAUAACUGUCAGACAAAAAUCAAAAUUAAUCAAAAUCUAAUUAGUUUAAUUAGAAUUCCAAAAGAAGAGAAAAAAUGGAGCAGAGAAGUUGAAGAAAUAAUAAGCAAAAACAUACUAAAAAUAUGGAAAAGAAAUGAAACAUAUAAUUAUGAAAAUAAAAAGUAAUAACCAAGUAAAAGUUAGUCUUUGUGGAUAUCCCAAAUUUGAUGAAAGACAUAAAUUUAUACAUUCUUAGCAAACCCAAGCAGGUAGAGGGAAAAACCUUGGGAGAAAAGAUACAUAAUAUAUAGGGAUACAGUGAUUCAGUGGAGACCAGAAAAUAAUGGAAAGGCAUCUUCAAAGUUUUGAAAGAACAAAAAGAUCUAUUCACCUAGAAUUUAUAUCCAGUAAAACCAUUAUUCAAGAAUGAACUAGCACAGAGGCAUGUCUAGAUAGAAUAAAGCUAUCUGAGUUCAUCAGGCCACACUCCAAUAAAUGAUAAAGGAAGCUCUUUAGACUCAAAGGAAAUGACACCAGAUAGAAUUGUGGAUCUUCCAAAAGGAACAAAGAGGAUCAAAAAGGGUAAAGUUUGGGUUAAAUAUAAAAUAUUAUCUUUUUAUUUCUCACUUUCUGUCAAGUGUAAGUGACAUUUAAACCAUAGAUUUUAGCAUUGUCUCAUAGGGUUGAUAGCCUGUCGAUGUAUACAAAUGAUAGCUUCUGCCUAAGUCAUGGGGAGGGGUGGUACAUGGACUCACACAGUUGCAAUGUUUUUACACUUUUUAUAAAAAGGUACAAUAUUAAUUCUGAGAAGAUUGUGAAAGGUUAAGCGUAUAUAAUGACUAGAAAUAAUAGUGAACUUACACGGAAGCUCAAUAUGACAAUUGUGAUCACAAAUUGGGUUUAUCAACUGAAUCUAUGGAACUUUGCAAAAAGAAAAUAAAGCUGUUAUAGAAAGAAGCUAGUAGAUAAAUAGAUGAGACUUAUGUUUCAUUCCCCUUCUCUGCUUUCAAAUCAUCUUGAUUACUAGUGCUUGGUGGGAAAAUGGGCAAUGCGUUCAUUUGGUCAUUCAAAUAUGCAUCCAUCCAAUAGGUAGUUAUUGCAGUCAUUAGAUUUUCAGGUGCUCUAUCAGCCUUUGAGGAUAUAAAUGAAAUAGGGCAUUGUCCUUGCCUUCAAGGAGCUUUGUUCUCCCAUGAACUGAUGGAGACUCUCCUGACCUCUACACUGACGGAAUCUUUAAUCUUGUCACUUUUGAGCCAUUUAGGGGAAAGAAAAACACCCAUCUUCCUAGAUUCAGGUAAUAGAUAUCAGGUGCUUCAAUCAGACUUUGAGCAUGGAGAGUAUGGUAGUUUCUGAUGGCCUAUCCCACUGUGGUAUAAAGAGCUCUCCAGGGGUGGGAGGGUCUGAGGGCUGAGGAUUAUAUCCUUGUUUUAGCUUUUUUCACUACUCUGACUAAAUGACCAAGCCAGCACAACUGUGGAGGAGAAAAGGUUGAUUUGAAGGCUCACAGUUUCAAAGAUCUUAAUCCAUAGAAGGCUGGCUCCAUUUCCUGGGGCUCAAGGUGAGGCUGAACAUCAUAGCAGGAGAGUGGGGCAGAGGAAAGCAGCUCACAUGGUGAUCAGGAAGCAGAGAGAGAUUUCACUCUCCAGAUACCCCAUAGCCACACCCCAGUGGACUACUUCCUUCAGCCACCCCCCACCACUUCCAGUCACCACUCAGUUAAUCCUGUCAGGGUUUAACUCACUGAUUGGCUUAAGAGUAUGAUCCAACCACUUCUCCUCCAAACCUUCUUGGAUUGUCUUACAUGUGAGCUUCGGGGGGACACCAUAUCUAAACCAUAACAGCCCUCGACUUGCUGCUCACUUAACUAUGUGAUUUUAAGCAAUCCACUUAACCUCCCUGAGACUCAGUUUCAUCAUUUGCAAAACUGAGUAGCAUUGCUGCCUCUGUUCUUAAAGGAGACAAAUAUAAUUCUGUUUGCUAAGUUCCAGGGUCAGUUUUGAUUUAGGGGUCCAUUAAAAGCAGGUGUUCUAAAACUAAUUCUCCAAGUUGAGUACUGGGGAAAAUGACUGAUGAUAUUUACUCUAAAGUCUAUGUUCUUGACUAGAUUUGUGUGUGUGUGUGUGUAUGUGUGUGUGUGUGUGUGUGUGUGUGUGGUUCAAUUUGGUGUAGUGGAAUUACCAUAAACUUUGUUGUAAGGCAUUCUGGGUUUAAAUUCUAGCUCAGUAUUUACUAGUUAUAUGACCUUGGACAUUAUAUCUCAGUUUUCUCAUUUGUAAAAUGGGGUAUAAUAAUGGUUAGACUGUAGGACAGAGGUAACCAGCUGUCUACCAAUGUUUAACUUCUCUUCUAUAGAACAGAGACAUUUCUUUGAGCUGCCUAGCUAGUGCCAAGGAUUUGUGUCUGGGAGUGCAUCUGUGAUUAGUUCUUAGCCAUCCCCUGUGAGCUCAAGUGACACAGCCAGUAGCCCAAUUCCAGGCAUGGCCCAGGGAGUUAGGGAAAAAAAAAGCCCUUUCAUGUACACACUUCUAUGUUCUUUCCUCUUCAGAUAAUGCAACUUUGGAAGCCAUACAACGGAGCUGCAAGAUGGAAGGAGGCUGGGCCUUCAAUCACUCUUUGGAGAAGAGCUACCCCACUCUUUAGGUGUGCCAUUGAGAAUUAGUGUAAGUGACAAACUUCUAUUGUAUUUGUGCUAUCAUACAUUUGGGGGUUUACUUUUAUAGCAUUAAUUAAUUUAGAAAGCACACGUUAUGUACAGCAUCUGGCAUGUGUUGUCUGUCACGUGGUAAGGUUCGAUAAAUAAGAGCACUCUUCUGCCUGAGAACAGCAUUUUUUUAUCAGAUUGGAUGAAGAGUCAAUAUCACACUUGCUAAUGCUGUAUUUCUGUCAUCUGUGUGUGUGAACCUCAAUUCCCCAAUAAAUCAAGCAGAGGUAGCAAUACAACUUCCUCACUAGAAUUAUUGAGAAAUAAGUAAAUAUUAAGCAGAAGGUGGAAGUACAUGUUUAAGAAAGAAUAUUCCAGAAAUACCAGAUGAUGCCAGGCAGGACAGGGAAGACGGAAGUAAACUGGAAACAAUCUUUCUUGAAAGCAACACAAGUAGUCAGACUGUUAUCAGACAAGGAGGCCAGAAGUAAUUUUCCCUUAGAAGUAUGUGUUAGUCAGCUUUUCACUGAUGUGACCAAAAUACCCAACAAAAACAACUUAGAGGAGGAAAAGUGUAUUUUGUCUCAUGGUUUCAGAGGUUUGGUCGGUGGUGGGCCAACUCCAUUGCUCUAGGCCAAAGGUGAGGCAGAACAUCAUGGUGGAAGGGCGUGGAAGGGGAGCACUGCUCUACCUGUGGCAGCCAGGAAGCAGAGAAAGAAGGAGGAGCCCGGGAGACAAGGAAGAUGUAAUCCCUGCGGGCAUGCCCCCUGGUGACCCACCUCCUUCAGUCACAUUCCACCUGCCUCCAGUUACCACCCAGUUAGUCUUUUCAAAUUAUUAAUCUAUCAAGUGGGUUAAUCCACUGAUUAGGUGACAGCUCUCAUAACAUACUCAUUUCACCUCCUGCAUUUACAGAGGAGAUUUUUUUUAGGGGAUACCUGAUAUCCAAACCAUAACAAAGUUCUUUUGUGAAGUGUGCUCACAGCUAUGCAUGAGAAAUGUACAUUCAGUCAUUCCAUAAAGAUGGGCCUUUGUCCAUGAAGUGCAGUCUCAGGGCAGGCUUAGGACCAGAGGACGUGGGACUGCAUGGCACAGUCCAAAUGUCCAAACCUAGCAUUUUAUUAGAUACAAGGGCUCAGGGGAGUGAGGAAUAGCACUUCCCCUGCUGACCAUACUGUGUGAUGGGAAGAUGUGGCAUCUCUGUAUUCACUGCUAUACCCCCCACCCCACCCCACCGCCUCUGGUGCCUCUGAUACCUCUGGUAUCUUGCUUUUUGCCUGUCUUUGACACUUCCCCCCGACUUGUCUCAUGAGGCUACACCCACACAGACCCUAGAGUAGGUUCUGUGAUCUGUGGACCCAGAGAGUUCUGAGAGCUAGUUAGGGUGGCAGUCAUUCUCAUCCAUGGGGAUAGUCUGACUCCUGUCCCAGCACCCAAGGAGCUCAGGGACAGGCAUCUGAGAACUGGAAUCCAACUGGGGCAAAUGACAGUAAAGCAAUAUUUCAGGCCAGGCCUAGGAACAGGGUUUGAGGUAGAACAGGCUCUGAAGGGGCACCGAGAGGUGGAGUACUCUCUACUUGAGAAGACAGAGGGUGCCAGACAUGAGAUACAGGAAGAGGAAGGAAGAGUCAAUGUUGAGGUUGAGGAUGGGAAGAAUCUGCCUAUGGUAAAGAACUGGGAUGAGGAGUGGGGGGCAAUGGUUGGGUAACAUGAAUGGGGCCAGAUUCUGGAGGAUCCUGAAUGCCAGGCCGAGAAGGCCUGUGUCAGACAAGACUCCACAGGGAACUCACCCCACGCUGGUCAACCCAUCCUGCCAGGCCCUUCCCCCGGGGUGGCUGGUGUAGGCCUCCUGGCCCCAUCUGCUCGGCACAUCUUUCACUUCAGCUUAGCUCAGCACAUCUCCUUGUUCCUCCCCGACUCCUCCUGGCUUAAGCCAUUCCUCCAGGCAGAGAGGCAUCUGGGGUCUAGGUCACCUCUCUGCUGCUGCUUCCCCACAGAACAAGGCCUCUCCCACUGCGAGUCCUCCAGACAGGGCCUGCCACUCCCUCUGCAUCUCUCCAACCGAUUGGACCAGCCCAUCACACACUUAAGACUUCCCCUUCCAGUGGCUGUGUUCAGUUUUAACCAGGAGAAUUCAGAGCUACCUAGUCCAUACCUCCUUGUUCUAGCUCCCUUCUGCUUGACCACCUUGCUUUUGUUACCCAAAGUCAGUCUCUCUCUCUCUCUCUCUCUCUCUCUCUUUACAAAUGGCUUUGCAGCAGACCUGGGAGUGCACAGCAGCACCAAUAAUGUCUCCAUGGUUCCUUGUUAGCUGCACUCUAAGCAGGAAAGUGACUAGGCCUGACAAUAUAAUUUACAUUGCUGUAUAAAACUAUCUGUGGAAGCCAAGCUAAUUUGUGCCAGAUUAGGCUAUUUGUCUCAGCCACUGUCUAGCAGCACAAUCUAUCAGAGGGCUGUUUUCAAAUAUCGCUUUUCAAGCGUGCCCUUGAGAGGCAGAAAUUGAUUGGGAUCUUAGAGAGCAAAAUUACAGCAAUAACUUAAAAGAAACAAUAAUUACUGAAUCAUACCAGUGUCAGCACUCUGCAAAACACGAAAUAGCCAUCAAACCCCAAUCCAAUAUAUUCUGAAGCGAAUUUAUUGAAUGGAAAAAGCAGUUGAGUGAGGGUUUUUCUCCCCCCUCCUCCCCUUCCCCUGUACAUAUGGUUAUCUCAAAACCGCAAGUGAAUGAGUCGAUAAUUCUUGUCAUUGACUGCUCCAUUUUCACGGAGUCAGAGGAGAUCCAUUAGCUGCCUCCUGCUGCACCGUCUCCCUCUCUCCUCUCUCCUUCUCUCCAUCGCCUCUAUUCAUUUGCUAGUCUCUGCUCUUCAAGCAAACAAACAUGUAUAACUAAUCAUCUGUUAAAAUGCAGAGGGCCCCUAAUAAAUCUCUGCAGCUGAAAUACUUUAAUGGGUAAUUAAUUGAUCCUGUUCCAGAGGAGUAAUAAGAUAAUAAAUUAGACAAUAUUUCACUCAGUCGUGUCAGGCUCCUAGCUAAUGGCGCUGUAGGGCUAAGCUGAAGGAUAAUAAAUUAGCCAGAAAUUAACUGCUAAGAGCUUUCUGCAGAGAAAUCGGCUGACAAGUGAGUCACACGCGUGAUUCAGGGCCUGACUGGUGUUGUGGCGGAUCUCUGUGAAUAUGAACUUGCGCUUUGGGAGGGGGCCCCAUGGGGCGCUCCCAGCUGGGCUCUGGUAGGAUUCUGUUCCCAGGCUGAGAGAGUCUGUUGGGUAAUACCCAGAGCUUGUGAAACUGGCUAGGGCCCUUGCCUUGCACACCAAACGGGUUCCUGGGAGCCAUGAGCUCUUGAAAAUAGCUUCCCCCAAGCCAUCAGAUUCACUGAAUUUUUAUGGGUCUCACCCACUCUGACCAGUAGGGCUACUGAACACCUGUCGCCGCCAGGUUCCAUCUGUUGCUUCCCAAGCAAAUAUGCAAAUAAGGAAGGAUGGAGUCUUGGUAGAGGUGGAAAAGAGACUUGUGCCCUUGCAAAAAGGCUCUUGCAAAAGUUAAGCAGAAAAGUGAGCAGGAAGAAAGAGAGUGAAAUACAUUUUGUAGCAGGUAAGAGAUAUUUCUUACUAGUUCAGAUGGAGAAAAUCUCUUAGUUUUGUGGAGAAACUCAAGGAAGGUGAUAGCAAGUAUUAGGCAAGAAAAGACUUGGCCCUGGAAGGUCACGUGGGCCUUUGCUUGAGGGUAGAGGAAGCCAGCUUCUCCAUGGAGGCAGCUGGAGGGUAGCUGAGCAUGUGGUGAAACAUGGGGGGAUUAAAGAGAUUUGACUUCUUACUCUUUACUGGCUGUGUGACCUUGUGUAGGUUACUUACCUACCCUGAACUCUGGCUUGAUCCUCAGUAAAAGAGUGUUGAAUGAAUGACUCAAGAGAGGCUUGGAGUGUUGUGUCUCACUCAGAGCAGGUGCCAAUCUAGCAUUACUUAUUACAUGGAGUGCAGAGGGUAAGGUUAUUUAUAAGUGAGGGAGAUAGCAGAUAAAGAAAUGAGAGGGGGUGGUGGUAGGAGACAGUGGGUGAGCUUGAUCCUCUUUUUCUGGAAUAAGGACCAGAUUACUUGCACCCCACCAUAAAGAUGGUCCUAACUGGAUGUGCUCACCUUCUGGCAGACCAUCCCUCAUUGCUUCAUGGUAAAUAUGAGUCAAUUAAUCUUCCGCGUCACUAGUAGCAAUGGCAGUGUGGGUCGAAGGCAUCCAUAGAACUGGAUUAUUUAAAUGGGAUAAUGCAGAAUCAAAGAGAUUUAGAGACCAGAAAGGAGAAGAAAAACUCUAGACUGAUUCCCAGGUUUCUGGCUUGGGUGCCUGGUUGUAAUCCAUUCCACUUAGCAUCACCCAGAGUGGAACACUUGCCUUGCCUUCUGGCCACAGGGGCCAUUGAAAUUGUUUGCACUGAUCCUUGAAACCUGUCACUCACUCUUAUAGCCACCACUGCCUGAGGAUCCUGCUGCUUUGGCUUCACCGACUCAUCCUGUUCCUGAGUACAACAAAACAGUGCACCCCUCCCUUGUGCCACCUGCUUCCUGACCUUGGAGUUGUCUUGCUGCUGCUGGAGCAGGUAGCAAGCACUUUGACACCAGCUUGACACUCAUGUAUGUGCAUCCCUGGGGUCCAAGGGGGUUGAUGUCCUGGGAGAGGCAUAGUCUGACCAGUGGGUGGUGGCCACCAACAGAUAAAUUGUUCUCCUUUCUCCCUACUGGAUGAACUACUUGAAGAUGGGGUGGCUUCUAAUGACCUUUUGCAGAUAUCGUAUGACACAAAGGGAUCCAUUUCUCACAGGCCUGUGGCUGGCUCAUCGUGUGCUCCCUUCUACUUGCCCUCCCCACCUCUGUACCUCACCCCCUUCCCUAUUCCUGCUUCCUGGAGACUCACUCUCUAGUAAACACUAGCACUACAUACAUAUAUACACACACACAUACAUACUUACAUAAAGAAUUUAAGUGUGUAGUCAGUACCAGUUAUAUCACAUCAGCUUAUCAGCAGUGUGGUGUUGGCAUUCCUUGUCUGGUGACCAACCUGAGGCAGUGCUGGAAAGACAAGACCUUGCAUAGUCUCUGUUGGACUUCAGGGUGGCUGAAAACCACCUUGAGCAGCCCCUAUACUGCUCUCAUUCUGGGGGAGAUGCUGGGUCUCCUGGAGGAUCUUGACUAGAGGCCUGUAGCAGAACAGAUUCAGCCAGAACUGGGAACCAGAAACUGGAUUCUAACUGUGUAAAAGCAAAAGGGGUGGGUUGGGGGUGUGCUCAAUGUUUGAGUGCUUGCUUAGGGUAUACGAGGCCCUGGGUUCCAUCUGUAGCAACACACACACACACACACACACCUACCCACCCACCCACCCACCCACACACACACACGGAAGGAGAUUUCCAAGUAGAAAUGAUAAGAUCAGUACAGCUCAUAGCAAGGACCCAUUCACUGACAUAUCUUUUAAAAAUAAGUGUGUUUUCAUGUAUUUUAUUCCCUUAUGUGGAAUGUUUUCCUGGUCUCUCUCAGUCUAUUCUUGUGCUAUUUGCAUAUCUAGGCUCAGUUCUUUGUUCCUCAUGACCUCAGGAUUGGAAGAGAGGUUGAGGGCACCAUGCCUAACCUCAGCCCCUGAUAGAGCAGAAACAGGUGGCUGAGCCUGGAGGCCCAUUUUUGUGUGUCUGAAUCGUUAGAAAAUAGUUUCAAAGAUCCUCUCCGUGCCCUGUACAGAAGCACAUGGUAAAUUUACUUUCCUUUUUUUUAGAUAAUUGAUGACCAUGAUAUGACCCCUAAGCCUUCUCCUUUUUUCAGACUAAAUCUGCCUAGCUCCUUUAACCAUUAUGUGUGUACCAUUUCCCCUUCUUUUUAUUGUGAAGUAUAGCAUAUGCAAAGAAAAUAACCCAGACCACCAAGUACAGCUUGGUUGAUAAUACAAAGUGAUACCCAUGAAGGGAAAAGACACUGGUAGCUUUUUCUGGUGGUACUACCUGAAUCAGACCUCCCCACUCCUUCCAGAAUAUGUGCCACCUGACUUCUGUGCAAAUCAUUCAUUGCUUUUCAUAAAUUCUAUAAUUUAUGUACAGAUAUACUUCUGAGGUAUUGUGAGUUUGGUUCAAGACCAUUGCAAUAAAGUGACUAUCUCAAUAAAGCAAGUCAUAUGAUAUUUUGAUUUCCUAAUACAGAUAAAAAUAUCUUUACAUUCUACUAUAAUCUAUUAAGUGUUCAGUGAUAUUAUGUCUAAAAAAGCAAUGAACAAACUUGAUUAAAAUACUGUAUUUGUAAAAAAUGCUAAUAAUCAUUUAGGCUGAUGAAAAGAUAAUGCCAUUAGAUUUGCUGGAAGCAGGGUUGCCACAAACCUUUGAUUUGGUAAAAAACAAAACCCCCCAAAACAAAACAAAACAAAACAAAAAAACACUGGAAUUAUCUGUGAAGUGCAAUAAAGGGCAAUCAUUCCCAAAUCAUAUGGUUUAGCUUUGCCAGUUUUAAGUCUUCUGAAUUGUUCUUUUUUGCCUUCUUUGUUCAACCCUACGUUAAUGAGUGCUAUGCUUUGGAUGUGUGCCCCCAAAGUCCAUGCAUUGGAACCUUAAUUCCACAAUGAGGCAGUGUUGGAGGAGGGGCCUGGUGGAAGGUGCUUGCACGUUGAGGGUGGAUCCCUCAUUAAUGGGUUAAUACUUUGCUUGUAGGAAUGGGUGAGCUAUUACAGGAAUAUCCCCCCUUUCUCUCUUUGACAUGUGCUCCCUUAUCCUUCUGUUUUCUAUCAUGAAUUGAUGUAGUAUGAGGCUCUCACAAGAUGUGGUUGCCAGAUUUUGGACUUCCUGCCUCCAAAACUAUAAGCUGAAAUAAAACUAUUUUAUUUAUGAAUUAUACAAUCUUAGGUAUUGUGUUAUAGCAACAAAAAUGAACUAAGGCAUGGGAUUCAUCCAUGUUUUUGCUUGUUGCUGUAAUUGUUUCUAUUGACACAUAAUGUUUUGUAUAUUUUAUAUGUGAACAAAGAUGCAAUUUUGUUGAUACAUGAUAAUUUAUUGAUUGUUUCACAAUAUGAAUGUACUAUAAUUUACAUAUGUGUUCUAUAACUGAUAUGCUUCAAAGAUGGUUCUAGCUUGGGGCCCUUAUGAUGGAUAUUGAUCUCCGUGAGUUGUGAAAUGUCAUGCAUUUCACUAGGGUACAUACCUAGCAGCAGAUUUUUGAAUCAUAGAGCCUGCUCAUCUCUCACAUUACCAAACUGGUGUACAAAAUGAUUGUAUUACAUUGCAAAUCAACAGAGUAUGCAAGUUCUUGUGGUAGAAUGAAGCUGUGCUACCCAGCUCUGCUCCUUCAGGACUUUGCCUCCUCUGAAGAUCUGUGAAGUUCAGAUCUUAGCCUUGCUCUUCCCUGAACAGACUGGAUUUGGUGACUGUGUGAAGCAAGAAAACAAAGGCUUGGCCAUUUUUGACCACGUGGCAGAUUCCAAUGGGUGAUACUCCCCCAGAGCAUUGUGUCUGGGCUUUAUCAUCAUCACACUUUAGCUCCUCUUCCUCUGUUCAUGGGAACUGAUCCCAAGAAACAUUUCCCGCACCAAACUCUAACUCAGAGUUUGCUUUCUGAGAUCCCAGUCUGCAACUGCUGCUGUGACUCUUCGCCCUUGUCAACAUUUGAUAUUAACAGAAUUUGACAAGUUGGUAGAUAUUUAAGGUUAGCUCAUUGUGGUUUUUUUCUUAAGUGAAAAUUAAAUCUUAAAUUUAGAAAUGUUAAAAAUUUUAAAUUAUUGAGAUAUAAUUUACAUACUAUAAAAUAUUCCCCCUUUUGACACAUAUAGUUUGGUGAGUCAUGACAGCUGUAUUUUGUCAUGCAGUCACCACCACCACCAAGAUACAGAACAUUUCCAUCAUCCCCCAAGUUCCCUUGUGACCCUUUACAGUCAAUCCCCACCCUAGCCCUGUUCUGCUUUAGGUCACUGUAGUUUUGUCUUUUCCAGAUGCCUAAUAAAUGGAUUCAUCCAGAAUAUAUUUUUCUGUGUCUGGCUUCUUCCAUUUACCAGAAUGCUUUUGAGAUUCAGUGCAUAAAUACAUCAUGGUUUACCCAUUUUCUCAUUGAUAAAGAUUGGACUAUUUCUAAUAUUUGGAAAAAUAAUAUGAAUCAAACUUCUAAGACAACUUAGUAUGAGUCCUUUAUGCAGAUAUAUGCUUUCACUUCUCUUGGAUAAAUAUGCAGGAGUAGCACUGUUGGGUUAUAGGAUAGGGGUAAUUUUAACUGUAAGAAACCACCAACUAACUUCCAUUUUACACUUUAUAUACAAACAGUUUAUGAGAGUUUUAGUUACUUCACAUCCUUGCCAACACACAGUUUAUUCAGUCUUUUAAUUCCUUAGCUAUUCUAGUGUGCUAGCUCAUAUUUUAGUUUAUAGUUAAAUGAUGCAAAAUCAUGACAAGUAACAUGGAG
rnacentral:lncRNA from 1 species